UCUUUUGUUGUAUAUAUACUUGAUUGAUUGAUUGAUUCAAUAACAUUAUCUUUCUCUCUUCUCACCUGCCCCCUUUUUCUUCUCCUUUUACCUCUAGCUUCCAAUGCCUAUCAACACCACCAUCCUUAACACAAAUGAAUCUCACAGCAUGUUGAUUACCAUCAAUGUAGCAGCCCAAACUCCAUUAAAACUUACCUCCACCAGGCACCAACUAUCUAGCCUGGAAACUUCAAUUCCAGACUCUAUUCAUAGGACAUUUGAUUGAGGUCUCCACAAACAUUGAAACACCGCAAUUUUUCAUGAUAAAAUCCAAAGGAUUGGUACUUUGGUGUUUGAGGGGCUGGUAAAUGAAAGAACAGAUCAAGAGAUGACAUCCCUCUAUACCGCUGUUAUUCCUUUCAAGGUGCGUAUCAGGUGUUUGAAAAACUUCCUCAACUUAAAAUAAAAAGGUCUUGUUUACAACGUUUUUUAGUCCUUUACAAAUCUUCCAAUGUGUUGCGUUUACUGAAUAUGAUAGUGGGAACUUAUUUAUCAAGAAUUAACUACUCAGAAGAAAAUGUAAAGACGCAAUAAUGAUUUUUUUAUUUUAGAUUCCAUAGUCUACAAACUUGGAAGCAUACGGACCAGUCAGCUGGUAAAUGAAAGAACAGGGAUCAAGAGAUGAAAUCCCUCUAUACCGCUGUUUGAUACAAAAGUUCAUGGCCAAGUAAAAGAUGUUUAUUUUGGAUGUAAUAAAUAUUCAUAUUGCAACAUAAUAGUCAUCUCUCAAAUCCAUAAUUCAAUUGAUCAUAUAAAUAAUUGUUGAUUACUUAAAUAAACAAUUAUAUAAUUAAAUACUUAAUUAUAAAUUAAAGAGAUGGACAAUUAUAUAUUUCUAAAAUCUUAAUUACAAUUAUAUUAUAAUUUCUUCCCUAAAAUUUUUCAAAAUACAGUAUUAGAAUUACAUAAUAAAAUACAGUAUUAUAAUUUCUCAUCUAAAGGUCCAGCAUACCCUGGGAAUCUGAUCGGGUCAAGCUACGAGCAAUUAGGAGGCAUGACCAUCACCCACAUGUAACUUUGCUAAUAAUAUAUUACGGUUGUCAAAAUUAAUUAUUAUUAGCAAAAACUUAUUUUAUUUGUGAAUCUCUCAACCGUUGGAUUUAGAUAUGAGGAUAAGAGAUUGUGGGCACCUCUCUUUUUUAAAAUAACUAAAAUCUAAAUCAUCGGACGNNNNNNNNNNNNNNNNNNNNNNNNNNNNNNNNNNNNNNNNNNNNNNNNNNNNNNNNNNNNNNNNNNNNNNNNNNNNNNNNNNNNNNNNNNNNNNNNNNNNCCGGGAUUAUUUUAACUCAGUGAUCCUUCCCAGGUAGGCCCAGGUCACAUUGAUUAUGUUAAAAAAAAAAAAAAUCUAAUGUCUUUACCAUUAUAUUAUAAUUAUUUAGGAGGAUAGUUGAACAAUACUUUUUUAAAAAAAAUUAAUUUUUGACGAGUAAAAUAAUGUGGAACCAAUCGCAAUAAAUAAAGCCAAAAAAGGCAGACGAGUGUGUCUAAUUCAUGACUUGCAUUGACUAAAAAUUACCACUAGAAAUUCCUAGUUUUAUCCUAUAUAAAGAAUACAAAAAAGGCAGACGAGUGUGUUUCGUGGUGCUUUCUCGGCCUGCAAAUGAAUAGAAAGCAUAUCCUUUUAUCCUAUAUAAAGAAUAAUACAAUUAACAAAGCAUAUUUCAAUAUCCUUGCUUUACUCUCCAGCUAACCUGAUACAUAUUUCAAUGUCUCAAGACAUACGUAUGCCAUUGAUAGAAAGGUGUGUUCAAGCAAAAUCUUUUUUUAUCUGUAGCGACCUCAAUAAUGUUAACGCCACGAAAUUACCACUCCAAAUUCCUUGUUCUUCCUUUUUAUAUUAUUAGAAAAACUGUGAUUGACUGAUUUAAUUGGAAAUUAUUUGUGAGAAAGCUAAAAAGAAUUGGAGUUCUUCAAUUCCUAAAAUUCUAAUUUUAAAUUGUAAAAAAAAAUUAAUUAUUUUUAAAAUUAUUUUAGAAAAUAAAACAUUAACUAUUUAUAUAAUAGCUAAAUAAAUCUAUUAAAAUAAAUCGAAAAUAACCAGUAAAAUCAAGCAAAUAAUUCAAAUAUAACAAGUAAAUAAUUAUAUUUUUUUGGUCUGAUUUGAGUAUGUUUUCUUGACUUGCUUUAGUGUUCAUUAAACAUAAACAAACUUUGCUCUAAGAGUCUGCUUAUCAAUAAAAUAUUACUUUUACUGUACAUAAUAGAAAUAAUUUGGUUACCCGUCGACACUUACGUCACUUUACUCUUCAAUCGAUGUAAUUUCAUAGCUUUUCUCAGCAGGUGGGAUCCAACUAAUUUCAUAAAUCAUAAUUCUUCCUAAGGCGAUGCCAAAUAGGUGCCAAGAGUAUACCGCAUUAAGCGAAAACAUGCUGUCGCCAUAGUCUUACAGCUAANNNNNNNNNNNNNNNNNNNNNNNNNNNNNNNNNNNNNNNNNNNNNNNNNNNNNNNNNNNNNNNNNNNNNNNNNNNNNNNNNNNNNNNNNNNNNNNNNNNNCCAUUAAUAUUUGAUUGUUAUAAUUUAAUUUUUUUUUAAAAGCAAUUAAUCUUCAUUCUCUUUAUUUUUUUUCAAUCCAUUUAGUAAUUUGAUUUUUUUUUUUAAUUUUACCCUUCAAUUUAAAAUUUUAGUUUGUCCUCUCAAUUUUUUUUCAAAUGAUGUUCUUUUUUCUUAAUUGUUGUUUUUUUAUCCUUUAAUUUUUUUUAAUUUUAUUAUUCAACAUUUCAUUAAUUGAGAUUUGGUCUCAUUAAGCCCUACCCAAGAGUCAAUCUGGGAUAAUUAUUAAGUCACAAGUCGAGUAAGUUGACUCGAGUUAACCUAAGUUAACCAAAUCGUUUUAUUUUAUAAAAAGCCAAAAUGAUACCAUUUUUUUUAAAAAAAAUAAUAAACAAGUUUUGACCAUGUUUCGGCUAGGUUUUCUCAGGGUUAACUGAAAUAUUGGUCAACCCAGGUUUUGAUCGUAUUAUACUGGAGUAAUUCUCCGUCAAUUUUUUUUGAAACUCGAGCCAGUUUCAGCUAAAGGUCACUUAGAACACAGGUCAACCCAUAAGUUAAACCAAAUUUUUAAAUAAUAACUUUACAAAUAUAGUUCUUUCAAUUUAAUUACUAUCUCAGAUUAAGAUUUGAAAAAUUAACAUGGAUUUCUUUCGUUAUUCAUUUUAAAAAAGAACUCGUUAGUUUGCAAGUCCACGUGUCAAAUUUGGAAAAUCAUAUGGCCCAUUGAUAGAAAGGGGUGUUGAAGCAAAAUCUUUAUUAGCAAAGCCUGUUCGACCUCAAUAAUGUUAACGCGUGGACCCAGUUGUCGCAACCACCGCGAAAUUACCGCUCCAAAUUCCUUGUUCUUUCUCCGUAUAUUAUUUUUGAAAAACUGCCAUGUAUUUAAUUGUAAAGUAUUUGCAAAAAAGCUAAAAGAAUUAUAGUUUUUUAAUUUUUAAAAUUAUAAUUUUAAAUUGAAAAAAAAUAAUUAUUUUUAAAAUUGUUUUAAAAAUAUAACAUCAACUAUUUAUAUAAUAGCUAAAUAAAUAUAUUACAAUAAAUCAAGAAUAACAAGUAAAAUCAAGCAAAUAAUCCAUAAAUAACAAGAAAAUAAGUAUAUUUUCUAGAUCUGAUUUGAGUAUAUUUUUUAUCUUGAUUGACUGACUUGCUAAGUUUUUGCUAAGUAUAAACUAAUUUUACUCUAAGAAUUUAUUUGAUAUUUCUUCACUUAUUAAUGAAAUAUUAUUUCUACUGUAGAAAAUAGAAAUAAUUUGGUUGACCAUCGACACUUAUGUGAUUGAUUAUUGAUUAUUUUACUCUAAGAUGAAUAUUUUUUUGUUUGCAUCAAAUAAUUAAAAUUGAGAAUUUCAAAGCAGAGGGUUUAAGGAAUAUUAAAAGAGAAGGUUUUACGUAAUUAUUAUAUAAUUGAAAUUGUCACUAAUCUCCUUUGUUCAUUUUCUUUUUCUAUUACCCCUUCCAAUCAGCAUGCAAGAAACUUUCAACGUUUUACACUGCUUGUUCACUUAAUAAAACUAUUACUUGCUAUAAAGCAAGAAAUAAUAUUCUUUCUCUGAAAAGGGCUUGAGAAAACCCUAAGCAUGGUAGAUAAUCUCUUAUAGGAAUCUCUUUAUUAAAUAAUCAAAUAUCAAAGUCUAUUUCCAAAGACUAUUACUACAGUUUAUAUAUAUAUAUAUAUAUAUAUAUAUAUAUAUAUAUAUAUAUAGAAACAACUAAAUAGAGAAAUUAUUAUUUUUUAAAUAGAAAAGGUUGAAAAGCUUGAUAAUAUCGAGUAAGAAAUAAAAUAUAAAAAUAAUUCUUUUUUAAAUAAACAAAUAUAAAAGUUUAAUAGUACUGAAUAGAAAAAAAAAUAGAAUUUCUAAACUAAAUAAAAGUAACUGAAAAAAGUAUUUAUUAUUCCAAAAAAUUAGAGUUUUUUAAUUUAUAAAAUUAUAAUUUUAAAUUGUAAAAAUAAUUCAAUUAUUUUUAAAAUUAUUUUAAAUAAUAAAACAUCAACUAUUUAUAUAAUAGCUAAAUAAAUCUAUUAAAAUAAAUUGAGAAUAACUAGUAAAAUCAAGCAAAUAAUCCAAAAAUAACAAGCAAAUAACUUGUCAAGUCUUUAUUCAGCACAAACGAACUUUAUUCUAAAAGUAUAUUUGAUAUUUCUUCACUUAUCUAUGAAAUAUUACCUCUACUGUACAGAAUAGAAAUAAUUUGAUUGACCGUCGAUACUUAUGUUAUUGAUUAUUGAUUAUUUGGAAGAAGAAAUUGUAUUCAUUCUUCUUAUUUAUUUUUAUUAUUAACGUGGAUGUUCAGGCCAGCUUGCGCACACCUCGACUAAUCCCACGAGUCCUGAAGUUAACGAUCAUGUAAGCCUCCAGUGACCAUCAUAUUAGCAACUAUAGAGCUCGAACCUGAGAUUAUAGAGGGAACAAACCUCUUAAUCUCAAACUCUUAUCACUAGAUCACCUACUUUACUAUUCAGCUCGUUGUAAUUUCAUAGCUUCUCCCAGGUGGACGCAACUAAUUUCAUAAAUUAUAAGUCUUCGCUAAGCAUAAAUGAACUUUAUUCUGAGAGUCUGAUUGAUAUUUUUUCAUUUAUUAAUGAAAUAUUACUUCUAUUGUAUAGUUAUUGGGUACCGAGUCGAUCCACCUGGUCAAUAGAUGAACGGUACAUUCUUUGAAUUUAUUAGAAGAAAUAUGUAGUGUAAAUUAUAAAAAAAAUAUUUAUUUUUUGAUAUAUAAUAAUAAUAAUAAUAAUAAUAAUAAUAAAUUAGAUGAUAGUAACAAGAAAAUAGAAAUUAAUUUGAAUAAAUGGUAAGAGUUCCUAUUCUAAUAUAUCCAGGGAAGAAGUUCGAAGAAUAGAAUGAAGUUAAAUAUUCUUAAUAAAAGAAAGAAAUGAAAUAUAUUUUUAAUAAAUAUAAAAGAUGGAUAAAAUUAGAGAACAAGAAAGAGAUAUAUAAUCUUUUUGUAAGAACUUCUAAAAAUUUAAUUACAAUUCAGAAUUUCUUCCUUAAAAAUAUCCAAAAAAUCCUAUUAUAUAUGAAUCAAGACAACAGUAGAAUAACUUUUACAUAUUUUUCAAGUUUACUUAGAAUAGCAGUGGAAUAAUUCUUUUAAUAUUUAAAAAUUAAAAAAAAAACUGUGUAGUUGUUUUGUAUAAAUUCUAAAGUUGAGAACUCUUUUGUGCUUGGUAAAAUAUGAUUUUCAACUUUCGUAGGCGAGCACUAAAGUCCCAAGCUUCAAGAAUUUCUCUUCUUUUCCUUUUGUAUUUUCUCAUUUUCUUGGCAUGCGCGCAGCUGCUUCAUGGAAAAAACGUUUCAGAUGCGGAAAAUAAAGAUAAAUGUGGAAAAUAGAAGCGGAAAAAAAAUCCCAAAUAUCGACAAACAUCACAAGAGAAGCUUGAUAUCAACCACAUGUUGCAGUCCACAGUCUUUCCAUUACAUUAUAAUUACUUCUAAAAAAAAAUUUAAUUUUUUUUAAUUAUACGCCAUCAGCAACUACCUCAAAAUUACCACUCUAAAUUCCAGCUCAAUAUCGAUUAACAUGUGGCUAAAGAAUUUGAUUGCUGCUCAAUAUUUACCAAUACGCGCUUGAGAAAUUUCCUGCACGUGUUACAUUUUUAUCUUUUAUAAUUAUAAUUAUUGCAUUGCUAAUAAUUUGCAAGAAAGAAUAUUGUUUCUCUUAAAAGGGCUUGAGAAAACCCUAAGCAUUGUAGAUAAUCUCUUAUAGGAAUCUCUUUAUUAAAUCAUCAAAAUAUCAGAGUAUAUUUCCAAAUACUAUUACUAUAGUUUUUAUAUAUAUAUAUAAAAAUAGAAACAACUAAGUAGAGAAAUUAUUAUUUUUUAAAUAAAAAAACUAGAAAAGCCUAUAAUAUUAUUGAAUAAAAAAUAAAAUAGAAAUUUAAUCAAUUAAAAGUUUAAAAAAAAAUACUGUUUAACUGUUUUGUAUAAAUUCUAAAGUUAAAGAGUCUUUUGUGCUUGGUAAAAUACGUCACACUAAAAUUAAUAAAUAAUAACACAAGAAAGGACCAAAGUUAAUAAAUAAUAGCAUGCACGAAACUUCACGAUACCCAUGUUUUCCACGUUUUACACUGUUUUAAUAGAUUGUUACAGCAAGAGCACAGAGAGAGGAACGGUUCAAGACAAAACAACGAAGGAGGGGCAGAUGCUCAAGUUGUUGCAACCACCAUGAAAGGAACACAUUAAUGUUAACGCGUGGACCCAGUUGCUGCACCAGCACGAAAGUACUACUCCAAAUUCCAGCUCAAAUUGAAUAAUGAUUUAUUUUCUAGCAUAAAUUAUGUUUGAAAUAAAAUUGAUAAAAGACAUAAUUACACAAUUAUUGAUGGGAUCGUAUAUAAAAAUAAUUAAAUUGUGAUUUUUUAAUUAUUUUUAAACAUAUCAUGGUUUGAGGUACAUCAUGUAAAUUAUAAAAAAAAUAUUUAUUUUUCUGAUAUAUAUAUAGUAAUAACAAAUGGUUAGAAUGCUUUAGUCCUUUUCGAGUGGAAAGUGGUGUGAAAGUGGGAACUACUGUGAGAGCUUUAUGCCACUUUCUAAAUCGCGAGUAAAGUCUGAAUGUUUUUAGAAAGAAGCAGCCUUCAUUGCUUUUCAAAACCAAUCUCUGUAUCUAUUAACAAAAACUCUAAAUCGCGAGUAAAGUCUAAAUGUUUUUUAAAAAGAAGCAGUCUUCAUUGCUUUAAUAAAUUGUUACAAUAAAGCACUGAGAGAAGAAUGGUUAUACCGUUGAGCCGGGUCGAGUUUUAAAAUUAUAAUUUAUAUAUAAAAACAACUAAAUAGAAAAAUUAUUAUUUUUUAAAUGAAAAAACCAGAAGAGCUUAAUAAUAUUUAAUAAAAAAAUAAAAAUGAAAAAAUAUUCCUUUUUAAGUACAAACUAAUUUAAUAAUACUGUAUAAAAAAAUUAAAAUUUCUAACCUAAAUUAAAAAAAAUAAAAAUAACUGAGAAAAUAUUUAUAAAGAUAACGGUAUGUAAAUCUAGGAACUAAAAAUAAUACAACUACAUUGAUUGGAGAUUUCACUCAGAAUUUCUAGUAAAUUAUAAAGGAAAUUUCCUAGUGCUUUUCAUGUACAUGAAUUUAAAAAUUAUCGUCGCGGAACUUACUUGCAUUGACUGACUUGCUAAAUAUUUGUGCUCGAAAUUUCCAAGCAAUUUAUGGAGGAAAUUUCCUUGUGCUCUCUCUUGUACAUUAUUAGAAAAGCUGUCAUUGAUUGAUUGACUUGCAAAAGUAUUUGCAAGAAAGCUAACGAAUUAGAGUUUUUUAAAAUUUUAAAUUAUUAAAAAAAUCCAUUUUUUUUUUAAAUCAAGAAUAAAACAUCAAGUAUUAUAUAAUUGCUAAAUAAAUCUAAUAAAAUAAAUCGGAAAUAACUAGUAAAUAAUCCAAAAAUAACUAGAAAAUAACCUUUUCCACCUCAAUAAUGUUAACGCGUGGACCCAGUUGUUGUGGAAACUAUGCAGAGGAAGAAAAAUGAUAGAAAAAUUUGCAAGAGAGAAUUCUUUCUCUGAAUAGAAAAAAACUAUUAUUUUUUAAAUAAAAACAACUAUAUAGAAAAAUUAUUACUUUUUAGGUAGAAAAACCUCAUGAUAUUGAAUAAAAAAAUAAAAUAGAAAAAUUAUUCUUUUCAAGUAGAAAAAAAUAUAAAAGUUUAAUAAUAUUGAAUAGAAAUCAAUAAAAUUUCAAAACUAAAUAAAAAUAAUAGAGAAAAAUAUUUAUUAUCCUAAAAAUUCUUAUAUUAAAAUAUUUAAAAGAACUGAGUUUACAUGCUUUAAACAGAAAAACAACAAAAAAAAAAAACAAAUGUAACAAGAAAAAUUCCACACAACGUAAUAUGAUAUAAAUUGAGGUUUUUAAAUUACCUAUAAACAUAUCAUAAUAUAUAUGGUACAUCCUUUGAAUUUAUUAGAAAGAAGCCAUUAACUAGCCUUUUCAAUUGGAUCUUUUAUUUAAAUGAAAAGGAAUAUUUAUUUUAAUAUGAAAAAAAUAUUUAUUUUUUUGAUAUUUCUGGUAAUAAUAAAUUAGAGGAUAGUAACAAGAAAAUAGGAAUUAGAUCGAAUAAAUGGUACCAAUUUGUAUUCUGAUAUAUCUAGCCAAAGAAUAGAAUGAAUUAAAACAUUCUUAAUAAAAAAAACAGAAAACACAGAAAUAAAUAAAAAGAUAUUCUUAAUAAAUAUAAAAAAUAGGUAAAAUCAGAGAACAAGAAAGAGAUAUAGAAUCUCUUUCUAAGAUUUCUAAAAACUUAAUUACAAUUACAUUAUAAUUUCUUCCUUAAAAUUAUUCAAAAUAUAGUAUUAGAAUUGCAUAAUGCUAGGUUUUAGUAUAUAGUUGUUUAUAUUGUUAAAGAGUCUCUCCUAAAACAAAUAAUAAAAAUAUUGUACAACUCUUUUGAAUGAAUUGUUAAUGCACGGACUGUUUUGGGUCCUGACUUGGUUGAUUUAACUUGAAUGUAUUAUUUGAUUGGUCCAAAUAAAAGUCGACUCGAAAUUUCUAUUAAUUUACAAAAGAAAUUUCCUAGUACUUUAUGCUGUAUAUAAUUUGAAAAAUUAUGACUGACCGACUUACUUGCAAAGUAUUGGCAAGAAAGUUAAAGAAUUAGAGUUUUUAAAUAUUUAAAAUUAUAAUUUUAAAUUCUAAGAAAAAAAUCAAUUAUUUUUAAAAUUGUUUUAAAAAAUAAAAGCAUCAACUAGCUAAAUGAAUCUAUUAAAAUAAAUAAAAAAAUAAUUAGUAAAAUCAAGUGAAUAAUCCAAAAAUAACAAGAAAAUAGAGAUAUUUCCUAAAUAUGAUUCCAGUUUGUAUUUGCUAACAUAAAUAGCAUACACGAACUUUAUUAUAAUAGUAUAUUUGAUAUUUAAAAAAAAAACUUAUAUAUAUUAUAUGGGUUGGAAACCCAUUUUUUAUUAAAUUUUAAAUUUUAUAUGUUUAAAAAUAUUUUUUUAUAUUUUUUAAUUAUUUUAAUAUGAUAAUAUCAAAAAUAAAUAAAUAAAAUUUUUCUAACUCUUACUACUUCUGACUUGCUAUGACUCGAAAUUCGUGGUGCUCUCUCCUGCAAAUGAAUACAAAGCAUAUCCUUUCUCUUUCUCCUAUAUGAAGAAUACAAUUAGAAAUUUCCUUGGUUUACUCUUCAGAUUACUUUUCCAUGCACGAAACUUUAUGCCAAUUAGCAACCACUGUGAAAUUACAACUCAAAAUCCCAUGAAUAUAUAAAAAAAAAUUAGAAUUUGACUAGAAAAAUUCUAUCAAAUUCUCUACUUUGUUAGUGUUCAUUUUCCUUCUUUUUUUACCAUAUCUUCAGUUGGGACAAAAUUAUCUUCCCCAAACGAUAGACCUUUAUUUUCCUUCUUUUUUAGUUUAUUAGUAAUUACAUUAAAGAAAAAUAUUAAUUAGUAAUUUUACAUUUUUUUUCUAUAUUAUAAUUAUCAAAUAACCCUUAAAAAAUUUUAUUUUAACCUUUUUUUUCUCUCUUUUUUUUUCAAUUUAUUUGUUAAUUUAAUUUUUUUUUUAAUUUUACCUUCCGGUUCAAAAUUUUAGUUUAUUCUCUCAAUUUAUUUUUCAAAUGAUGUUCUUAUUCUCUUAAUUGCUAUUUUUUAUCCUUCAAUCUUUUUAUUUUAUCAUUCAACAAUUCAUUAAUUGGGAUCUGGUCUCAUUGGUUUUUCCUAUUGUUUCUAAACUCUACCCAAUAGUCAAUCCAGUAUAAUUAUCAAGUUACGAGUUGAGUGGAUUGACUCGAGUUAAUCUAAGGCAACCAAAUCUUUUUGUUUUAUAAAAAGCCAAAAUGAUGCCAAUUUUUUAUUUUUAAAAAAUAAAAAACGAGUUUUGAUCUUGUUUCGGCUAGAUUUUCUCAUGAUUAACUAAAACAUUGAUCAACCUAGAUUUUUUAUUGUAUUACAUUAGAUCAAUUCUACCUCAAUUGUUUUUGAAACUCGGGCCGUUUUAAACUAAAGAUCACCUGGGACACAGUUUCUUGGCGCUUUGUACUGUAUAUAAUUUGAAAAACUGUGAUUGACCGACUUACUUGCAAAGUAUUUGCAAGAAAGCUAAAGAAUUAGACUUUUUCAAUAUUUUAAAUUGUAAGAAAAAAUCAAUUGUUUUUUUUAAAUUAAAAAAUAAAACAUCAACUAUUUAUAUAAUAGCUAAAUGAAUCUAUUAAAAUAAAUAAAAAAUAACUAGUAAAAUUAAGUAAAUAAUCCAAAAAUAACAAAAAUAAAUAAAAAUGUAUUUUUUAAAAACUUUUAUCUUAUAUGGGUUGGGGUUGCUAUGCAACUUAACCGGGAUCACCAUGAUUGUCGAGUAGAGUAAAUAAAUUACUUAACCGGGAUCACCAGAGGAGUUAUUUGCCAAGAUUAAGUUAUAUAACAGUUUAUAAAUCAUGCUAUCAUCUUCAUCACCAUAUAUAAAGUUUUAUAAUAAAAAAAUAUUUAAAAAAACAAUUUUCAUUACAUUUUCAAAUUAGUUAAAGUUUUUCAAAUGAAUGGAUUGAUGUCGAUGACACUCUCUAGUCAGUUUUGAGAAUUUUAAAUCCAAACAAGUGAAUUUAUAUUGUAUAUGGAUCAAGCAAGCAUGCUUGUACAAUAAUUUCUUAUACUCAAUAGAAAUUUGGGUUUAUCAUUACAAACCGUAUUUUAAAAUACUAUUGCCAAAAGAUCAUAUUAUUUAUUAAAACAAGAAAGGACCAAAGUUAAUAAAUAGUAGCAUGCUCGAAACUUCGUGAUACCAAAGUUAAUAAAUAAUAAAGUUAAUAAAUAGUAGCAUGCUUUAAAAGAGUGUUACAGUAAAAGCACAGAAAGAAGAACGGUUCAAGACAGAACUAUAAUGUUAACGCGUGGGACCCAUUUGUUGCAACCAGCACGAAACUCCAGCUCAAUAUUUACCAGCACUACACGCUUGAGUAAUUUCCUUGCGUUUUUUUUCCUCUACCGCUCUACGUGUUACCUUUUACCUCUUUUAUAAUUAUGAUUUAUUAACGAGAAUAAAACAAUUCUGUGUAAAUUAUACAAAUUUCCAUUGUUGCUUUUUUUCUUGCACGUGUUAGAUUUUUAUUUUUUAUAAUUAUAAUUAUUGCAUUGCUAAUAAUUUGCAAGAAAGAAUAUUCUUUCUCUGCUUAAGAAAACCCUAAGCAUUGUAGAUAAUCUCUUAUAGGAAUCUCUUUAUUAAAUCAUCAAAAUAUCAGAGUCUAUUUCCAAAUACUAUUACGACAGUCUAUAUAAAGAAUACAAUUAACCUCAUUUCAAUAUCAUAGCUUUGGAAUUUCAUAGCUAACUCUUUGUUAUAUUGCUCCAUUGGUAAUUGAUUGUGCCUUGAUUUCUGCAGCUGCCAUGACAGAGCCAGAGUCUUCUCGAUCUAGACCAGAAGGCGCCUAUGAUGUCUUCUUGAGUUUUAGAGGAGAAGACACUCGCCAGACAUUUACAGAUCAUCUAUAUACUGCCUUGGUCCAGGCAGGAAUCCACACUUUUCGAGAUGAUGAUGAACUUCCGAGAGGAGAAGAAAUCUCCGAUCAUCUCCUCAGGGCAAUUCACGAAUCAAAGAUAUCCUUAGUUGUCUUCUCAAAAGGAUAUGCUUCUUCUAGAUGGUGUCUCAAUGAACUUGUAGAGAUUCUUCAGUGCAAAAAUAGGAAAACCAAUCAGAUUGUUCUUCCUAUAUUCUAUGACAUUGAUCCUUCAGAUGUGAGAAAACAGAAUGGCAGUUUUGCAGAAGCAUUUGUUAAACAUGAAGAGCGUUUUGAAGAGAAGUUGGUGAAGGAGUGGAGAAAAGCUCUUGAGGAGGCUGGAAAUCUAUCUGGAUGGAAUCUCAAUGAUAUGGCAAAUGGGUAUGUCUUUUUUCCAAAUUUAUGGAGUCAAUAUACUUUACAUUUUUCAAUGUGAAACAAUAAAAUGCUUAAUUGACUCGCUAUCAAUGACCUGCUUUUGUCUAUGAGCAGGCAUGAAGCAAAAUUUACCAAAGAGAUUAUCAAGGAUGUGUUGAAGAAAUUAGAACCCAAGUACUUAUAUGUUCCUGAGCACCUAGUAGGUAUGGAUCGGCUUGCUCGCAGUAUUUUUGACUUUCUAAGUACUGCAACAGAUGAUGUACGCAUUGUGGGCAUACAUGGGAUGCCAGGAAUAGGAAAGACAACUAUAGCAAAAGUUGUAUUUAAUCAACUCUGCUAUAGAUUCGAGGGAAGCUGCUUUCUUUCGAAUAUCAAUGAAACAUCAAAACAAUUCAAUGGUCUGGCUCUUUUACAAAAGCAACUUCUUCAUGAUAUUUUAAAACAAGAUGUUGCUAACAUCAAUUGUGUCGAUAGAGGAAAGGUUCUGAUCAAAGAGCGACUUUGUCGCAAAAGAGUUCUUGUUGUUGCUGAUGAUGUUGCUCGUCAGGACCAGCUAAAUGCUUUGAUGGGAGAGCGAAGUUGGUUUGGUCCCGGAAGUAGAGUGAUUAUUACAACAAGAGAUUCUAGUGUUCUACUUAAAGCAGAUCAAACAUAUCAGAUCGAAGAAUUGAAACCAUAUGAGUCCCUUCAGCUUUUCCGAUGGCAUGCCUUGAGGGACACAAAGCCAACAGAAGAUUAUAUUGAGCUUUCGAAGGAUGCAGUUGAUUACUGUGGAGGACUUCCUUUAGCUCUUGAGGUUAUGGGUGCUUGUCUGUCCGGGAAAAACAGAGAUGGUUGGAAAUGUGUAAUUGAAAAAUUGAGAAGAAUUCCACACCACGAUAUUCAAGGAAAGCUUAGAAUAAGUUUUGACGCACUGGACGGUGAAGAACUACAAAAUGCAUUCCUUGACAUCGCUUGCUUCUUUAUUGAUAGAAAGAAAGAGUACGUCGCAAAAGUGCUAGGAGCCCGUUGCGGUUACAAUCCAGAAGUUGAUUUGCAAACUCUCCAUGAAAGGUCUCUAAUUAAAGUUAAUGCCAUUGGGGAGAUAACCAUGCAUGAUCUAUUACGAGACAUGGGAAGGGAGGUCGUUCGUGAAUCGUCUCCAAAAGAACCUGGAAAGAGGACCAGAAUUUGGAAUCAAGAGGAUGCAUGGAAUGUACUUGAGCAGCAGAAGGUAAGAGCUCAAUGCAUACACGAAAGCAUGGUCAAUGUUGUAUUUUCUAGUCAAACUUAUUACAUAUAAUUGUAUGAAAGUUGUAUUGUUUUUUUUUUAGGGUACCGAUGUUGUAGAGGGUGUUGCACUGGAUGUCAGAGCAUCAGAAGCUAAAUCACUGAGCACAGGAUCAUUUGCAAAAAUGAAAUGCUUAAAUUUACUCCAAAUCAACGGAGCACAUCUCACCGGAUCCUUCAAACUGCUUUCUAAAGAGUUGAUGUGGAUUUGUUGGCUUCAAUGUCCUUUGAAAUAUUUUCCAUCUGAUUUUACCUUGGACAAUCUAGCUGUUCUUGAUAUGCAGUACAGUAACCUUAAAGAACUAUGGAAGGGAAAAAAGGUGAGAAACAUGCUGCAAUCCCCAAAAUUUCUCCAGUAUGUAAUUUAUAUUUACAUGUUACGACUUCUUAAGAUUAAUUUUCAUUAUUUUGCGCUCUAUUAUACAGAUUCUCAACAGGCUAAAAAUCCUUAAUUUCAGUCAUUCUCAGAACCUUGUUAAAACACCAAACUUGCACAGUUCAAGUCUAGAGAAACUAAUUCUGGAAGGUUGCUCGAGUUUAGUUGAGGUGCAUCAAUCAAUUGGACAUUCGACGAGCCUCGUUUUCUUGAAUCUGGAGGGAUGUUGGAGUCUGAAGACUCUCCCUGAAAGCAUUGGCAAUGUAAAGUCUCUUGAAACUCUGAAUAUUUCUGGGUGUUCACAACUUGAGAAAUUGCCAGAACGCAUGGGUGAUAUGGAAUCCUUAACUGAGCUGCUAGCCGAUGGGAUUGAAAAUGAGCAAUUUCUCUCUUCAAUUGGACAAUUAAAGCAUGUCAGAAGGUUAUCAUUGUGUCGAAACCGUUCGGCUCCACCAAGUUCUUCUUUGAUUUCAGCAGGUGUUUUGAAUUGGAAACGGUGGCCGCCAACAUCUUUCAUUGAAUGGAUAUCAGUGAAACGUCUUGAGCUUUCUAAUGGUGGUUUGUCUGAUCGCGCAACUAACUGUGUUGAUUUUAGGGGUUUGUCCGCUCUAGAGCAUUUGGAUCUAGAUGGAAACAAAUUCUCUAGCCUUCCUUCUGGGCUCGGCUUCCUUCCCAAGCUAAGGUGGUUGUCUGUUCAGGCAUGCAAAUAUCUUGUAUCAAUCCCAGAUCUUCCCUCAAGUUUAGACUUUUUGUUUGCAGCUCAUUGCAAAUCAUUGAAAAGAGUAAGAAUACCAAGCGAGCCAAAAAAAGAACUAUAUAUAGGACUAGAGAACAGUCAUUCGUUAGAAGAGAUUCAGGGCAUCGAAGGUCUAAGUAAUAGUUUCUGGUAUAUUCGUGUUGAUAAGCACAAUAAUUCACCAAAUAAAUUACCGAAAAACGUUAUUGAGGUACUAUUUCUUUCAGUCUCUCUUGCACAAAAAGUAAACACACAAUUAGCACAUGCAUCGAUAUUUAUUAUAUGUCAUCGAUAUUGAAUAAUGAUUUAUUUUCUAGCAUAAAUUAUGUUUGAAAUAAAAUUGAUAAAAAACAUGAAUACACAAUUAUUGAUGGGAUGGUAUAUAAAAAUAAUUAAAUUGAAAUUUUUUAAUUAUUUUUAAACAUAUCAUGGUUUUAGGUACAUCAUUAAAUUAUAAAAAAAAUUAUGUAUUUUUCUGAUAUAUAUAUAUAUAUAUAUAUAUAUAUAUAUAUAUAUGGCAAUAACAAAUUAAAUGAUUAUAACAAGAAAAUAGAAAUUAGUUUGAAUAAAUGUUACCAGUUCUAUUAAUUUGAACGGUACAUCAUUCACCGAAUAAAUUACAGAAGAGCGUUGUUGAGGUACUAUUUCUUUCCGUCUAUCUUUCACACAAAAAGAAACACACACAAUUGGCACAUACAUUGAUUAAUGUCUAAAAUCUCAGCAUUCCUUGAAAUCAAUAUGUAUAUAGGCAAUAAUUAUUAUUAUUAUUAUUAUAUUUAAAAAAACAAAUAUCAUCUUUAAUAAUAUUUUUUAUUUUUCUUAUUUGAUCUAAAAAAUUAAAUAUUAUCUUUAAUAAUAUUUUUUUAUUAAAUAUUUAAAGUCUGAUUGGUUUUAUUUUUUAUUUCUUGAUUUUAUGAUAAUAUAUUUAUACAGUUAAUGUGCAACGGUCGUCACGGGUAUUCUUUCUUUUGGGAUGUCGCCGGGAGUUUAAUUUCCGAGUGUAAAAAUUAUGUAUAAAUUUCUAUUCUUUCCUUUCAUCCAUUACUUGUCCUCUAUGAAGAUUCUAUGUAUGAAAUCUCGGAAUCUUUUCGAGUAUAACUUGGGAUCAACAGCUGAGAUAGACGUGGGAUCCACUUGUAAGGACUUUUAUGCAUGCUCUAGCUUUUUGCUGAUAUCAUAAUCCUGGAGGAUGUCAAUGAUACCAAAGUGAAGAACUACAUCGAAGAUCUCAUUACCAUUAUGUGAAGGUGUUGAAUUGUUACUUCCACCCCCCAUGCACUGAUCCAUUUCAGUAGUCCUCAUUACACUCUCGGCUCUUGCAGGCACAUUUGCCCCCAGCCGGAUGAAUGGCCCCCUGGAACAGAUUUCACAUGAGUACUACAGAUAAAAUCUAGACAUUGCAUCACAUAAUCACCAAAAUUCAAAGUAACAAAACGAAGAACAAAAUGUGAUAACAAUGACAAUGAUCACUCAACCACAGCCGAAUCUUACGCUUUGAAGACACUUUUCAUCAUUAAUUUUCCUUUUCACAUUGAUUUUCAAUGUUCCGGGCAGAUAAAAUAGCAUUGAUUUACAACCAUGGUUUUAAGGCAUCAUUAUUGGCAAAAACAUUGUAGGAUCAUGCACAUUUAACUAGUUGUUAAUUGAUUUUCAACCAGAUAAAAUAGCAUUGAUUUUCAAUGUUCCUUUAUCCUUGUAGUCUAAGAAAAUAUUAUUUAAUUCUUUUGUUUUCAUAUUCAUCUAUGAUUUAAUGUGUUGAUUGAAAUUGACAAUUGAGUUGUUAGUAAUAGCAAAAGGCAUGUACAAUCAUGCACAUUUAACUUUCUUUUUAAAUUUAAAAGUUCUAUUGAAUUUGAUGGUUUUUUAGGAUACAAAAGACUUGAAUUGACGUGAGAGUACAAGAUCAUUUUACGUGGAGAUGCUUGGAGUUGCUCCAAAUCAGUACAGUACUUCUACCUGACAUGUUGAUAUGUAUUUGUUGGCUUGAAGAUCAUUUUCCAAGUUUGGAAGUUUUAUUGAAUUCUCUUUCAAAUCUUUUCCAUCCGCUUUUAUGUUGGACAACCUAGUUGUUAAUUAUUUUCCAUGAUGUAAUUUAUAUUUUCAAGUGUUGAUCGAAAUUGACAACCUAGUUUUAUUUAAUUAAUGUGUUGAUUGAAAUUAAGAAUUAAAGGUUUAAUUAAAUGAAAUACAGCUUUAAAGAACACAUCAACUACAUUUCAUAUGCUCAACUCUCAGCAAAUUGAAAUUUCAAGGCUAUUUGAAUCUUGAAAACACAAUCUCAAUAAUCUUAAUGUGAUGAGUGAUUUCUUUUCUAUUUUUUUUUCUUUGGAUCAAAAGGGUCUUAUUGAAUUAUUAUUUGUUAGGUAACUAAGAUUUAUUGAUGUUAAAAAUAGCACUAAGUUUUUGGCAUGACAAUUGGUGAGAAGCAAAAGCAACAGCAAUCCAUCAGGUUCAUCACCAUCCUAUCGCUUUGCCGUACUGUUUAUCUUCUUGGCAUUGUUCAAAGGAACGCAAAAGACAUUCCAAGUGUGAAAGUGUGUGUGAAAGUGUAUUAUUGUCAUAAAGUUUUUCAAACUUCCAAUAUAGAGAGUGAAAUAAAGAGCAAAAGGAAACAUCUUUCUUGUUCCCUUCCCCUUCUUUACAUGGCUUACUCAAUGAAAAAGCAAUUAAACACCCCAUUUGAUUUUCAAUAAGUAUGAGAAUGCGAAAGAGAGAGGCCAAGGGGUUCCUUGAAUAUUUUCUUCUUUUUUAUCUCGCUCACUGGGGCAAACCAUCUUUUUCAAAAUUUUGAAUAUUAGCAUGCCAUCAAAAAGAAUUUUGUUCAAUCCCAAUCCCACAUUGUCUGUAGAAGUAUUUACUUUUGACUGUACACUUUGUUAUUUUCCAAUCCCUCCCCAGUUCUGCAACCAUUUCUCUACUUUCUAUGCUCUUGGCUUGCUAAAAACUUUUAUCCUUGAUUGUAGUUAGAAAUAAAUUGGUUUUCUAGGAAGAGAUUAUUGAUUGGGAUAUAAUAUUUAAGUUGGUUCUUCAUCAUUUAAUGUUAUAAUUUAAAAUAAUUGAUGAAAAUUACUGUACACAAAAAAGUUGUGAGAACAUCCUUAAUUAGUCUAAUAAGUAAAGUGUUGUUAGUUUUGACUAUAAGAUCUUGUUAUGUAUUAUUGCAUAGUUUUUACUAUUUUUUCGGUAUUUUUUCUUUUUUAUAUACAACUUUUAUUUUUCUUGCCAGUUUGUCAUGGCACCAACACCAAUUAAUAAUAAAUCUUAGACUAUUAUUAAAUAAAGAAAAAACAUAAACAUGGUUAAAAUACCAAACUUGAAUUGCUCAAACCUAAAGAAACCCUAUGACAAUAAUCUAAUUUAGAAAAUAAUUAAUUUAUCCUUGUAGUCCAAGAAAAUAGUAUUUAAUUCUUAUGUUUUCAUAUUCAUAUAUGAUUUAAUGUGUUGAUUGAAAUUGUCAAUGGAGUUUACUCACAUAUUGUUAUAUUGAUUUUGAGUUCAAAUAGAUGUUUAAAAAGAGAGUUUUUUCAUGAAUGCAACCCUUCAUGUAGUCCAAGAAAAUUAGAAGAAUUAAUAAGUUUGCGGACUUAAUUAAACUUUGAGUUAAUUAAUCAAAUAAAUUCAGGGAUUUAAUUAAAAUUAACCUAAGGGCACAAUUAGAAAUCAAUUAUUACUGAUUAGGAUCCCAAUUGUUGAGAUUAAAUUGAUUAGGGGUCAAAGUGAAUAUUUCCAUUCCUGUCGAAAUGACACCGUGGUUGGGGAACAGUCGUGUAUCUUCUUCAUUCCGAUUCAACAGGGAAGCUGGAAAAUCGGCAGUAAAACCGACCCAAUCGUGACCACGUUCUCUGCCCACAAUCCCGUUCGUGGAGGGAUAACAGUCCUGCAAAGCCAGGACUGGUUUGAGGGGCAAGCUCUUAGGGGCCUUAUAAAAGGCAGAGUAGAGCAGAAAAAGGGAGGGGAAGAACACCGGGAAAAGACCAGAGAGCCGAAAAAUCAACCCAGAAAAACAGAGUUGAAAAAAAAAAGGGCAGAGAAAACAGAGCACAAAUCCAAAUACAGAGAGAAAGAGAGAACAAGAGGGCAGGACACAGUGAGGAGAAUUAUCCUUGAAAUUGUCUUCGGACCUGCAAACAAAGAAAAACCCGGAUUCAGCCAAAGAACACUCACAACAAGCCGGAAUCUUCUUUGUAGCUGUCACACCCGGACAUCGCGGCGACCAAUUAAAAAUUAUUAAAUCUUUGGAAAAGAACGGAUUUCUGGCAUCCUGUUCUUUAAUGGGGAAUGGUCUUUGUUUAAGGAGUCGCCACCUAGUAUUAUGGUCACUAGGAACACUAACUGGUCAACAGAGAUUCUAUGGUUCGAGACUGGUUACGUAAAAGGGAAGAUAUUAUCACCCCUUAAACGUCCUGCCUAAGGCAGGCUGCAUUGCUAGUUUCGUCUUAAAUUGCUAAAUGUUUAUUACUUUAUGCUAUGAAAAUUUGCUUAUAAUAUUCCUGACUCUGGCGCCAGUGAAUAUUCAACUAUGAAUAUUUCCAACUCUGGCGUUGGUAAAUAUUACGUAGCUAUAAAAUAAAUUAGAUCAAUAUUUUAUUUUAUUCCCGACUCUGGCGCCAGUGAAUAAAUAAAUAAUAAUAAAUUUAUUUUUUACAAAUGCAAAUAUUUUUUAUAUUUCUAGCUAAAUAAAAUAAAAUACAAUGAAUAAAAAUAAUAUAAAUUUAAACCGGUAUUUUUAUUCCUGACUCUGACGUCAGUGAAUAAACCAAUAAAUUUACAUUAUUUUUAUUCAUGCAUACACAUUUUUAUUUUUUUAUUUUUUCUGUUUUUUUAUAUAUGUUUAUUUUUUUUUUUUUAAAGGACUAAGCUUCACACGUGUAUGCAAAAGUAGUGAAUUAAAUUUGCCUAUGUACAGUACCCAUGCCCGACACCCCACGUGAAUAAAAAAAAAAAGAAAAAAAAAAAAAAGAAUUGCAAAGCAAAGGGAAAUGAAGAACUUACCUGUGCAGGAGGCGAAGUCGAAGACGGUGGCGAAGGUGUGCUGAAUUGCCAAAGCUACCUUCUCUCCUUCUCUGUUUUUAUUCUUCGUCCGCUUCUCCUCUGGUUUUGCUUUUCUUUGCUUUGAUUGCUUCUCUUAUUCUUCCUGUCUCCCCCCUGUGUUUGCUUGUUCUCAGUUCGCUUGUGUUUUCUUUUUUAUAUGUUGUUCAGGGAAUGGAGGAGCUGGUGUAAGUGGAGACAAAGCAGCUGAUGCCUGAGAGGGCGUUGUACUGCUGCUGGAGCUGGAAGAGGCGCGCGUUGCUGGUUGCUGAUGCAUGCUCACGAUGCAUGGAAGUGGCUGAGUUGCUACUAAUCUUGACGAUACUGGUUUCGUCCGCUGUAAAAGUUUUCGUGCCCCUGCAUCCGAUCAAAGCUUGUGCUUUUCCAAGCAAAAGCCAUGGUCCCUUGAAACUCAGCAGAUUUUCGGAGCAAGGAGGAUCGCAUGCCAAUGUAGUUCAUGGUUCUGGUUUAGAGGCAGACGUGGCGGAGAUUAAUGGUGAUUGGGACCACAGCCUAGAAGGUGACCGGGAGGAAGAUGAUCUCAAGCCUUUAUUUGCUUUUUUUUUUUUUGUGAGGAGUUUGCAGAUCCCGGGGGUUGAGAAUGAAGAAUGAAAAAUCAAUUUGAUGGGGAAGAGAUUGAGGCCAGGCAAGAAGGGAGGAAAAGGCUGGGGGGAGGGGGAAGCGACGGCUAGUCUAGGACUCGGCCGCGCCCUCCUUUUUUUUUUUAAAUGUCUUUUGUUUCUUUUCUUUUUUUAUAGGUUUUUGGUAAUGGUCUUCUCUUGGGUUUUUUUUUUUGUGUCGUUUAGGGUUCCUCUCUAAUCAUCCCCUCUCCUUUUCUUUCCCCUGAGAUCUGUAUUUAUAGUGCCAGAGUCCCUUCGCUUGUGAGAAACCAAGUUUCAAUCAAACUCAUUCUUUUUUUUGAAGUUUGAAUUUUAUUAAGAAUCAAAUUUGAAAGCGGAUAACUAUCAUUAUCUUAAAGACAAGGAUUAUCUCGAAGAUAAAGAUUAUCUUGAAGAUAGGGAUUAUCUUGAAGAUAAAGAUAGAAUGAUAAAAGCACAUUGUAGUCCUUAAUUUUCACGGAAGUUGACAAAUCACACUUUUCAUUGAAAUAAAUCUCUGAUCUUUUAAUUUUUCAUUUUAAACCCUGUAAAAAUUAAAUUAAAAAUCAAAGGGCCAAAAUUGGGUUAUGACAGUAGCUUUAGAAGUUACAGAGAAAUCAAGAAGGAAAGCACAGACAAGUGGUCACAGAAGGAAAACCAGAGGAGCAUUAGGCGAGAAUCAUCAAGCAGCGCUGCAAGCAUCUUCGGUCUCCAGAAGCAGGUAUGACUUCGUCCCCUUUGCAUCUUCAUUUCAAAAAGUGAUUCUGUGUUACAAGAACACUGUGUGAAGGUAAUUUAAUUACCUUCACUAGUGUUCGGGCACGCGUGAACAAGUCACGCGUGCCUUUAGUUUUUGCCCAGCCGGGUCACUGGCUUGGGCCAGUGACCGGGCUGGGCUGGCUAGGCCCAGCCCAGCCCCAAAAUUUUUUUGCUGGGCUGGGCCCACCCCACCCAGUUCAAAAAAUAAUAAAAAUAAAAAAUAUGUAUGUAUAGAUAAAAAAUAAUGUAAAUUUAUUGGUUUAUUCACUGACGCCAGAGUCAGGAAUAAAAUACCAGUUUAAAUUUAUAUUAUUUUUAUUCGUUGUAUUUUAUUUUAUUUAGAUGAAUAAAAAUAAUGUAAAUUUAUUGGUUUAUUCACUGACGCCAGAGUCAGGAAUAAAAAUACCGGUUUAAAUUUAUAUUUUUUUUUAUUUGUUGUAUUUUAUUUUAUUUAGCUAGAAAAAAAUCAAAAAAAAUGUGCAUGCGUAAAAAAUAAAUUUAUUUUUGUUUAUUUAUCACUAGCACUAGAGUCAGGAAAAUAAAAAAAUAUUAAUCUAAUUUAUUUUAUAGCUACGUGAUAUUUACCAACGCCAGAGUUAGAAGUAUCCGUAGUUUAAUAUUCACUGGCGCCAGAGUCGGGAAUAUUAUAAGUAAAUUAUCAUAUCGUAAACUAAUAAACAUUUAGCAAUUCAAGACGAAACUAGCAAUGCAGCCUGCCUCAGACAGGACGUUUAAGGGGUGAUAAUAUCUUCCCUUUUACGUAACCAGUCCCGAACCAUAGAAUCUCUGUUGACCAGUUAGGGUUCCUAGUGACCAUAAUACUAGGUGGCGACUCCUUAAACAAAAAUCAUUCACCAUCAAAGAAUAGGAUGCUAGAAAUCCAUUCUUUUCUAAUUUUAAUUUUUUAAGACCGCCGCGAUGUCGGGUGUGACAAGGAGUGAUUUCUUUUCUAUUAUUUUUUUUCUUUGGAUCAAAAGGGUCUUAUUGAAUUAUUAUUUGUUAGGUAACUAAGAUUUGUUGAUGUGAAAAAUUUGGCAUGGCCAUCGGUGAGAAUCAAAAGCAGCAGCAAUCCAUCUGUGAAGCCGUACACCACAUCAGGGCCCCAACAUUUAGACUUUUGAUGGCAACCAAAGCUAAAUUUAAAAACAGGACCAUCUGAGAAGCCGGCAUACAACAACAGGUCAAAGAUCCAAUUUCCAAAAAUAAACCAUGUAUCAUGUAGUUUAACAUCUCUAAGCAUGAUUUUUGCAAUAAUCAUCUAUGCUUUACCAUUCAUAUCUUUCACCACAGUUCUCUGUCACCACUUCACAUGCACACAUUCCAAAAAAGAGAUAGCAUGGAAAAAUGUCUUUGCUUGCCGUAAAAAAUACAAGGGCUAAAACCUAACAUAAGGAAAAUAGAUUGGGAAAAGGAAAGCAGAACCAAAGCAAGGCACUAACAAUUAGGAGGGGCAAAAACAUGAAUUCUGAAAAGGAAAAUACAUUCCGGCCUUCCAUGACCCAAUCCAUAUUGGGCAGCAAAUGAUAACCCCGCAUCGAUGUUUCCUCGUGAUGUGAAUUUCUUUUUUCUGAUACAGAAACACAAAACCAAAUUACCUCAAGGUCUAUUGUUGUUGUAAAUUUUUAAGGUAGCAGAAUUACAGGAUAAAAGUAAUUUACCAAAAUGCUUAUGGAUAAUUGGCUCUUCCAUCCAGCAUUAAUUCUAUUAUCAAUUAUAGUUCAGUCACUGGUUGUAGAUAAAUUUUUUUAAGAUAUUAUCAAGUUUUAUUUUUAUCAUUAAAAUUUAGAAUUAAUUCUAUUACGUAUUUAAAUGUGUUUAGUUACCUUGUAAACCGUAUGGUAGAGUCCCUCAAAUAUUCUGGCCACAGCAAAUUGUAUGGGGCUUGCAACCACUAUAUUUUAUGCCAAGCUAAUAAUAUUUUUUUUUCUAAAUUAAAGAUUAAUAUUUUUUGUUCGCAUCAAAUAAUUAAAAAUGAGAAUUUCAGAGCAGAGGGUUUAAGAAAUAUUAAAAGAGAAGGUUUUACGUAAUUAUUAUAUAAUUGAAAUUGUCACUAAUCUCCUUUGUUCAUUUUCUUUUUCUAUUACCCCUUCCAAUCAGCAUGCACGAAACUUUAUGUCACUCAAAUGAUACAAAUGCUUUCACCGUUUUAUGCUGAUUGUUUAUUAUUAUUUUUUUUUUUUUAAUGAAAGUGAUUGUUCAGGCCAGUUUAUAUGUAUUUUGAAGUUAACGAUCAUAUAAACUUCCAGUGACCUUGAAGUUUGUAGGACUCGAACUGAUAAUUUCUAAAAAGUAAACUUAAAGUCUAAUUAGUUGAGUUAUACCUUUCAGAAUUACAAAAUUACAUUGCUUGUUAAAUUAAUAAAGUUAUUAGUUGCUAUAAAGUAAGAGAUAAGAAAGUAUCUAGGAAUAUGGUAAAUAUUGUGUUUUAAAAUAUAUUAAAAUAAUAUUUUUUUAUUUUUAAAAUUUAUUUUUAAUAUUAUUACAUCAAAACUAUAUAAAAUUUUUUUCAGAAUAUCAAUUCAACCGUACUCCAAAGAACACUCAUACUCCAAUAUCAGCAACCACCACGAAAGUUACCACUCAAUAAUUUAUUCUUUGACAAUUAUUGCAUUGCUAAUAAUUUGCAAGGAAACAUACUUUCUAACCGAUACUCAAUCGAUCUGCACCUACCACGAAAUUACCAAUAAGAGUCUGUUUGAUAUUUUUCCAACUUUUACUAUUUUACUUCAAAGUUUCAAUAAUUGUUUUUUCAUUACAUAUUCUUUCCAACGUGUAAUAAUUUGGAACCACUCGCAAUAAAUAAAGCCAGCAAAGCCAGAUGUGUUUGUCUAUAUAUACAUGAACUGCUGAUUCGAUUUGAACACCCCAUUUCUCCGAUUCAAUAACUUCAGUUGCAAAACUUCUCUCUCCGAUUGCUGCAAUUUCAAAGCUAACUCUUUAUUAUACAGAGGUAUAUAUGGCUAACUCUUCUUUGCUUCUUUCUCGUUUUAAUUUCAUGUCUUUACCAAGAAUAAUAAUGUGAAAGCUUUGCUUGUUUCAUGUUUAACUUCAGUUGCUAUUGUCUUAUGCUCUCUCAUUAUUAAGCUUAAAUUGCUGUAUUAUCUUCGAUGAUCACUUCACAUGUAUCAGCAAUUGCUAAUUGAUUGUUCCUUAAAUUCUGCAGCUGAAAUGACAGAGCCACAGUCUUCUCAUUCUAGACCAGAAGGGGCCUAUGAUGUCUUCCUGAGUUUUAGAGGAGAAGAUACCCGCAAGACAUUUGUAGAUCAUCUAUAUACUGCCUUAGUCCAAGCAGGAAUCCACACUUUUCGAGAUGAUGAUGAACUUCCUAGAGGAGAAGAAAUCUCCGAGCAUCUUCUCGAGGCAAUUCGAGAAUCAAAGAUAUCCAUAGUUGUCUUCUCAAAAGGAUAUGCUUCUUCUAGAUGGUGUCUCAAUGAACUUGUAGAGAUUCUGAAGUGCAAAAGGAAGAAAACCGGUCAGAUUGUUCUUCCUAUAUUCUAUGACAUUGAUCCUUCAGAUGUGAGAAAACAGACUGGCAGUUUUGCAGAGGCAUUUGAUAAGCAUGAAGAAGAGCGUUUUGAAGAGAAGUUGGUGAAGGAGUGGAGAAAAGCUCUUGAGGAUGCCGGAAACCUAUCUGGAUGGAGUCUCAAUGAUAUGGCAAAUGGGUAUUCCUUCUCUCUCUAAGAUUCACUUGCACACGUUUAUGGAGUAAUUUUACAUUACAUUUUUCAAUGUGAAGUAAUAAAAUAUUUCUUUUUAACAUACUUAAUUGACUUUCUAUCGAUGACUUGCCUUUUUUCUGUGAGCAGGCAUGAAGCAAAAUUUAUCAAAGGGAUAAUCAAGGAUGUGUUGAAUAAAUUACGUCGCGAGUGCUUAUAUGUUCCUGAGCACCUGGUAGGUAUGGAUCUUGCUCACGAUAUUUAUGACUUUCUAAGUACUGCAACAGAUGAUGUACGCAUUGUGGGCAUACAUGGGAUGCCAGGAAUAGGAAAGACAACUAUAGCAAAAGUUGUAUUUAAUCAACUCUGCAAUGGACUCGAUGGAAGCUGUUUUCUUUCGGAUAUCAAUGAAACAUCAAAACAAUUCAAUGGUCUGGCUCUUUUACAAAAGCAACUUCUUCAUGAUAUUUUAAAACAAGAUGUUGCUAACAUCAAUUGUGUCGAUAGAGGAAAGGUUAUGAUCAAAGAUCGACUUUGUCGCAAAAGAGUUCUUGUUGUUGCCGACGAUGUGGCUCAUCUGGACCAGCUAAAUGCUUUGAUGGGAGAGCGAAGUUGGUUUGGUCCCGGAAGUAGAGUAAUUAUUACAACAAGAGAUUCAAGUUUACUUCGUAAAGCAGAUCUAACAUAUGAGAUUGAAGAAUUGGAACCAGACGAGUCCCUUCAGCUUUUCAGCUGGCAUGCCUUUAAGGACACCAAGCCAGCAGAAGAUUAUAUUGAGCUUUCGAAGAAAGCUGUUGAUUUCUGUGGAGGACUUCCUUUAGCUCUUCAGGUUAUAGGAGCUCUUCUGUACAGGGAAAACAAUGAUAAAUGGGAAGGUGAAAUUGACAACUUGAGCAGAAUUCCAAACCAAGAUAUUCAAGGAAAGCUUCUAAUAAGUUUUGACGCACUUGAUGGUGAACUACAAAAUGCAUUCCUUGAUAUUGCAUUCUUCUUUAUUGGUAAAGAGAAAGAAUACGUCGCAAAAUUGCUAGGAGCCUGUUGCCGUUACAAUCCAGAAGUUUUGGAGAAACUCCGUGAAAGGUCUCUGAUUGAAAUAUUGGAAGAGACGGUAACCAUGCAUGAUCUAUUACGAGAGAUGGGAAGGGAGGUCGUUUUUAAAGCAAAAGGAUGCAUGGAAUGUACUUCAGAAAAACAUUAUGGAAUGUACUUCAGCAGCAGAAGGUACGAGCUCAAUGCAUACACAUAGCCAUGCGUAUUUUCUAGUCAAACUUAUUACAAAUAAUCAUAUAAAAGUUUUAUUGUUUUUUUUUUUCAGGGUACGGAUGUUGUAGAGGGUCUUGCACUGGAUAUGAGAGCAUCAGAAGCUAAAUCACUAAGCACAGUAUCAUUUGCAAAAAUGAAACGUUUAAAUUUACUCCAAAUCAAUGGAGCACAUCUCACCGGAUCCUUCAAACUGCUUUCUAAAGAGUUGAUGUGGAUUUGUUGGCAUGAAUGUCCUUUGAAAUAUUUGCCAUCUGAUUUUACCUUGGACAAUCUAGCUGUUCUUCAUAUGCAGUACAGUAACCUCAAAGAACUAUGGAAGGGAAAAAAGGUACGAAACAUUUUACAAUCCCCAACAUUUCUCCAGUAUGUAAUUUAUAUUUACAUGUUAUGACUUUCUAUGAUUAAUUUUCAUUAUUUUUCUCUCUAUUAUAACAGAUUCUUGACAAGCUUAAAAUCCUUAAUCUCAAUCAUUCUCAGAACCUUAUUAAAACACCAGACUUGCAUAGUUCAAGUCUAGAGAAACUAAUUCUGAAAGGUUGCUUGAGUUUAGUUGAGGUGCAUCAAUCAAUUGAAAAUUUGACGAGCCUCGUUUUCUUGAAUAUGAAGGGAUGUUGGAGGCUGAAGAAUCUCCCUGAAAGCAUUGGCAAUCUAAAGUCUCUUGAAACUCUGAAUAUUUCUGGGUGUUCACAACUUGAGAAAUUGCCAGAACGCAUGGGUGAUAUGGAAUCCUUAACUGAGUUGCUAGCCAAUGGGAUUGAAAAUGAGCAAUUUCUCUCUUCAAUUGGACAAUUAAAGCAUGUCAGAAGGUUAUCAUUGUGUGGAUACAGUUCGGCUCCACCAAGUUGUUCUUUGAUUUUAGCAGGUGCUUCGAAUUUGAAACGGUUGCUGCCAACAUCUUUCACUGAAUGGAUAUCAGUGAAACGUCUCGAGCUUUUUAAUGGUGGUUUGACUGAUCGCGCAACUAACUGUGUUGAUUUUAGUGGUUUGUCUGCUCUAGAAUUUUUGGAUCUAAGAGGAAACAAAUUCUCUAGCGUGCCUUCUGGGAUCGGCUUCCUUCCCAAGCUAGAUGUCUUGUUUCUUCACGGAUGCGAACAUAUUGUAUCAAUCCUAGAUCUUCCCUCAAGUUUAAGUUGUUUCAGUGCACCUUAUUGCAAAUCAUUGGAAAGAGUAAGAUUACCAAUCGAGCCAAAAAAAAAUCUAUAUAUAAAUCUACAGGAAAGUCAUUCGUUAGAAAAGAUUCAGGGCAUUGAAGAUCUAAGUAAUGGUGGCUGGAUAAUGUGGGUUGAUGACAGCAGUCAUUCACCAAAUAAAUUAUCGAAAAAUGUUUUUGAGGUACUAUUUCUUUAAGUUUCUCUUUCGCACAAAAAUAAACACACACAAUUGGCACAUACAUUGGUUAAUGUCUAAAUUCGCAACAUUUCUUAAAAUCAAUAUGUAUACAGGCAAUAAUCAUUAUUAUUAUUAUUAUUAUUAUUAUUAUUAUAUUUUAGAAAAUAAAUAUCAUCUCUAAUAAUAUUUUUUAUUUUUCUUAUUUAAUCUAAAAAAUUAAAUAUUAUAUUUAAUAAUAUUUUUUAUUAAAUAUUUAAAGUCUGAUUGGUUUUAUUUUUUAUUUCUUGAUUUUAUGAUAAUAUAUUUGUACAGACAAUGUUUAACGGUCGUCACCGGUAUUCCUGGUAAGAUGCCAAACUGGUUGAGCUACAGGGGAGAAGGAUGCUCAUUGUCAUUCCAUAUACCUCCAGUCUUCCAAGGCUUAGUUCUUUGGUUUGUCUGUCCAUAUACCUCAUUGCUCCUUCUCACCAUAUGCUGUAAAGAAAUAAUUCUUAGAUGGUCAUCAUAAGUAGGAUGAAUUACAUCUUAAAACUCCAUCACCGAAACAACGUGGCAAAAAUAAUCAAAGGAAAAGGUGGAUGAAUUGUUUCACGUGUCAAAAUAGAUUUAUACCAUGAUUUUGAAUUCAAGUGCUAAUUGAUAUUCAGCUUAGGUGAUAUCAUGUGAAGCAAUUAAUUCGUCCACUUUUUGUUAUGCAGAUCUUUCUCUCUCCAAAUCCAAUCUUACUAAAUAUAUAUAUAUAUAUAUAGUAAUUAGGAGAUCAAAUCUUAUCCUCUCAAUACUUAUCAUUCAACUAAUUAAUAACUUUAUUUAGCAUAAAUCCAUUAAUAAACUCACGAAAAGAACCUAACAUCCUCCUGAAUUCCUUAGCCGACACUCUCGUACACUGCUGAAUCAUUGAAAAAAUCAGUAGAAGAUCUGAAGUUAGCAUCUAUAACAGUGCCUUAGAAUUUAGAAAGAGAAAGGUUUUUUCUUUACUAUAUAUUCCAUUAUAUAAAGCAACUAAAAAAAGGUGGGUGUUAACUAUACAUUCCAAUGUUCAUCCUCUCACAAAAGUUUAUUUCUCCUUUAGGAAGUCCUUGAAAUUUUUAUUGUUUUAUAAUUUGGUUGCUGAACUUUUUUUCUUUUUCAAUUAGUCCUUUCAAGUCGCAUUAUUAUUAUUAGGAUAAGAAAUAAAAGCAAUGGUAUUCAAUUGUUUGAAUGUAAACGAAUAUCACCAAAAACUGAGGGAUGGAUAAGAUACAUAAGUAGAAGUGAAAUGGCAAUGGAAGAUUACUGUGGAGAUGACGAAUUGGAACUAUACAUUUCUUCAGUGCCAACAGUGGAUAAGAUAUAUUAAAUAUUUAAGGCUUUUCGGUAAGAAUACAUAUUUUCUUUAGUUAUUUAUAUUUUAUUCUAUUUAAUUUAAGAGAUUAAAUAUCAUCUUUAAUUAUUUUAUUUUUCUUAUUUAAUCUAAUAAAUUAAAUAUUAUCUUUAAUAAUAGUUUUUAUUAAAUAAUUAGAGUCUGAUUGGUUUUAUUUUUACUUCUCGAUUUUAUGAUAAAAUGUUUCUUAAUUAAUUUAAAAAAUAAAUAUUAUCUUUAAUAAUUAGAUCUAUUGAAUAUCACUUAAAAAAUAAAUUGUAACUUUAAUAAUUAUUUUUUGAAAAACAAAAAGCCAACAAUCACUAACAUAUUUAUUAAAAUCACUUUAGUUUAUUUAGAAAAUAUUGAAAAUUGAUUUUUGUUUUUUUACAUUAAAAUAAAAAAAUUGAAUAAUGUUUUUAUAUUUUAUUUCAAACUCGAUAUUUUAAAACAAAAAUGAAAAAGAUGUGAUAUUAACCUUUUUUUAUUAUAAAGUAAGUUUUUUAAUUAAAAGUAAUAGGAAUUUGUUCGUAAUAACAAAAUGCAUGUACAAUCAUGCGCAUUUAACUUUCUUUUCAAAUUUGAAAGUUCUAAUGAAUUUGAUGGUUUUUUAGGGUGCAAAAGACUUUGAUUGACGUGAGAGUACAAGAUCAUUUUUCAUAGAGAUACUUGAAGUUGCUCCAAAUCAGUACGAUACUUCCAUCUGACAUAUUGAUAUGUAUUUGUUGGCUUGAAGAUCAUUUUCCAAGCUUGGAAGUUUUAUAAAUUGAGCGCUCUUUGUAAUCUUUUCCAUGAUGUAAUUUAUAUUUUCAAGUUACAAAUUUUGAUGAAUAUUGUUUCAUUUUUUUCCUCACUUCAAAAGAUGAAAAUCCUUGAUUGUAGUUAGAAAUAAAUUGGUUUUCUAGGAAGAGAUUAUUGAUUGGGAUAUAAUAUUUAAGUUGUUUCUUCAUCAUUUAAUGUUAUAAUUUAAAAUAAUUAAUAAAAAUUAUUGUACACAAAAAAGUUCUGAGAACAUUCUUAAUUAGUGUAAUAAGUAAAGUGUUGUUAGUUUUGACUAUAAAAUCUUGUUAUGUAUUAUUGCAUAGUUUUUACUAUUUUUUUAGCAUUUUUUCUUUUCUAUAUACAACUUUUAUUUUUCUUGUCAGUUUGUCAUCAGCAUCAACACCAAUUAAUAAUAAAUUUGAUACUAUUAUUAAACAAAGAAAAAACAUAAACAUUGUUAAAACACCAAACUUGCAUUGCUCAAACCUAAAAAAACCUAUGACAAUAAUCUAAUUUAGAAAACAAUUAAUUUAACCUUGUAAUCUUAGAAAAUAGUAUUUAAUCCUUAUGUUUUCGUAUUCAUCUAUGAUUUAAUGUGUUGAUUGAAAUUGGCAAGUGAGUUUACUCACAUAUUGUUAUAUUGGGUUUGAGUUCAAAUAGACGUUUAAAAAAGGGAGUUUUUCAUGAAUGCAACCCUUCAUGUAUUCAAUAUGAAUGAUGGGAGAUUUUAAUGUCUUGUAAAUGCAUUCAUUUAUAUAUGGAUGAUUUUGCUAAGAAUUGGUUGGUUAAAAACUUAAUUUCGUUAUAUAAAAACUGAAGAGAUAACAAUAAAUAGCUAAUAAUUGAUGUGAUAAAAAUGAUUUAUAUGCGUGUAUAAGCUAAUUCAAAUGAAGAUUAAAAUAAAAAAGACAAAAAGAAAAAGAAAAAGGAAAGACUCGUUAAGAUUUUAUGUUAGUGUUCAACAUAUUUUUUCUUAUUUUAUUUUUUUAAUUGGAUUACCUUUGUCUUUCAUGUCAAGUAAAAUUCUGGUAUAUAACACUAAAUUAAAAAAAAUAAGAGGUGAAGUAAAGGUCUAACUAAAUGAAAUACAAGUACAAAGACUACAUCAAAUACAUUUCAUAUACUCAACUCUUAGGAAAUUGACAUUUCAAGGCUAUUCGUAUCUUGAAAACAUAAUCUCAAUUUCAAGGCUAUUAUUAUUUUUUUCUUUGGAUCAAAAGGGUCUUAAUUGAAUUAUUAUUUGUUAGGUAACUAAGAUUUGUUGAUGUGGAAAAUAGCACUAAGGAACACAAAAACAGCAGCAAUCCAUCAAGAUCAUCACCAUCCUAUCGCUUUGCCGUAUUGUUUAUCUUCUUGGCAUUGUUUAAAGGAACGCAAAAAGACAUUCCAAGCGUGAAAGUGUAUUAUUGUAAUAAAUUUUUCAAACUUCCAAUAUAGAGAGUGAAAUAAAGAGCAAGAGCAAAAGGAAACAUCUUUCUUGUUCCCUUCCCCUUCUUUACAUGGCUUACUCAAUGAAAAAGCAAACACCCCAUUUGAUUUUCAAUCAGUAUGAGAGUGAGAAUUAAAGAGAGAGGCUGUCACAGUGUCAAAUGUGCACGAGGUGCACGCUUCGGCAGGCUGGCCAAAACAAGGCCUGAGGGUGCUGGCAGCCAUGCCAUCAGUGGGAGAAAUCGUCAGCGCAGAUUUAUGCGGCUGUAGGUUCGUCAAAGGGAAAAUCAGCAGCGCAGAUUGUUGACGAACAUGGGCUGGACGAGGGACUGUCCAAGCCUCGUCAGGAGGAUAGGCUGACGAGAAUUGGGGCUAUCGCAGAAUUCAGCAGCGUAGACAGGGGCAGCCUGCACGCAGAUGCGAAUUCGGCAGCGCAGAGAUUGGCAGCACGCAUAUGCGAAUUCGGCAGCGCAUUGGCAGCCUGCCCGCAGAUGCGGAUUCGGCAGCGCGCAACAACUUGUGCAAGUCAGGGGCUCGACUUGGCACGAUCUAAAACUUGGGCGAAGGAUUGUCCAAGGCAUGGGUAAAAGAGCUCUAGGCGCUGGGACGCGCCAGCGAAGGCACACUGCCUAGAAUUCGGCAGCGAUGGAUCGCGGCAGCCUUGCAUAGGCAGAGAUGAAUUCGGCAGGCAGCAUGCAAUGGUCUAUGCGAGUCUUUGAGCUUGCGACUUGGCAUGGACGUGGGGGCUUAGAUGAUGGACCUUCUAAGUCAGCAGCUGACGCAGCAGAAGCUGGCAGCUGGGGCUGCCAAGUAGACAGCCAAGAAAUGGGGGAAGUGGCAGCUUCAUGGGAGGCAGAACGUGGGAGCAUAACUGGGGUGCUUUCCAGGCCACUAUGUCCUGAAAACAUGGGAUCAUGGGUGAGAGGUAGUGCUCCACCAUGUCCUGAAAACAUGGGAUCAUGGGAGAAAGGUAGUGCUCCACUAGGUCCCGAAAAUGGGGGAUAAUGGGGAGGAGCCUUUGCAGCUCCUUUGCUUGUCUAUAAAUACAAGAUGUAGCUCUUGGUUGUGAGGGAGCAUUCGGGUGGGAAUGUUCAGAUGUAAGGGCAUUCGGUUGGGAUUGUCCAGCAUGUAGGGGCAUGCAAGAACAUGUGUAGAACACUAGUUAGAGGUAGCUUAGUGUAGCAUGCAAUCUUUGUGCAUAGCACACAUACGGAUUUGUGUAUAGUUUCCUUUGUGUAUGAGAUUAAUAAAGGUUGGGAAAGAGUUCCUGUAAAGCUUGUUGUGCACUAUGAUUCUUAUCCUUGCUUGUGUAUUCUGCUUGCUUAGUUAUUAGGCAAACACGAGUGAGAUUGGUGAGGGAAGGCUGAGUCUAGUGAGGGACUAGGCUGCCGCACGGGUUUAUUCGCGUAGCGAAAAAUACCCCCGUGACAGUUGGUAUCAGAGCGCGGUUGCUUUCGUGGCAGGAUGACGAGAAGAAUUCUGCGGCCAAAUCAACGGACUGAUUUGGGAGAGCUACUGCUUCUGCCGAUGGAGAAGCAGAUUUCAGCGCAAUGAUCAGCGACGAGAAUGCUGGUGUUUCUCGGGACAAAUCGAAGGGACUGAUUUGGGAGAAACAUUGCUGCUGCCGAUGGACUGGCAGAAACUUUGGAGCAAGAGCGCAAUAUGCGUUCAUGACGAAACGAUGGGCUGUUUCGUAGCACAGACGAUGGGCUGUUCUGUGGGGGCAGAUCGAAGGGCUGAUUUGUUCCAAGCCAUUUGAGGGAAAAACUUGCUAGCGUUUUGGGCAGUGUUGGUGUUCAAAAGGCCUGCGGAGUUUUAGGGGUUUAACUACUCCAUGGGCGAUGCAAAGUGACGACGAAGGGAUCAGCUCAAGAUGGGUGCUGAUUCGGCCAUUGAAACUGUCAGGUGGACUGGCAGGCUUGAGAGUAGGGGCCAGCGGAGGGGCUGCUGGGCGCUUCUGUAUUUUCGUCAAAGCCUUGAGGGAAGGAUGGGGCGAGACAGAAGAAGAAGCAAGUCAAUGUGGAGAGCCUAAACUUGUUGCUGCUGAUGAUGGACAGUCAGACGAGAAGGCAAAUCGGUAAGGGUUCGAAACUGAAACUUGCAUUGUUGUUCUCUUGCGAUGGAAAUUACUUUGUGCGAGAUUGUUGCCCAAAGGAGGGGAAACCUUGAUGUUGUCAUUGUGGAAGAUGGUGUUUGAGAUUAGGCAUACGUAAACCUUAUACGUUUGCUAGAUGACCGAGAUGGAAUUCAGUCAUCAUGAGCCAGCAUAUCGGAGUGGAUGCGGUCUGGCCUUGCUUGCUGCCUUGGUGGCAGAACUUAGGGAUUGUUGUGCAUCUCAAGGAAGGAAUGUUCAGGGAGAUGAAUGUUCAGGGAGGUGGAAGCAAAAUCCAGAGACCAAGUUGAGGACAGACGAAUCUAUGAGGAUUUGUUGUGGCUUUGCUGCCUUUGUGGAGGCAGAAUUGAUGUCUUCGGUGGAGACCUUGAUGAUGGACAGUUCAGGGUGAAGAAGACAGAACAGUGGCUGAGAUAGACUUUAGUCACGUUGAGACCAGGAUUGGAGGCAUUAAAGAGGAGGCAGUACCGUGGGGGUGUGUCUCAAGGAGUCUGCACGUUGUCGAGGGACAGACUGGGUGACAGAUUCGGCAGCCGAUCCAGUGGGCUUGGCGUGGAAGCCAAAAUCUUCGAUGAAGAUGAUUUUGUGUAUUGUCUUGGAAUCAGUACGAGUGGCUAUUCUGUGCAUUGUGAUGGUUGGCAGUGAUGGAAGCAGAAUGGUAAUGACCUUGUUGGGACAAAGUGUUGCGAGUUUUCGGUUGACGAAACAUGCAGCGAAGGUUGAAAACAGUAGGGGCUGUUUUGCGUCAGCGAAAUCUUGUGUGAUGGACGAAGUUCUAGCGCAUGACAGUAGCGCAUGGGGGAACCAGGUCAGACGAAACUUGAUACUGGGAUGCUAUGUAUUGGUGCUAUGGCAGGUUACAGAUGGACUUAGAGGGACUUGCCGAAAGACUUCGACAUGAGAUGGAGUUGAUCAACGAAACUGAGUCGGUGCUAGGUUCAACAGCACUGUCUCAUUCUUAUUUCUUGCAGGUGGAGAACCUAAAAGGGCUGACGGCAAUGGGAAGUCAGAAGCCAAGGGCAAGGAAAAGGUUUCGGAAUCAUGUUUGGGCUGUUUUAUUUGUGAGGGGAAGCACUUCACAAGGGACUGCCCGUUAAGAGCACAGUUUAGUGCUACUUCCGUGGAGAAGAAUGGAGAAGGAACGGCAUACGUAAAUCCUAUACGUGUGCUAAACACUAAGUAAAGAGUUAGUGUGAAGGGGCCAGCACAGUUGAUGAAGACUUAGGCGUGGCCGAACUGCCUUGUGCGAGGCAGAUUUGGGGGAGUUUCAUAACUUGGACGAUGGACAGAUCAUGGUUUAACUCCAGGCGUGAGGAUGCGCCAACGAAAAACACACUGCAUAGAAUUCGGCAGCGAUGAACAGCAGCAGCCUUGCAUGGGCAGAGGUGAAUUCGGCAGGAUGUGUUGAUUGCUGAGAAGCGGACAAGUAAGCAAUAUUGGUAAUACUUGCAGUUUUGGGGCACGCAGAAUGGUUGGAGAACUAGAAUGUUCGUAUGGGAGCUCAUGCGGUUCUUCGAAGUGAUUUUGUGUGGAUGUAUUUUGUGAAGGAAGGGACGGAUUCCUUGGGUGCUAGGCGUGGCAUCUAAACUUUGCGAAAACAUGCUUGCGAGUAUGAUGUGUUUGACAUUUGUGGAAAACUAACGAGCCAAAACAGAAUGUGUCACAGCUUGGUUUUUCGAAACAGGUUGACAAAGAUUCGGUGGACUGAAUUUGUUGUUGAAUGUGGGAAAAGCUAAGGGGUUUCGUGCGGAGAAACGUGGAUUGUGACGAGGAACAGAUGCGGUGCAAGGGUACUUCAAUUCUGUCCGACGAGGGCGUCGGGUUCUUUUGGUGGGGGUGGUUUGUCACAGUGUCAAAUGUGCACGAGGUGCACGCUUCGGCAGGCUGGCCAAAACAAGGCCUGAGGGUGCUGGCAGCCAUGCCAUCAGUGGGAGAAAUCGUCAGCGCAGAUUUAUGCGGCUGUAGGUUCGUCAAAGGGAAAAUCGGCAGCGCAGAUUGUUGACGAACAUGGGCUGGACGAGGGACUGUCCAAGCCUCGUCAGGAGGAUAGGCUGACGAGAAUUGGGGCUAUCGCAGAAUUCAGCAGCGUAGACAGGGGCAGCCUGCACGCAGAUGCGAAUUCGGCAGCGCAGAGAUUGGCAGCACGCAUAUGCGAAUUCGGCAACGCAUUGGCAGCCUGCCCGCAGAUGCGGAUUCGGCAGCGCGCAACAACUUGUGCAAGUCAGGGGCUCGACUUGGCACGAUCUAAAACUUGGGCGAAGGAUUGUCCAAGGCAUGGGUAAAAGAGCUCUAGGCGCUGGGACGCGCCAGCGAAGGCACACUGCCUAGAAUUCGGCAGCGAUGGAUCGCGGCAGCCUUGCAUAGGCAGAGAUGAAUUCGGCAGGCAGCAUGCAAUGGUCUAUGCGAGUCUUUGAGCUUGCGACUUGGCAUGGACGUGGGGGCUUAGAUGAUGGACCUUCUAAGUCAGCAGCUGACGCAGCAGAAGCUGGCAGCUGGGGCUGCCAAGUAGACAGCCAAGAAAUGGGGGAAGUGGCAGCUUCAUGGGAGGCAGAACGUGGGAGCAUAACUGGGGUGCUUUCCAGGCCACUAUGUCCUGAAAACAUGGGAUCAUGGGUGAGAGGUAGUGCUCCACCAUGUCCUGAAAACAUGGGAUCAUGGGAGAGAGGUAGUGCUCCACUAGGUCCCGAAAAUGGGGGAUAAUGGGGAGGAGCCUUUGCAGCUCCUUUGCUUGUCUAUAAAUACAAGAUGUAGCUCUUGGUUGUGAGGGAGCAUUCGGGUGGGAAUGUUCAGAUGUAAGGGCAUUCGGUUGGGAUUGUCCAGCAUGUAGGGGCAUGCAAGAACAUGUGUAGAACACUAGUUAGAGGUAGCUUAGUGUAGCAUGCAAUCUUUGUGCAUAGCACACAUACGGAUUUGUGUAUAGUUUCCUUUGUGUAUGAGAUUAAUAAAGGUUGGGAAAGAGUUCCUGUAAAGCUUGUUGUGCACUAUGAUUCUUAUCCUUGCUUGUGUAUUCCGCUUGCUUAGUUAUUAGGCAAACACGAGUGAGAUUGGUGAGGGAAGGCUGAGUCUAGUGAGGGACUAGGCUGCCGCACGGGUUUAUUCGCGUAGCGAAAAAUACCCCCGUGACAGAGGCCAAGGUGGUCCUCGAAUAUUUUCUUCUUUUAUGUCUCGCUCACUGGGGCAAACCAUCUUUUUCAAAAUUUUGAAAAGCAUGCCAUCAAAAAGAAUUUUGUUCAAUCCCAAUCCCACAUUGUCUGUAGAAGUAUUUACUUUUGACUGUACACUUUGUUAUUUUACAAUCCCUCCCCAGUUCUGCAACCAUUUCUCUACUUUCUAUGCACUUGGCUUGCUAGAAACUAAAGAAAACACAUUGCUCUACUUGCCUGCCUUCACUCUUCAGAUUGCUCAACAAAUCCCUUGAGACCUUCUCCAUAGUUAACACAUCACAUAAUGGCUAAUCUCAAAAAUUUAGCCAUAAACAUUGAACACCUUAAGCAAUCAACGUCCCUUCCUUCACAAUAUGCAUCACCCAUAAAUCUUUCUUUUGGGAUGUCGCCGGGAGUUUAAUCUCCGAGUGUAAAAAUUAUGUAUAAAUUUCCAUUCUUUCUUUCCAUCCAUUACUUGUCCUCUAUGAAGAUUCUAUGUAUGGAAUCUCGGAAUCUUUUCGAGCAUAACUUGGGAUCAACAGCUGAGAUCAUAGACGUGGGAUUAAUUGACAAAAUUUAUUUUUAACCAUCAAUAUUGAAUAAUGGCUUAUUUUAUAAUAUAAAUUAUGUUUGAAAUAAAAUUGAUAAAAUUAAAAGACAUGAAACACAAUUAAUGACGACAUAGUAUAUUUUGAGACUAAAUUGAGGUUUUUCAAUUACCUUUAAACAUAUCUUGGUUUUAAUAGUGGACGGUACAUCCUUUGGAUUUAUUAGAAAAAACAUGCAAUGUAAAUUUAAAAAAUAUAUAUAUUUAGUUUUCAAAUACACAUAGUAAUAAAAAAUUAGAUGAUAGUAAAAAGAAAAUAAAAAUUAGUCUGAAUAAUUGGUAUCAGUUUCUAUUAUGAUAUAUCUAGCGAAGAAGUUCAAAGAAUAGAAUGAAGUAAAAUAUUCUUAAUAAAAAAGAAAAAAAACCACAGAAAAAAAUAAAAUAUGUUUUUAAUAAAUAUGAAAGAUGGAUAAAAUUAGAGAACAAGAAAGAGAAAUAGAAUCUCUUUGUAAGAACUUCUAAAAAUUUAAUUAUAAUUUAGUAUUUCUUCCUUAUAAUUAUUCAACGCUAGGUUUUAAUAUAUAAUUAAAGAGUCUCUCUCCUGAACCAGAUAAUAAAAAGAUUGUAUAACUCUUUUGUAUGAAUUGUAAAUCCAGGGACUGUUUUGGUCCCUGACUUCGUUGAUUUGAUUUGAAUAUAUUAUUUAUAAAUUAGAUAAGAUUCAAACUAAGGGGAUUAAAGUGUAAAAUAAAGAAAAACACCCUUGGCAAUCUAAAAUAAUUGAAGUAAUGAAUGCAUGAAGCAAGAUAAUUAGUGGUUGAAUACAGAUUAUAACUAAUUAUUUGUUCUGAUGAACAUUACCAAAUACAAAAAAAAAUGUUUCUAAAAUAAUAAGAUAUGAAUUAACUAUAGGCGGCAAAUAAUUAAAAGAGAUAUAAAUUUUGUGAUGAGUUAUGGUUAAUGCAGAAGCAAAUAAAAGAGGAACAGAAAUGAUAGGCAAAUAUUGUUUCUGGGGUAGUGUUUGUCACUGCGGUUAGAAAAUGUUUUUAAAUUUUUUUUAUUUUUUUUAUUUUAAAUUAAUAUAUUUUUAAUAUUUUUAAAUCAUUUUAAUAUGCUGAUGUUAAAAAUAAUUUUUAUAAAAUAAAAAAAUAUUAUUUUAAUAUAUUUUCAAAUAAAAAACACUUUAAAAAACAAUCACUCCAAACUUUUAAACACUUAAUUAAAACCCAACCUUACAGCUUCUCUCUCCAUAUAUCGUCUUCUUCUGCUUUUGUCAUGGCAUCAACUCAUCGAGUACAGGUAGAGAUACUUGAGGUCUGUCAAGUCAUCUCGUCCUUGAACUCACUUGACCCAGCCACCGAGUUAUCUUUUCUGCUCAUCCUUUUUCCUACAAACUCACCAAGGCAACACCAGAUUAUUUUAACUAAGUGAUCCUUCCAGGUAGCCCCAGGCCACAUUAAUUCUGUUUUUUUUAAAACAAACUCGGCUUAGUUAUUAAUAACAUGUUGCAUCCACAGUCUUACCACUAUAUUAUAAUUAUUUAGGAGGAUAGUUGAACCAUACUUUUUAAAAAAAUUAAUUUUUUUUUUAUACUUUUUAAACAUGUUAUUAUAUUCAUUUCUAAUUUAAUUUUUAUCAUCCAUUUCAUCGUUUUAUUUAUUUAAUAACUAAAUUUUUAAGUGAAAGCAUAUAGUCUUACGAUAAAAAGCAUUUUUUUGAAAUAAAAUAAUAUUAAAUUAACCAUGCUCAACAUUGUUCAAAUUAUUAAUUAAUUAUAAUUAACUCGAGGCCUUUAGAAGAAACAAAAUGGAAAGACAAAAUUAUCUUCCCCACAACCAUAGUUGGGAUUUUUAAAAAAUUAAUUUUAUUUUUAAUUUUUUAAAAAUAAACAACCAAUAAUAAUAUAGUUGGGAUUUUUAAAAAAUUAAGAUGAUUAAAAAAUCGUAUAAAAAGCAAUUUGAAACCAAUUAAUGUUAAAAACAAAAAAAACAAAAUGAAACAUGCCAUGAAAACAAGAGGGUCUUAUUGAAUUAUUAUUUGCUAGGUAACUAUAUAAUAUAAUCUGUUGAUGUGGAAAAUAACACUAAGUUUUUGGCAUGGCAUUGGUGAGAAGCAAAAGCCAUAGGACCAUCACCAUCCUAUGGCUUUGCCGUGCUAUUUGGUUCAAAGGGACGCAAAAAGACAUUCCAAGUGCGCAGUGUUUAUUGUCAUAAAGUUUUUCAAACUUCCAAUAUUGAGAGAGAAAUUAAAAAAAAAAAAAAAAACCAAAAGGAAAAAACCCCCACCCCAUCUUUCUUGUUCCCUUUUCCUUCUUUACAUGGCUUACUCAAUGAAAAAGCAAGCACUAAUGCACCUUCUCCACAAGCUACCCCCUAUUUGGCCACUAUAUAAAUAUAUUAUGGAAAGCAAGAUAAAAAGAAAUCUUUGAUGACUUGCAUUAUCAAUGCAAAAUCUAUUUAUAUAAUUGCUAAAUCUAUAAAGAUAAAUCGAAAAUAACUAGUAAAAUCAGUGACUUGCAUUAUCAAGCUUGACGAAUUUUAAGCUUAAUCUAUUGUAUUAUCUUUGAUGAUCACUUCACAUGCAUCUCUUGCUUGUAUUUGCAAGAGAGUGGAUACCUUCUGCAAUUGCUCAUCGCUAAUUGAUUGUUCCUUCUGCUCUCUCAUUAUUAAGCUUAAACUGUUGUAUCAUCUUAUCUUCCACAAUAAGGAUAUAAUUAAUCAAUCGGACCGACCAUUAUGUUAAGGAUAAGAGAUUGUUGGCACCUCUUUUUUCCUGUUGACAACUCAUGAUUUAUUUAUAGCAGUUAAGGAUAUAAUUAAUCGGACCCACCAUUAUAUAUGUUCCACAUUAAAGAUAUAAUCCAAUGUUUCAUAAUGAUCAUCUUGAAGUUGUUUUUUUCCGCCUUAAUGUUCAGCAUUUUUUAUUUUAUGAUCAGAUAUUAUUUGGAUGUGAUAAUAUAAAAAAUAAUAUUUUAAAAUUUUAAAAAUAAUUUUUAUUAUAUUUUUUUUAUAAAAAAAAUACUUUAAAAAACAGUUAUUAUUACUUACAUGUGAUCUUUCAAUCUUUCAUGAUUGCCUUGUAUUGAUUAAAAGGAAGAAAUAUGAAUACCUCGGCAUUCUGCCACUCAUCAUUUAUCCCUAGGGGAGGCCAGGUAGGUCUGGCCAUUGCUUGCUUCUGUUAAUAAUGAACCUCAUUCAGCUUACGCAUCAACUAUUCAUAACCUAAUUUUAGGUUAUUUUUUAAAAUUUAUUUUUUUUUAAAUAAAAAUAAAAAUAAUUAAAUAAAAAUUGACAGUGCGAAGAAAACAGGUCGGGAAAUAUAACUAUAAUUAUACCCCAUUAUAUCUAAAAAUUAAAAAACAAUGUAAAUUCAAAGUUAAAUUAAAUAAUUAUUGAACGAAUUUGCAUAAAUAUAAAGUCCAAUAACAUAAUUAAAUUUUUAAUAAGUCAAUUUAAUUUAAUCAUAGACCAAAAUGAUUUUUAAUUACGUUUAAGAAUUAAUUUUAAUCCAAUUAAAAGGUUUAAUUAAGUGAAAAGGUUUAAUUAUACUUUAAAGAGGUUAAAUUAACUUUAUUAAAGAUUUAAUUGAUGAAAAAUUGAGUUUAAAAACUCAAUUUAAAUUUAAUUAAAAAGAUUAAUAUUUUAAAUAAUCAAAUUUAAUUUUUAUCAAAUUAAUUAAUUAAAAUCAGGAUGCAAAAUCACAAUAAAUUGAAGUUUAGCUUUUAUCAUUUCAAAAGUUGCAGCCUCAUCUUCACUACUUGUAAAAUUGGGGCAGAUUAUGGACUUAACCGAGCAAUUACCACUCGAAAUUCCUCGCAAUUUAUGAAGGAAAUUUCCGUGUUCUUUCUCUGUAUAUUAUUAGAAAAACUGUCAUUGACUAAUUUAAUUGUAAAGUCUUUGCAAGAAAGCUAAAAGAAUUAGAGUUUUUUAAUUUCUAAAAUUAUAAUUUUAAAUUGUAAAAAGAAUUCAAUUAUUUUUACAAUUCAUCAACAGGUAUAAAAAACAAUUAUACCACUAGCUGUCUUCUCCCAAUGAUCUUUGUAACACUUCCAUUUCCACAUCAUGCAUGAUCAAUUUAUCAGAAUUUUAAUUAGUGGUUGAAUAUAGAUUAUAACUAAUUAUUUGUUCUGAUGAAGAUUACAAAAUUAAAAUGAAAUUACAGCUUCUCUCUCCAUGGUCUUCCUCUGCUUUUGUCAUGGCAUAAAUAAUAGGAAAUAAAUUAACUAUAUAAAUUUAGUGAGGAGUUAUGAUUAACGUAGAAGCAAAUAAAUUAAAAGAGAUAUAAAUUUUAUGAUUAACGCAGAAGCAAAUAAAAGAGGAACAGAAAUUAUAAGCAAAUAUUGUUUUCGGUUUCGACUUUAAAUCAAACCUAUAAAACCUAACCAUUACAUCUUCUCUCUCCAUCGCCUUUUCCUCUGCUUUUGUCAUGGCAUCAACUCAUCGAGUACAGGUAGAGAUACUUGAGGUCUGUCAAGUCAUCCCGUCCUUGAACUCACUUGACCCAGCCACCGAGUUAUCUUUUCCGCUCGUCCUUUUUCCUACACCAAGGCAACACCGGAUUAUUUUAACUCAGUGAUCCUUCCAGGUAGGCCCAGGUCACAUUGAUUAUGUUAAAAAAAAAAAAUCUAAUGUCUUACCAUUAUAUUAUAAUUAUUUAGGAGGAUAGUUGAACAAUACUUUUUUAAAAAAAUUAAUUUUUGACGAGUAAAAUAAUGUGGAACCAAUCGCAAUAAAUAAAGCCAAAAAAGGCAGACGAGUGUGUCUAAUUCAUGACUUGCAUUGACUAAAAAUUACCACUAGAAAUUCCUAGUUUUAUCCUAUAUAAAGAAUACAAAAAAGGCAGACGAGUGUGUUUCGUGGUGCUUUCUCGGCCUGCAAAUGAAUAGAAAGCAUAUCCUUUUAUCCUAUAUAAAGAAUAAUACAAUUAACAAAGCAUAUUUCAAUAUCCUUGCUUUACUCUCCAGCCAUAUGGCCAUUGAUAGAAAGGUGUGUUGAAGCAAAAUCUUUUUUUAUCUGUAGCGACCUCAAUAAUGUUAUCGCGUGGGACCCAGUUGUUGCGACCACCACGAAAUUACCACUCCAAAUUGCUUGUUCUUUCUCUUUCUCCGUAUAUUAUUAGAAAAACUGUCAUUACUAAUUUAAUUGGAACUUAUUUGAGAGAAAGCUAAAAGAAUUAGAUUUUUUUAAUUUAUAAAAAAAUUCAAUUAUUUUUAAAAAUAAAACAUCAACUAUUUACAUAAUAGCUAAAUAAAUCUAUUAAAAUAAAUUGAAAAUAACUAGUAAAAUCAAGCAAAUAAUCCAAAAAUAAUAAGAAAAUAAAUAUAUUUUCUAGAUCUGAUUUGAGUAUUUUUUUAUCUUGAUUGACUGACUUGUUAAGUCUCACUAAGUAUAAAUGAAGUCUGUUUGAUAUUUCUUCAUUUAUUAAUGAAAUAUUACUUCUAUUAUAUAGUUAUUGGGUUUCGAGUUGAUCCAUCGGGUCAAUAGGUAAAUAGUAUAUUCUUUGAAUUUAUUAGAAGAAACGUGUAAUGUAAAUUAUAGAAAAAUAUUUAUUUUUCUGAUAUACAUAAUAAUAAUAAUAAAUUAGAUGGUAGUAACAAAAGAAAAUAGAAAUUAAUUUGAAUAAAUGGUAUGAGUUUCUAUUUUAAUAUAUCCAGGGAAGAAGUUCGAAGAAUAGAAUGAAGUUAAAUAUUUUUAAUAAAAAAAAGAAAGAAAAAAAUAAAAUAUAUUUUUAAUAAAUAUAAAAGAUGGAUAAAAUUAGAGAACAAGAAAGAGAUAUAUAAUCUCUUUGUAAAAACUUCUAAAAUUUUAAUUACAAUUGAGAAUUUCUUCCUUAAAAAUAUCCAAAAAAUUCCUAUUAUUUAUGAAUCAAGACAACAGUAGAAUAACUUUUACAUAUUUUUCAAGUCUACUUAGAAUAAUUAUUUUAAUAUUUUAAAAUUAAAAAAAUACUGUGUAGUUGUUUUGUAUAAAUUCUAAUGUUGAGAACUCUUUUGUGCUUGGUAAAAUAUGAUUUUCAACUUUCGCAGGCGAGCACUAAAGUCCCAAACUUGAAGAAUUUCUCUUCUUUUCCUUUUGUAUUUUCUCAUUUUUUUGGCAUGCGCGCAGCUGCUUCAUGGAAAAAACGUUUCAGAUGCGGAAAAUAAAGAUAAAUGUAGAAAAUAAAAGUGGAAAAAAAAUCCCAAAUAUCGACAAACAUCACAAGAGAAGCUUGAUAUCAACCACAUGCUGCAGUCCACAGUCUUUCCAUUACAUUAUAAUUACUUCUAAAAAAAAAUUAAUUUUUAUUUAAUUAUAUGCCAUCAGCAACUACCUCAAAAUUACCACUCUAAAUUCCAGCUCAAUAUCGAUUAACAUGUGGCUAAAAAAUUUGAUAAUCUCUUAUAGGAAUCUCUUUAUUUAUUAAAUCAUCAAAAUAUCAGAGUAUAUUUCAAAAGACUAUGACUACAGUUUAUAUAUAUAUAUAUAAAAAUAGAAACAACUAAAUAGAAAAAUUAUUAUUUUUUAAAUAAAAAACUAGAAAAGCCUGAUAAUAUUAUUGAAUAAAAAAUAAAAUAGAAAUUUAAUCAAUUAAAAGUUAAAAAAAAUACUGUUUAACUGUUUUGUAUAAAUUCUAAAGUUAAAGAGCCUUUUGUGCUUGGUAAAAUACGUCACACUAAAAUUAAUAAAUAAUAACACAAGAAAGGACCAAAGUUAAUAAAUAAUAGCAUGCACGAAACUUCAUGAUACCCAUGUUUUCCACGUUUUACACUGCUUUAAUAGAUUGUUACAGCAAGAGCACAGAGAGAGGAACGGUUCAAGACAGAACAAUAAAGGAGGGGCUGACGCUCAGUGAGGACAUCCUCCAGCUCAUCUGAUCCAGCUCAAAUGGUUGCAACCACCACGAAAGGAACGCAUUAAUGUUAACGCGUGGACCCAGUUGCUGCACCAGCAUGAAAGUACCACUCCAAAUUCCAGCUCAAAUUGAAUAAUGAUUUAUUUUCUAGCAUAAAUUAUGUUUGAAAUAAAAUUGAUAAAAGACAUAAUUACACAAUUAUUGAUGGGAUCGUAUAUAAAAAUAAUUAAAUUGAGAUUUUUUAAUUAUUUUUAAACAUAUCAUGGUUUUAGGUACAUCAUGUAAAUUAUAAAAAAAAUAUUUAUUUUUCUGAUAUAUAUAUAUAUAUAACAAAUGGUGUGAAAGGGGGAAGUACUAUGAGAGCUUUAUGCCACUUUCUAUCUUUGAUGUAAUGGCUUUGGCAAAAAGAAGCAAACAAAAGUUAGUGUUCGCACUACUUUAGCCGAAGAGUCUUUCAUGGGUGCCUUGGAUUGAUUGAUAGGAAGAAGUCUGCUUUGUUUUUAGAAAGAAGCAGUCUUCAUUGCUUUAAUAAAUUAUUACAAUAAUAGCACUAAGAGAAGAGAAGAAUGAGAGAUGAUCCGAGUUUCAAAACUAUAGUUUAUAUAUAAAAACAACUAAAUAGAAAAAUUAUUAUUUUUUAAAUGAAAAAACCAGAAGAGCUUGAUAAUAUUUAAUAAAAAAAUAAAAAUGAAAAAAUAUGCCUUUUUAAGUACAAACAAAAUUAUAAAGAUUUAAUAAUACUGUAUAAAAAAAUUAAAAAUUCUAACCUAAAUUAAAAAAAAUAAAAAUAACUGAAAAAAUAUUUAUAAAAAUUACGGUAUGUAAAUCUAGGGACUAAAGAUAAUACAACUGCAUUGACCGGAGAUUUCACUUAGAAUUUCUAGUAAAUUAUAAAGGAAAUUUCCUUGUGCUUUCUCAUAUACAUGAAUUUAAAAAUUAUCGUUGCUGGAUUGACUUGCAUUGACUGACUUGCUAAGUAUUUGCUGCUCUUGUGCUCUCUCUUGUAUAUUAUUAGAAAAAUUGUCAUUGACUAAUUGACUUGCAAAAGUAUUUGCAAGAAAGCUAAAGAAUUAGAGUUUUUAAAAUUUUUAAAUUAUUAAAAACAACCAAUUAUUUAAAAAAAAAAUCAAGAAUACAACAUCAACUAUUUAUAUAAUUGCUAAAUAAAUCUAAUAAAAUAAAUCGAAAAUAACUAGUAAAUAAUUCAAAAAUAACUAGAAAAUAAAUAUAUCUCCUCAAUAUGAUUUGAGUAUGUUUUCUAUCUUAAUCGACUGACUUGCUAAGUAUUUGUUAAACAUAAAAAAACUUUACUUUAAAAGUCUAUUUAAUAUUUUUCUUACUUUUAUUAUUUUACUUCAAAGUUUCAAUUUCAUAUUUUUUUACAAUGUAUAUUUUAUUUGAUUAAGGAUAUGUUAAGCAUUGACUCGAAAUUACUACUUGAAAUUCUGGACUGGAAACUAGCUUAAACGCUGGCCACCAACUCUUUUUUGCUCGAUUCAUAGGGAGAGAUCAGGGUAGAAAAUGUGAUUUUUUAUUCAAGAUCGUGGAUAGUACGUUUAAGAUUAUGGAAAUGUGUUUUUUUGUUUACUAGAAGGAUUGGGUCGAAAAGAGGGAAAAAAGUGACAACCUUCCAUAUACGUUUAAGGAAAUCUAGAUUUCUGUAAAUUUUAGGAAAAAACAAUGUCAUUUUUGUUUUUCUUUCAAUAUCAAAAUUUUUUCUUUCCCUAAAUUAUGAUAUAAAAACUCUCAAACUUAAUUUUUACGUAUAAUAUUUAAUUAUUGGUCUAAUUUCAAUACUAACUAUAUAUUUUAUUAUUAUUAUUUGUGUAUUUUUUUUCUGAUUAUUUCUAACCACUUAAAAAAUUAAAAAAAAUAUCAAAAUAAUAAAAUAAUUAAAAUGAACUAAAUUUACUGAAAAUAUUUUUUUAUAAAAAAAUGAAGGGUAAAAAAAUUAAAUUAUGACAUAUAUCAUUAAUUAUUGAGAUUCUUAUAACAAACACGGAACUUCAUGUCACUUGAUGAUACCCAUAUUUUCAACGUUUUACACUGCUUUAAUAAAUUGUUACAAUAAUAGCACAGAGAGAAGAAUGGUUCAAGAGAAAACAAUAAUGGAAGGGAAUCAAAAUCUUUGUUUGAUUUUCUGUUGUGUUUUUGGUACAUUGGUCAACAAUAGCUUGGAAGAGUUUGGUAGCAGUAAGUAACCUUUUCGACCUCAAUAAUGUUAACGCGUGGACCCAGUUGUUGUGGAAACUUUGCAGAGGAAGAAAAAUGAUUGCAUUGCUAAUAAUUUGCAAGAGAGAAUUCUUUCUCUGAAUAUAUAGAAAAAACUAUUAUUUUUAAAAUAAAAACAACUAUAUAGAAAAAUUAUUAUUAUUUAGGUAGAAAUGAUUUAAUUAAGGAAGUAUGUUAAAAAAUAAUAUAAAUUAUAUUUUAGAGUUUAUUUUAAUAGUUUAAAUUUUUAGAUGGAUAGUUUUUGGCAUGGCCAUCGGUGAGAAGCAAAAGCAGUAGCAGCCCAUCAGGACGAUCACCAUCCUAUCGCCGACAUUCCAAGUGUGAAAGUGUAUUAUUGUCAUAAAGUUUUUCAAACUUCCACUAUAGAGAGAUAAAUAAAUAAAUAAGUAGAAAGCGCAAAAGAAACAAUACGAUAAAUUUAAACUAUACUAAAGGUCAGUUUUUCACUCUGUGUGAAUCUACAGUGAAAGUUUGAUUUUGCACAUGGUAGAUAAAUUUAGGUUUAGGAGUAUAAUUUUUUAUAUAUAUAAUUACACUAAAGAAGAAUAUUAAUCAAAUAACCCUUAAAAAAUUCCUUUUAAUUUAUGGUUUAUUUUUUUUAUCUAAUUUAAAGUGAAUUUUAUACCUGAUAAUAUUUUAUCUAAUUUUAUUACACGCUAAAAAAAUUAUGAAAACUGUAGUUCUUGUCGGAUGUAUUUCGUACGUAAUGGAAUUGUAGAUGGUUUCAUGGAAUAAUAAAAAAUAUUUUAUAUAAAGUAUAAUUUAUUUCAUGAUGUAAUAGCAAUAGUUAAAUUCAUAAUAUUUAAAUUAAAAAUCAUCAAUAUUAAUAUAUAUUUUUUAAAAUUAUUUUAUAACCUCAAUUUUAAAAACAUUAUUAACCAAACACAUUAAAUUACUUUUUCUUCAGCCUCAAUUUCAACCAUAAUUUUAACCAAACACCUAUUUUUUCAAACCAACUUCAACUAAAAGUACUUUUUAUAAAACAAUUUUUUUCAAAUCAUAACCACAACAGCUACCGCAAUACCAAACACACUCUUAAUCAACUUAAAUUUGAGUGUACCUUCCGAGUAAGACAAACCCUGUAUUUUAAAAUACUAUUGCCAAAAGAUCCCCUUAUAUAUGGAUCAAGACAACAGUAUCACUCCCAUUUUAGUAAUAGAAUAAGUUUUACAUAAUUUUCAAGUUUAGUAGAAUAGUAGUGGAUUAAUUUUUUUAAUAUUUAAAAAUAAAAAAAUACUGUGGAGCUGUUGGUAUAAAUUCUAAAGUUAAGGACUCCUUUGUGCUUGGUAAAAUACGUCAAUUUAAAGUUAAUAAAUAAUAGCAUGCACGAAACUUCACGAUACCCAUGUUUUACACUGUUUUAGAGUAUGUUUGGUAUUGCGGUAGCUGUUGUGGUUGUGAUUUGAAAAAAAUUAUUUUAUAAAAAGUACUUUUAGUUGUGGUUCGUUUGAAAAAAUAGGUGUUUGGUUAAAACCGUGGUUGAAAUUGAGGUUGAAGAAAAAGUAGUUUAAUGUGUUUGAUUAAGAAUGUUUUUGAAAUUGAGGUUAUAAAAUAAUUUAAAAAUAUAUAUAUUAAUAUUGAUGGUUUUUAAUUUAAAUAUUAUGGAUUUAACUAUUGUGGUAACAUCAUGAAAUAAAUCAUACUUUAUAUAUAAAAAAAUUUAUUGUUCUAUUAAACUAUCUACAAUUCCAUUACGUACAAAAUUCAUCCGACAAGAACUACAGUUUUCAUAAUUUUUUAGCGUGUAAUAAAAUUAGAUAAAAUAUUAUCAUGUAUAAAAUUCACUCCAAACUAGUUUUUUUUUAAAAAAAAAUGUUAAAAAAAUUAACAAAAAAAAAACUUAACACACUAAAAAAAAAAAGAAAAAGAAAAAGAAAAAGAAAAAAGAGUCCACGCAGUGCAAGUGAACAGUGCAAGAGAAUUGCACCGUUCACUAUUUUUAAGUGAACAGUGCAUCACUUGCACUGUUCAAUGAACAGUGCAAUUAACGUGAACAGUGAAAAAAGUAAGAAAUGACUGCUUUUCCUUUCCUGCGUUGCUAACGCAGAAAUUAAGUGGGGCCCAGUAAACAGUAAAUCAAUUUUUUUCUUAACCAAAUAGCUGCGAACUGCAUUUUAAAUAAAACGCAGCCGCAGUCGCAGAGCCAAACAGGCUUAAUAGAUUGUUACAGUAAAAGCAAAGAGACAAGAACGGUUCAAGACAGAACAAUAAUGGAGGAACGCAAAAAGACAUUCCCUUUCUUGUCACUAAAGAGUAGCAAAAGUAGUAGUGAUGUUUUUUUCAACUUGCAUGUCUGUUAUGACUAUUUAUUAUGGGCUAUGCAUGACAUGGUCAGGGCAGCCUCUAAAAUCAUCCGAUCAGUCAAUUAUGCCAAGCGAUAGGCCUAGCUGAAGAGAAAUUUGUUGCCCAAACCUUGACUAACCUAGCAUGUCUAAGAGGAGACUUUGACUCCAAAACUAGCAAGUAAAUUUCCUCGUCUUUUGUUUAAUUUUUCUCAAGAUGAAGAAAUGGCUGGAUUAAUUUUCAUAUACGAAAAUCAAAAUUUUCUUAAUGGGAUCUUAAGAAAAUUUCUUUUCUUGUCCAAAUCAAGCCUCGAGAAAGCAUGUGCAAUUUAUAUAAGAAGCAAAUUCUAUUUCUUGACUUGUAUUUGCCUUUUGGAAUUUUCUGUACAAAUUUCUUGCCAGGAGUUGGAGAUAAUUCAAUGAACUUCCCCAAAUUUUGAAUUCCCCUCCUGUUCUGCGGUGGUAUCAUAGGACUUCAUUGCACUAUUCUGUGCAUGGAUACUUUGGAAAACAAAGGCUCUUAGCUGAAACCAAAGAACACUCUCUGGCACAUUCCAUUCACUAUACCAGUAAAUAGACAGAUAGAAAUGAAAAUGUUGAUGGAAAAUAUUUUAUUAAUAAUUUCAGAUAAAAAUAACAAUAAAAAAUUUCAAAUCUCUUAAAAUUCUGACCACAAUAGCAACAAAAUAGAAAAAAAUAAAACGGAUCAGAUUGCUUUUGAUGCAUACUGUUUCAUUCUUUUUCUCACUUCUUCGACGUAUUUUCAAGAAGAUGGAAAUUCUUGAUCUUAGUUAGAAACAAAUUGGUUUUUCAAGAAGAGAUUAUUAGUUGGGAUAUUGCAUUUGAGUUGGUUCUUCACCAUUUAAUGUUAUAAUUUAAGAUAAUUGAUGAAAACUAUUGAUAUAUACAGGAAAGUUCAGAAAGCAUCUUUAAUUGAUUUGAUAAGGAAAGUCUUGUUUGUUUUGGCUAUAAGAUUUUUCUAUGUAUUAUUGCAUGCUUUUUACUGCUUUUUGGCCUUUCAUUCGAAGGAUAUAAAAAUAAUAAGAACAUUUUUUAUUCAUUAUCAAUGCUUGAUUUUAGCACGAUAAAAUCCAAGGGAUUGAUGGUCUGGUGUUUGUGGUGCUGGUAAAUGUAAGAACGGACCGAGAGAUGAAAUAGGAAAAACCCAUGUCUAUUAGUUGGCACCGGUGAUCAUUAGGCCCUUGCCGCCCACGAAAUCGCUUUAUCCUGUUGUUAAUUUUUUAAUGAAGCGUAUCAAGUGUUUGAUAAAAUUCCUUAACUGGAAAAAAAAAACCUUUUUUUAAUGAAGCGUAUCAAGUGUUUACACUUUACAGUGCUUUAGAAUAAGUUUGGUUUUUAAAAUAUUUUUUAAAAAAAUACAUCUAAUUAAUUUUUUGAUGAUUUAAAAAUAAUAAAAAUAUAUUUUAGAAUAAAAAUAUAUUUUUUUAAAUACUUUUACACCACAAAAACAACUACUUUUCAAGUCUUCCUACCCAUCGUUAAAUCAAACCUAUAAAACCUAACCAUUACAGUUUCUCUCUCCAUCGUCUUCCUCUGCUCUUGUCAUGGCAUCAACUCAUUAAGUACAGGUAAAGAUACUUGAUGUCUGUCAAGCAUAGGUUUUAGAACCGGCUUGAGGGCCUGGUUAAAUAUUUGGGUUUCAAGUUUUUAUCUGGUUAAUUUUUUUAAAAAAAUUAAAAUAAUAUUGUUUUAGUAGAAGAAUAAAAAUUAACAGGUUGUAAUUAGGUUUUUGACCGGAUCUUAUCAAGUUAAUCUGCCGGAUCACACCAGGUUUUUUCUUUCUUUUUUUUUCCAACCCGGCUCAGUUCCAGUUGCAAGUCAGCCGGAUCCUGAAUCAACCUACCAAAUCAGGCCGGGUUUCAAAUCUAUGCUGUCAAGUCACCCCGUCCUUGAACUCACUUGACCCAGCCACCGAGUUAUCUUUUCCGCUCAUCUUUUUUUAUAUCCUGUUCUUGAAAGUCGCUCCAGCUGAACACGCUUAUUCCUCUACAAACUAUUGCAUUUACCAAUACACGCUUGAGAAAUUUCCUUGCUUUUUUUUCCUUGCAUGUGUUACAUUUUUGUCUUUUAUAAUUAUAAUUAUUGCAUUGCUAAUAAUUUGCAAGAAAUAAUAUUCUUUCUCUGAAAAAGGCUUGAAGCAUUAUAGAUAAUCUCUUAUAGGAAUCUCUUUAUUAAAUCAUCAAAAUAUCAGAAAAUAGCGGAAAUGAUAAACUGUGCAGAAUUGAUGCAGUCUUCCUUAAUGCUUUCAACCUUUUACACUGAUUGAGUCCUCUAGAAAACUAUUAGAUGCCAUAAAGCAAGAGAGGAAUAUAUUUUGGAGUGACAUAGAUAUUAUGUUUUAAAAUGAAAUGUAUUUAAAUUUAUUUUUAAAAAUUUAUUUUUAAAAAUUUAUUUUUAAUGUUAACACAUCAAACUAAUCUAAAAAUAUUUAAAAAAUCAUUUAAAAAAAUAAAACAUUCAGCAACCACCAUGAAAUUACCACUCUAAAUUACCACAUAGAUUGUUGCUUGCUCUUUGACAAUUAUUGCAUUUCUAAUAAAACAUACUUUCUCAAUUUCCUUCUUUUUUUUCUUUUUUAACUAUACUCAAUCUGCACCUGCCACGAAAUUACCAAUAAGUAAAUUCCAGCUCAAUAUUUUCCAAUACGCACUUUUGAGAAAUUUCCUUGCUUUUUUCUUUCCUUGUACGUGUUACCUUUUUAUCUUUUAUAAUUAUAAUUAUUGCAUUGCUAAUAAUUUGCAAGAAAUAAUAUUCUUUCUCUGAAAAGGGCUUGAGAAAACCCGAAGCAUAGUAUAUAAUCUCUUAUAGGAAUCUCUUUGUUAAAUCAUCAAAAUAUCAAAGUCUGUUUCCAAAGUUAUGACUACAGUUUAUAUAUAGAAACAACUAAAUAGAAAAAUUAUUAUUUUUUAAAUAGAACAACCAGAAGAGCUUGAUAAUAUUUAAUACAAAAAUAAAAUAGAAAAAUUAUUCCUUUUUAAGUAGAAACAAAAUUAUAAAGAUUUAAUAAUACUGAAUAAAAAAAAUUAAAAUUUCUAAACUAAAUUUAAAAAAAUAACUGAGAAAAUAUUUAUUAUCCCAAUAGUUCUAAUAUUAAAAUCUCAUUUAUCAUAUGUUAGAUCUAUCAAAUAAUAAUAAUUGAACAGUUUUUAGUGAAUUAAGUUCAAUUCAAGAUAACAAAAUAAAGUUUGUUGAGGCUUAUCUUGGAACCGGUAUUAAUUAGUGAGAAUAAGAAAAUCCUAUACAAAUUAUACAAAAUUAAUUAUUAAUUAUCGAUAUUUAUUAUUGAUAAUCAAUAAUGAAUAAUAGCUUAUUUUCUAGUAUAAACUAUGUUUGGAAUGAAAUUGAUAAAAGACAUGAUACACAAUUAAUGAUGGGAUCAUAUAUAUAAAUAAUAAAAUUGAGAUUUUUCAAUUACCUUUAAAUAUAUCAUGGUUUUAAUAGGUGAACGAUACAUUCUUUGAAUUUAUUAGAAGAAAUGUGUAAUGUAAAUUAUAAAAUAAUUUUUUUUUUAUAUACAUAAUAAUAAUAAUAAAUUAGAUGAUAAUAAUAAGAAAAUAGAAAUUAAUUUGAAUAAAUGGUACGAGUUUCUAUUCUAAUAUAUCUAGGGAAGAAGUUUGAAAAAUAGAAUGAAGUUAAAUAUUCUUAAUAAAAAAAAAAGAAAUAAAAUAUCACAGCAUAAAGAGAUGUGGUAAAUCUUAUGUUGGGAGACUGCUCUUCCAAGGAUCCUACGGUUGCGAGCCAUACACGCUUGAGAAAUGGUGUGUUAUCCUUGCGACCAUAAAAUAUCCUUGCGACACAUCUUCCAAGGAUCCUAUGGAUAGCACUUGCGAGCAAUCUUGUUUUUUCAAUGCCGCCAUUCAGCAAGUCCACAUGUCAUGAGUCUACACGGCAUCAAAUUUGCAAAAUCAUAUGGCCCAUUGAUAAAAAGAUGUGUCGAAGCGAAAUCUGUUUUAGGCUUUUAGGUUGAUUUUAUAUGGGUCUCUGACUUGGCUGAUUUUAUUUGAAUAUAUUAUUUGAUUAGUUCAUUUAUAGGUUGACUCUACUAUAUAUUCUGCCUUGCAUUGACAGGAAAUUUCACUAGAAAUUUCAAGUAAUUUACACAGGAAAUUUCCUGCAUGUGUUACAUUUUUAUCUUUUAUAAUUAUAAUUAUUGCAUUGCUAAUAAUUUGCAAGAAAUAAUAUUCUUUCUCUGAAAAGGGCUUGAGAAAACCCUAAGCAUUGUAGAUAAUCUCUUAUAGGAAUCUCUUUAUUAAAUCAUCGAAAUAUCAGAGUAUGUUUCCAAAUACUAUUACUACAAGAAACAACUGAAUAGAAAAAUUAUUCUUUUUUAAAUAAAAAAAAACUAGAAAAGCCUGAUAAUAGUAUUGAAUAAAAAAUAAAAUUGAAAUUUAAUCAACAAUAAUUUCUCAUCUCCAAUAAAAAUUUAGGUUUAUCAUUUGGGUAACACAAACCCUGUAUUUUAAAAUACUAUUGCAAAAAAUUCCUAUUAUAUAUGAAUCAAGAUAACAGUAAAUAACUUUUACCUAUUUUUUCAAGUUUGUACGUAGAAUAGUAGUGGAAUAAUGUUUUUAAUAUUUGAAAAUUUUAAAAAAAAUACUGUGUAACUGUUUUGUAUAAAUUCUAAAGUUAAGGACUCUUUUGUGCUUGGUAAAAUACCUCACAAUAAAAUUAAUAAAUAAUAACACAAGCAAGGACCAAAGUUAAUAAAUAAUAGCAUGCUUUUAUAGAUUGUUACAGUAAAAGCACAGAAAGAAGAACGGUUCAAGACAGAACAAUAAUGGAGGAACGCAAAAAGACAUUCCCUUUCUUGUCAUAAAGUUUUGAAUAGUACUUUUGUGUAUUAUUUUCGUAAAGUUUUUCAAACUUCCAAUAUUUACAUGGCUUACUCGAUGAAAAAGCAAGAGCAAAAGGAAACGCACCCCAUAUUUAUUGUUCCCUUUCCCGUCUUUACAUGGCUUACUCGAUGAAAAAGCAAACACCCCAUUAGUUGUUGCCACCAAAUUCCAGUACACGCUUGAGAAAUUUCCUUGCGUUUUUUUCCCUCUACGUACGCGUUACCUUUUACCUCUUUUAUAAUUUUGAUUAUUGCAUUGCUAAUAAUCUGCAAGAAAGAUGAUGAAAAUUUUUUAGUGAAUUCAAAAUAACAAAAUAAGGUUUGUUGAGGCUUUUCUUGGAACCUCGCUUGGGGUUUAAUUAGCGAGAAUGAAUUCUACAAAGAUAUCGGACUGUGAGUUUGUUUCUAAUGCAAUUCACAAUAAUGACCUUGUGGAUGGACUCUCAGAAUACGUUAGUGAGACAGAAUAUAAUGAGGUUAAUAAUGGGCUUCUACAACUCAUCAUUUAUCCCCAGGGAAGGCCAGGUGGGCCUAGGCCACUGCUUCUGUUAAAAAUAAACUAAAAUAACACUUGUAAGGUGAUACAUAUUCUUGCAAUAAAUAAAGCCAGCAAAGGCAGAUCUGUGUGUCUAUAUAUACAUGAACUGCUGAUUCGAUUUGAACACCCCAUUUCUCCGAUUCAAUAACUUCAGUUGCAAAACUUCUAUCUCCGAUUGCGGCAAUUUCAUAGCUAACUCUUUGUUAUACACAGGUAUAUAAUUUCAUAGCUAACUCUUUGUUAUACAGAGGUAUAUACGGCUAACUCUUCUUUUCUUCUUUCUUGUUUUAAAUAUUUCAUGUCUUUACCAAUAACAAUAAUGUGAAAGCUUUGUAUGUUUCAUGUUUAACUUCAGUUGCUAUUGUCUUAUGCUCUCUCAUUAUUAAGCUUAAAUUGCGAAUUGAUUGUUCCUUCAAUUCUGCAGCUGAAAUGGCAGAGCCAGAGUCUUCUCGUUCUAUACCAGAAUGGACCUAUGAUGUCUUCUUGAGUUUUAGAGGAGAAGACACUCGCAAGACAUUUACAGAUCAUCUAUAUGCUGCCUUAGUCCAAGCAAAAAUCCACACUUUUCGAGAUGAUGAUGAACUUCCUAGAGGAGAAGAAAUCUCCGAUCAUGUCCUCAGGGCUAUUCAAGAAUCAAAGAUAUCCAUAGUUGUCUUCUCAAAAGGAUAUGCUUCUUCUAGAUGGUGUCUCGAUGAACUAGUAGAGAUUCUGAAGUGUAAAAGGAAGAAAACCGGUCAGAUUGUUCUUCCUAUAUUCUAUGACAUUGAUCCUUUAGAUGUGAGAAAACAGACUGGCAGAUUUGCAGAAGCAUUUGUUAAACAUGAAGAGCGUUUUGAAGAGAAGCUGGUGAAGGAGUGGAGAAAAGCUCUUAAGGAGGCAGGAAAUCUAUCUGGAUGGAAUCUCAAUGAUAUGGCAAAUGGGUAUGCCUUUUUUUCUCUAAGAUUCACUUGCACACAUUUAUGGAGUGAUUAUACUUUACAUUUUUCAAUGUGAAACAAUAAAAUACUUAAUUGGCUCGCUAUCAAUGACUUGCUUUUGUCUAUGAGCAGGCCUGAAGCAAAUUUUGUCAAAGAGAUUAUCAAGGAUGUGUUGAAUAAAUUAGGACCCAAGCACUUAUAUGUUCCUGAGCACCUAGUAGGUAUGGAUCGGCUUUCUCGCAAUAUUUUUUACUUUCUAAGUACUGCAAUAGAUGAUGUACAAAUUGUGGGCAUACAUGGGAUGCUAGGAAUAGGAAAGACGACUAUAGCAAAAGUUGUAUUUAAUCAACUCUGCAAUGGAUUCGAGGGAAGCUGUUUUCUUUCGGAUAUAAAUGAAAAAUCAAAACAAUUCAAUGGUCUGGCUCUUUUACAAGAGCAACUUCUUCAUAAUAUUUUAAAACAAGAUGUUGCUAACAUCAAUUGUGUCGAUAGAGGAAAGGUUCUGAUCAAAGAGCGACUUUGUCGCAAAAGAGUUCUUCUUGUUGCUGAUGAUGUGGCUCGUCAGGACCAGCUAAAUGCUUUGAUGGGAGAGCGAAGUUGGUUUGGUCCCGGAAGUAGAGUAAUUAUUACAACAAGAGAUUCAAAUCUUCUUCGUGAAGCAGAUCAAACAAAUCGGAUCGAAGAAUUGGAACCAGAUGAGGCCCUUCAGCUUUUCAGCUGGCAUGCCUUUAAGGACACCAAGCCAGCAAAAGAUUAUAUUGAGCUUUCAAAGAAAGCAGUUGAUUACUGUGGAGGACUUCCUUUUGCUCUUGAGGUUAUAGGAGCUCGUCUGUCCGGGAAAAACAGAGUUACGUGGGAAAGUGAAAUUGACAACUUGAGCAGAAUUCCAAACCAAGACAUUCAAGGAAAGCUUCUAACAAGUUAUCACGCACUUGAUGGUGAACUACAAAGAGCAUUCCUUGAUAUUGCAUGCUUCUUUAUUGGUAAAGAGAAAGAAUACGUCGCAAAACUGCUAGGAGCCCGUUGCGGUUACAAUCCAGAAGUUGUUUUGGAAACUCUCCAUGAAAGGUCUAUGAUUAAAGUAUUGGGAGAGACGGUAACCAUGCAUGAUCUAUUACGAGACAUGGGAAGGGAGGUCGUUCGUGAAUCGUCUCCAAAAGAACCUGGAUAGAGGACCAGAAAUUGGAAUCAAGAGGAUGCAUGGAAUGUGCUUGAGCAGCUGAAGGUAAAAAAAAAUAGUCAUGGAACACUUGACUGAUCAAAGAAAAAAAAUUAUUUAUUUUCUCUUAUUGAGUUCCAUAGUUUAAACUUUCUCGUUACACAUAAUUUUUAGUUUGGUAUAUAUAUUCUACUGUUUUUUAUAAUCUUUAUAUUUAUAUUUUUAAAUAUAAGUACACAUAGCAUCAUUUGAAUCUUUUGAUUGAAAGUAAAAGCUUUAUCUCGUAAAAUCAUCUCUAGAAGGUUUUAUUUGGUCAAUCUUCAAAAACUUAGGGAUUAAAAAAAAAAAACUUCUUACUUGAUUCAAUUUGGAAACCUCAAGGAGAAAAUUGAAACAAGUAUAACCUCACGGGGAGAAGUUGAAUUCUCCCCAAACUCAGGGGUUAAUUAAAAUUAACCUUUAAAUUUCUAUCCAUGCCCAGUUGCCCACGAAAGAGAAGAGGUACAUCCACGUGAAGCUCAUUUUGGGUUUGGGUUAGUUGAAAAUAUCUAGUGGGUGGGCCUUUUUUCUGUUUUUCUGUUUUUUUUUUGUUUUUAUGCACAGAAUACAUGAAAUAAUAAAUUUAAAUCCAACAAAUCCAAUAGAGAUAUAAUAUUGUAUACGAUCAACAUGAAAGAAUUUUACGAAAAGACAUGAAAAUAUCAUAUAUUAUGUGUCUCUGCCAGUCAUAAUUGUAUUGUUUUGUGUAUUAUCAAUUAUCUUUCUUGUAUAGGAAAUAUCAUGUUGGAUUUUGCUGAUGACAAACUUAAUCCUAGAGAUUGCAUCUGCGGUUUUUGACCAGACGGGUUAUGCAUUAAUUGGCAUGGUGUUGGCAUUUGUAGCUUUGCUUCUUGCUGCCGUUGAACUCAUUCACAUGGCUCGAAAGGAAAGAACUAAACGGGUGGGCCUAUUGCCACCUUUUAUUCUCCAUGCAACUAGAAAGCCUGUUGGCUGGUGCUGUCUGGCAAUGUGUUUAUUCGACUGUGGAGUAUAUGUAUACUCGUCAGAAGAAAGAUAAUCCAAUUAAGAUGUGUCUUUUACCUUUCAUUUUCUUAUUAUGCGUGGCGAUUUCCAAAUUAUUAGUCGACAAGAGUUCCGUUGUAAAUAGUUCUUAGCAAUAGUAUUUUCUUUGAACUAGAAGGAAUUUCUAGUAUUGUGUUCUAAGGACUCUUUUUAGUGGGAAUGAGUCAAAGAUUUUGAUUCCUAGAUUUUCUUAUCGAAGACCCAGACUUGUAAUGCAAUUAAGACACUAUAUUUUAGACAGUGAGCAUGAGUUGAUGUGGACAAUCUAGCUAUUAUUGAUAUGCGGUUCAGUAACCUCAAAUAACUAUGAAAGGAAAAAACUGUCAUUCACUGAUUUAAUUGGAAAUUAUUUGCGAGAAAGCUAAAAAGAAUUAGAGUUUUUUAAUUUAUAAAAUUAUAAUUCUAAAUUCUAAAAAAAAUUCAAUUAUUUUUAAAAUUAUUUUAAAAAAUAAAACAUCAACUAUUUAUAUAAUAGCUAAAUAAAUCUAUUAAAAUAAAUUGAAAAUAACUAGUAAAAUCAAGCAAAUAAUUCAAAAAUAAUAAGAAAAUAAAUAUAUUUCCUAGAUCUAAUUUGAGUAUAUUUUUUAUCUUGAUUGACUGACUUGUCAAGUCUUUAUUCCGUAUAAACAAAUUUUAUUCUAAAAGUCUGUUUGAUAUUUCUUCACUUAUCUAUGAAAUAUUACUUCUACUGUACAGAAUAGAAAUAAAAAUUAGAUGAUAAUAUUUAUUCUAAAAGUCUUCGUUAAGGAUAAAUGAACUUUAUUCUAAGAGUUUGUUUGAUAUUUUUUUAUUUAUUAAUGAAAUAUUACUUCUACUGUAUAGUUAUUGGGUUCCGAGUCGAUCCACCGGGUCAAUAGGCGAACAGUAUAUUCUUUGAAUUUAUUAGAAGAAAUGUGUAAUGUAAAUUAUAAAAAAUAUUUAUUUUUCUGAUAUAUAUAAUAAUAAUAAAUUAGAUGAUUGUCACACCCGACAUCGCGGCGACCUUAAAAAUUUAAUUCUUUGGAAAAGAACAGAUUUCUGGCAUCCUAUUCUUUAAUGGGGAUAUUCUUUGUUUAAGGAGUCGCCACCUAGUAUUAUGGUCACUAGGAACCCUAACUGGUCAACAGAGAGUCUACGGUUUGGGACUGGUUACGUAAAAGGGAAGAUAUUAUCACCCCUUAAACGUCCUGCCUGAGGCAGGCUGCACUGCUAGUUUUAUCUUUAAUUGCUAAAUGUUUAUUAGUUUACGAUAUGAUAAUUUACUUAUAAUAUUCCCGACUCUGGCGUCAGUGAAUAUUAAACUACGAAUACUUCCAACUCUGGCGUUGGUCAAUAUCACGUAGCUAUAAAAUAAAUUAGAUUAAUAUUUUUUAUUUUCCCGGCUCUAGCGCCAGUGAAUAAAUAAACAAAAUAAAAUUUGAUUUUUUUACGCAUGCAUAUUUUUUUAUUUUUUUUAGCUAAAUAAAAUAAAGUACAACAAAUAAAAAUAAUAUAAAUUUAAACCGGUAUUUUUAUUCCUGACUCUGGCGUCAGUGAAUAAACCAAUAAAUUUACAUUAUUUUUAUUCAUCUAAAUAAAUUUAAUUUUUUACGCAUGCACAUUUUUUAUUUUUUAGCUAAAUAAAAUAAAGUACAACAAAUAAAAAUAAUAUAAAUUUAAACCGGUGUUUUUUAUUCCUGACUCUGGCGCCAGUGAAUAAACCAAUAAAUUUACGUUAUUUUUAUUCAUCUAAAUAAAUUUAAUUUUUUACGCAUGCACAGUUUUUAUUUUUUAGCUAAAUAAAAUAAAGUACAACAAAUAAAGAUAAUAUAAGUUUAAACCGGUAUUUUUAUUCCUGACUCUGGCGCCAGUGAAUAAACCAAUAAAUUUACAUUAUUUUUAUUCAUCUAAAGAAAAUAAAAUACAACGAAUAAAAAUAAUAUAAAUUUAAACCGGUAUUUUAUUCCUGACUCUGGCGUCAGUGAAUAAACCAAUAAAUUUACAUUAUUCUUAUCCAUACAUGCAUAUUUUUUUAUUUUUUAUUUUUCUGCCUUUUAUUUUUUUAUUUUUUUUAUUAUAUAUUUUUUUAACUGGGCGGGGCCCGGCCCGGCCCAGAAAAAAAAAAAUUGGGGGCUGGGCCCAGCGCAGCCCACAUGGACUGGGCUGGACCCAGCCAGCCCAGCCCGGUCACUGGCCCAAGCCAGUGACCCGGCUGGGUAAAAACUAAAGGCACGCGUGACUUAUUCACGCGUGCCCGAACACUGGUGAAGGUAAUUAAAUUACCUUCACACAGUGUUCUUGCAGCACAUAAUUAUCUUUUGAAAUGAAAAUGCAGAGGAGACGGGGUCAUACCUGCUUCUGGAGACCGAAGAUGCUGCUUCUGGAGACCGAAGAUGUUGCUUCUGGAGACUGAGAUGCUUGCAGCGCUGCUUGAUGAUUUUCGCCUAAUGUUCCUCUGGUUUUCCUUCUGUGAAUACUUAUCUAUGCUUUCCUUCUUGAUUUCUCUGUAACUUCUAAAGCUACAAAGAAGAUUCCGGCUUGUUGUGAGUGUUCUUUGGCUGAAUCCGGGUUUUUUUGUUUGCAGGUUCGGAGACAAUUUCAAGGAUAAUUCUCCUUACCGUGUCCUGCCUUCUUGUCCUCUCCUUCUCUGUGUAUUUGGAUUUGUGCUCUGUUUUCUCUGCCUUUUUCUUUUAACUCUGUUUUUCUGGGUUGAUUUUUUCGGUUCUCUCCCUCCUUUUCUUACUGUGUAUAAUUUCUCUGGUUUUCUUGCUUUUUUUCUUGCUCUCCCUCCUUUUUUUUUCUUUAGGUGUUCUUCUCCCUUUUAUAAACCCAGCCGAUUGCCCCCCAUCAGUCCUGCCUUUGCAGGACUGUUAUCUUCCACGAACGAGAUCGUGGGCGAGAGACGUGGUCCUCGAUUGGAUUGAAUCCGUUGCAGAUUUUCCAGCCUGUUGAAUCGGGAUGGAGAAGACGAACACGACUGUUCUACCCGCAGCGGCGACGUUUCGGCAGCAAUGGAUUUCACCAGCAACGACGCCGUUUCAAGCAGCAAAUGGACAUUUUUAUUUUGAUCCCUGAACUGUUGGAAAUUCGGCAAUUGGACCUUAAAAAAAAUUCCACUUAAUUUUGUCCCUUUGGAUUAAUUUCAAUUAAAUCCUUAAAUUAUAACACUGUUUACAAAACAGUCCUUAAUUCCUGGAUUGUUCAAUUUAGCCCUUAAUUAAAUCUUUAACCUUUCAAAAUUGAUCAAUUAACUCUCAAAUUACAUCCUCAAACUUCAAAUUUUGUUGUUUUAACCCCAUUGGCAACUAUAUUUAAUUUUUUUAUUAUUUGUUCAAAAAUUGGUUAUGACAGUUGCUCCCUCUUUAUAAUAUUUACAAUACAAAGAUAUUGAAAAAUUUCAUUUUUCCUUAGCUUUGUGUAGUAAAUUUAUAAAGAAAAGUAGAUAAAAAAAAAAUCUUGAAAACAGUAGAUUGACAUAUGACUUUUUACGGAGAGAAUAAGUUAUUUGGAAGAUGACUUUUUUUUUUUUUUUUGAAACUGAUCAAAUUAUUUUGGGUAACCUACCUAAUGAUAAAAGAAACGCGAAGAAUUUCGCGAGUGGUCUAAUUGUUCCAGGCGACCUACCCAAUGAUUGAAAAAUACGAGGAUUUUUUUUUUUGUGAUGGUAUAUUGUAAUGGGUUACCGGCCCAGAAUAAAGUGGUUUAUUGUAAAGGGUUACCGGCCCAAAUGGUCACAUUGUAAUGGGUUACCUGCCCAGUGUAGGAUGGUAAAUUGUAAUGGGUUACCAGCCCAGUCUAGGAUGGUAAAUUGUAAUGGGUUACCAGCCCAGUUGGUCACAUUGUAAUGGGUUACCUGCCCAGUUGGUCACAUUGUAAUGGGUUACCAGCCCAGUUGGUCACAUUGUAAUGGGUUACCUGCCCAGUGGAUAAAUACGUGGAUUUUUUUUUAAUAAGAUAUGAUAGGGCUCGAAGACGCACUCCAAAGGAGGUAGGAUAGGAAAUGCACUACCUUUGAUGUUCGAGGGCUCGAAGGCGCCCUCGAAAUGGAGAUAAAACGAGGGCUCGAAGACGCGCUCGAAUGGAGAUAAGAUGAGGGCUCGAAGGCACGCUCGAAUGGAGACAAGACGAGGGCUCAACGGCACGCUCGAAAAAGAACUCAAAAGGAGGUAGGAUAGGAAAUGCACUACCUCAGGAGUGGAAACUGAAAUGUGGUGGAAAAAUAUAGAGAGAGAUUUUUUUAGGUGGCCUAAUUCUCAUGGGCGGCCUGCCUAGGUUGAAAAAUUCUCAAAAGCGAAAAUUUUUCAAAAGCAAUUUCAAUGUUGGCCAUCCACUUGAUGGAUUCCGUUAGAAUUUUCUCUAAUAAAAUUUGCAGCACUCAUUGUCCAAUGUUUCAAAGUUUAAAUGAUAUGCAUGCAUCUUUACCUGACUUGAAAUAUAGGCCCCCCAUUUCUUCUUAAUCUUCUCAUUGUAUGGUUGAUGAGAUCUUGCUAUCUGAUUUGAGUCAUCUUUGUCGUUUGGAUUUCUAGCGCACUCGAGUUAGCCCAUAUAAGACUUUUUCCAGAUUUGUUUGCACAACUCAGCCUUUGUGGUGCCCAUCGUGACCCACAUGCUUGAUGGACUCGUCAAAUAAUUUGAGAGGAUCAUUCAUUACCCCUUGACUCACUGCUAAAAACAUUCGGUGUCACUAGCUGAAAGGAUCAAGCUGUCUUUCAUAAACCAAAAUGCCCCCUUGUCUUGUUGAAGGAAAUUACCAUCUCUUUUUUUUUUAGAAUUUUCCUUCUGAACACAAUAUCCCCUUGUAUUGGUCAUUCCCCCUAAGUGUGCUCUGUCAGCGACUUUAGACAAAUAAUGGUUUUAAGAGACCCUUUUCUCAUUUCUAUCCUUUUUCAGUUUGGUGAAGAAGUAUGGGUCUAGAAUAAAUCUUGAAAUCUUGAUCUUGCAUUUUUGAAAACAAAAAUUAUUUCAAUAUGAGUCUAAAACAAUUUACUUUCAAAAUCUUGCAACUCCUUGGUUAUUUUCUUUCUUGGAAAAGAGAUUAUUUGCUCUUGUGUUUGGCAAUGAGAUCUUCGGUGAAAAAUACGUUAUGAGAUGACCUUUUGUGUCAAAGUGAAGGGCUCGAGAGAAAGCUCGAGAUUUUGUAUGAGAAAAACAUCUCUUUUUAACUUUUAUUUUUAUCAGCAUGAAUAAUAAUGGGUAGUUUAUUCUUGAUGCCAUGAAUUUCAUGAAAAACUAUUCUUUGGAUUUUGAGAGCAUUGUUUAUUGUUCCAGGUUGCUUGCUUGCUUGAUUAGAAAGGACUUCUACAAGCACGUAAUGUAGGCUGUGGUUUUUGGCUAUGAAAGAAAAGGACUCGUAGGGCUCAAAGAGUGUUUCAGGGUUUCAAAGACUGAAGAUCACUAUUAAUAGUUUGACUCUUGACGUCAUUCAUAUUUUCUUUUGCCGCUCUUCUUUGAUUUGCCCUUUUUUCUUCUUUCUUUUUCAUUGCUUUGCUAGAGCCUACUCAUUUUAUCUUGGUUAUCACUUUUUCUUGUGAUUUGGGCAUGCCCCCUAGCACUUGAGUUUCUUGGGCUCUUUUGCCUUUUGGCUUUCUCACGGCUUUAUCAUUUUUCUUGAUCAUUGAAAUUUCACUUGCCCCCAGUGUGGGGUGUGAUCUUAGUCAGGAUUUUUAAUGAAAGAAAAAUUAUUCAGGCUCAAAAAGGGAUCGCAAGGGAUGUACUUAUUUUAGAACGUGAAAGGAAUAACAAAGAUGGCCUUUCCUCAUUUCAAACGUAAGCAACUAUGAUCAAUAAACUUUGACCUCAUCCAGUGUGAUGGUUUAGUCUUUACGAGGAUGCAUUUCAUGAGUUAUGAGCAACAAGUUCACUACAUACCAUUAUUCAUACAUUUAAAAACACAUGAUUCAAGAGUUAUGGGAUAAGGGUAUUUAUUCAUUUUUUUUUUGUUUUUAGAGUUUGGUCACCUCUAUGUAGGAGUUGCUUGAUUCAUUUGUCAUUCUACACGUAGAAUGUCAAAAAUCAUUUUUGAAUAAACAUCAAAUUACUUUUGAAAUCAAAAUACCAGAUCAAUUUUUCAAAACUCAAAUAAGAAAACUGAUUUUGGUAAAAGUAAUGAAUUCAAUCUAUGAGAUCAUGCAAGGCUUCAAGAGUGUAUUUACUGAUUCUUUAAUAUCAAUAACAUUUAUGAGAGAGAAAAGAUAUGCAAAGUGAAUUUCUUGGCAAAACUUUUAUUGAUUUGAUGAGAACUUAUACAAUCAUGGAUAAUAUUUCUUCACAGAAUUGGAAUUCACUGGCCUACUCAAAUCUUCUCCAUCCAUUCCUGUCAGUAUCAACGCCCCUCCAGAGAAUGCCUUCUUUACUACAUAUGGACCUUCAUAAUUAGGUGCCCACUUGCUAUGAUUCUCACUAGGUAGUAAUAGGAUUUUUCUCAAUACAAGAUCUCCUUCUUUAAACUCUCUUGGUCGAACUUUUCUCUCAUAGGCUCUUGCUAUCCUGUUUUGAUACAGUUGGUGGUGACAAAUUGCAGCUAAUCUCUUCUUACUGAUCAUAUUUAGCUGUUCGUAUCGUAUCUCAGCCCAUUUAGCCUCUUCUAGCUCAGAUUCCAUGAGAACCCUUAGAGAAGGAAUCUCUACUUCUAAAGGCAUCACUGCCUCCAUUCCGUAAACUAACGAAUAAGGUGUAGCCCCCGUUGACGUCCUUAUUGCUGUUCGAUAUGCAUGUAGAGCAUAAGGAAGCCAUUCCUGCCAAUCUUUAUAUAUGACCACCAUUUUCUGGACAAUCUUCUUUAUGUUCUUGUUAGCAGCUUCAACAGCACCAUUCAUCUUUGGUCUGUAAGGGGAUGAAUUAGAAUGCUUGAUUUUCCAUUUAGUGCAUAAUUCCAUGAUCAUUUUCCCAUUGAAGUUCUUGGCAUUAUCGGUUACUAUCCUUUCUGGCAAACCAUACCUACAAAUUAGAUCUCUCUCAAUGAAUCGCUUGACCACCUUCUGAGUCACAUGAGCAUAUGAGCAGGCCUCUACCCACUUUGUAAAAUAAUCAAUUGCGACCAAGAUAAACCGAUGACCAUUGCUGGCUUUUGGAUUAAUAGGCCCAAUCACAUCAAUUCCCCACAUCGCGAAUGGCCAAGGUGACACCAUAUUGAAUAAGGGCACUGGGGGUGCAUUGAUUUUGUCACUAUACACCUGACAUUUAUGACAUUUUCGAACAAAUUCUAUACAAUCUUUUUCCAUGGUCAACCAAAAAUACCCAGCUCUUUGCAUCUGUCUUGCCAUCAUGUGCCCAUUUGCAUGGGUGGUGCAAAUUCCUCCAUGCACUUCAUACAAUGCUUUAUUGGCUUCUGAUCUGUCUAGACAUCUUAAUAAAGUCCCAUCAAAUGACCUUUUGUAUAAGAUUUCUCCAUCUAUAAAGUAUUCCAUUGCCAUUCUUCUUAGAGUCUUCUUAUCUGUCUUUGAAGCUUCAGAAGGAUAUUCCCGAUAUUGGAUGAAUCUUUUUAUAUCUGCAUACCAAGGAUUGCCAUCCACUUCUUCUUCUAUUAAACAACAAUGAGCAGGAGAACUUCUAAUAUCAAUGCUUAUAGGAUGUACUCUGAUACCACAAUCGAUCGUAGCCAUAGAGGCCAAGGUUGCUAAAGCAUCCGCAAACUGAUUCUUAUCCCUUCCUAAAUGAUUGAACUCUAUCUUUUCAAAGUUUUCAGCCAAUUUGGAGAGAUAUUCCUGAUAUGGUUUCAAUUUCUCAUCUUUUGUCUGCCAUUCCCCCUUUGUCUGACAGAUUAUUAACAUAGAGUCUCCAUAUACCUCUAAUUUCCCUAUCUUCAGUUCCAAUGCAGCUUCUAAUCCAUGAAUGCAAGCCUCAUAUUCAGCUGUGUUAUUCGUGCAACUAAACUGCAGUUUGAUGGAGAUGGGAUAUUGUUUUCCUUCUGGAGAAAUUAUUACAGCACCAGCUCCAUUACCAGACACAUUCACCGCACCAUCAAAGUACAUAGUCCACCAAUCUCUUUCUAUUACCAACACAUCUUCAUCAGGGAAGUCAAAAUUUAAUGGCUCAUAGUCCUCAAUGGCGUUAUCAGCUAAAUGAUUCGCAAUUGCACUUCCUUUCAUAGAUUUUCUUGUUUUGUAGAUGAUAUCAUAUUCAGCCAACAACACUUGCCAUCUGGCCAGCCUAUUUGACAUAUAUGGCUUUUCAAAAAUAUAUUUCAGAGGAUCUACCUUUGAAAUUAACCAAGUGGUAUAGUAUAACAUAUAUUGUCGGAGUCUUUUCGCACUCCAUACCAAGCCACAACACAGCUUCUCAAUCAUACUGUAACGAGAUUCACAUUCAGUGAAUUUCUUACUAAGGUAGUAGAUGGCUUGCUCCUUUCUCCCGGACUCAUCAUGUUGGCCAAGCACACAGCCCAUUGCUGAUUCAGUCACUGUUAAGUACAAAAUGAGAGGCUUCCCAGGCACAGGUGGUACCAAUAGCGGUGGUUUCUGCAGAUAUUGUUUGAUCUUAUCAAAGGCUUCUUGACAAUCUUCAUCCCAUACUCCGGGGUUUUUCUUUCGAAGUAAUCGAAAGAUUGGUUCACAAGUGACUGUAAGUUGUGAAAUGAAUCGAGCAAUGUAAUUUAAACGCCCCAAAAAGCUUCGAACUUCUUUCUCAGUCUUAGGAGCUGACAUGGCUUGUAUGGCCUUCACUUUAUCAGGGUCUACCUCUAUACCAUUACUGCUUACCACAAAUCCCAAUAACUUCCCAGACUUCACUCCAAAUGUGCAUUUUGCAGGGUUCAACUUUAAUUGAUACUUUCUCAACCUUUCAAAUAAUUUCUUUAGAGCUGGGAUAUGAUUUUCCUCAUCUUUAGACUUAGCAAUCAUAUCAUCCACAUAGACCUCAAUUUCUUUAUGCAUCAUGUCAUGAAAUAGUGUCACCAUUGCUCUUUGAUAAGUUGCUCCAGCAUUUUUUAAUCCGAAUGGCAUAACUCUAUAACAAUAUGUUCCCCACGGAGUAACAAAUGUUGUCUUCUUCUUGUCUUGCUCGGCCAUUUUGAUUUGAUUAUACCCAGAGAAACCAUCCAUAAAAGAGUAAGUAGAACUCUUAGCAGCAUUAUCCACAAGUACAUCUAUGUGGGGUAACGGAAAAUCAUCCUUCGGGCUUGCCCUAUUCAAAUCUCGAAAAUCCACGCAUACCCUGAUUUUGUUGUCUUUCUUGGGUACUACUACAAUAUUGGACACCCAUUGAGAAUAAUCAACAACUUCUAAGAAUCCAGCAUCCCACUGUUUCGUUAUCUCUUCUUUUACUUUGAUUAGCAUAUCAGGCCUCGUCCUCCUCAACUUUUGCUUAAUCGGUUUACAACCCUCUAUCAAAGGUAGUUUAUGUACCACAAUAUCAGUAUCCAGACCAGGCAUAUCGGCAUAUGACCAGGCAAAAACAUCAACAUAUUCUUGUAAAAGAAUGACCAACUCGCUUCUCACACCAGCAGAUAUUAGCUUCCCUAUUUUCAACUCUCUUUUAUUAUGUUUGGUGCCCACAUUUAUCAGUUCUAGUUCUUCUUUAGCAGGCUUCCAUGUGUGAUCAGAUUGUUCCACUAACCUUGCGAACUCAUCGAUGUCUUCCUCACCCAACUCUUCCUCAUCCAUUGCAAUUAUAGUUUCAUCAAAGUUAGGCCAAUUAUCCACAGUGCAUUGAGUUUGUGAGCACAAUCCGCUUUCAGAUCUCCUGAAAGCGGAAAGUGUUUCGGUUAUGAGUGUAUAAUUCUGGGAAAGCAAAUAAAUAAACAAAUAACAAGAAAACAUGUUUGAAAGAAAAUAUGCAUGAUCUCAUUGAAUUUUAAAGGAUAGACGGGCUCAACAACAAAACCUUAUUGCCAAUCUCUUGAGCCACAAUGGUUUUGGCAAGGCACAAUUGUUCAAACAAUACAAUAAAAACAAAGAACAAACAAACAUUACUUUUUAAAAACAACUGGGACUUCAUGAAUUUCCCAAUUUUCCAACUCUUCUCCCUCAGCCAGCUUCCUCACGAAUUCGGAUGAGCCAUCUUCCAAAACACCAAUAGUUAGUUGUGGUAGCUGUUCGUAAGGACUCUCUUCUUCCUUUACAUCUUGCUCACUAACAUUUUCAAGAUAAUUGAUAGUAGCACCACUGAAUUCUUUUCUUAGCCCCUCCUCAUAAUCCUCAGCUUUUAUCACAUACGCGGCUCUUGGAAAUGUUACAUAGAUAGGUGGGAUUUCCAUUCGAUCUUCAUCUGGCUCUCUUCUUUCAAUCCGGGCUACUCUCUUUUCCCUUCUAUUUUCAGCUGCUCUUUUAAAAUCUGCUUUGCCAGGCUUAAACCCUAAGCCAAACCUCUGAUCGGCGCAUUUUAUUUUUACCGCAUUAACCCUCUCAGGCAUUCCAGUAGUUAGGUCAUAUUGAAAUGGUAAUCCAUGCUUCAAGAAGUAUUUAGCAGCCAUUUUUGCUGCUUCAGAAAUUUCUGGCUUUCUUCGUAUCAUAUUUUCAGGUACCCAUUCAGCAUUUACAACUUCAAAUGCAUGCAGAUUUCCAUCCUUACUUUCUUCAGCUUCUAUAUAAGGGAUCGAUACAUUUCUCAUCAUUGACAAAGUUUCUUCAGCUCUCACAGUCACCAAAUUCCCAUUGAUGAUGAACUUGACCCGUUGAUGUAAAGAAGAUGCGACAGCUCGAGCUGCAUGGAUCUAAGGUCUCCCUAGCAAAAUGUUGUAUGAUGGAUGAAUAUCCAUUACUUGUAAUGUGACUUGGAAUGGUUGGGGGCCAAUGACUAGUUCAACAUCAAUACUUCCAAUGAUUGGUCUAGGUGACCCAUCGUAUGCCCUUGCAGUCAUAGUACUUGGCUUCAUGUGAGAGGCAUCAACUGGCAUUUUAUCAAGUACAUGUCUCGGCAAUACAUUGAGAGCGGAACCAUUAUCCAUAAGCACCUUAGCAAUCACACAAUCCUUGCAUUUUACCGUGAUAUGCAAUGGUUUAUUAUGACCGGUCCCUUCAUGAUCCAACUCAUCAUCGGUAAAAUAGAGGUAGUUGGUGGCUUGAAUCCUACCCACCAAAUGUUCUAUGGAGUCUUGUGUGAUAUCCUGAGGAAUAUAUGCUUCAUUAAGAACCUUCUGAAGUGCGUUCCUAUGCAAUUCUGAACUCAAUAUUAAUGACAACAAAGAAAUCCUAGCGGGUGUUUUCUUUAGUUGAUCAACCACACUAUAUUCGCUGUGCUUCAUCAAUUUCAGGAAUUCAUUAGCCUCUUCAUCACUUACUGGCUUGUUAACCUCAUUUGACUUUGUCAAAUCCACCAUAUCCUUUCCUUUGGCUUUUCUUUGGUUUUCCAACUCUUCAGGAGUAAAACAUCUCCCACUCCGAGUGAGUCCUCCUAUUUCCGCAUGGAAAACGGGGGCAGGAUUUGUGCUGUGAAAGGAACAACCAUAAUUAUAGGGUUGGGCAUUAUAGCUUCCGCUAACAGUAUUCAUAGGCUUGGCUAGUAUCAUUUUUGGUGGACCCUUUUCGGUUGGUAUAUAUCUACAAACUUCCACUUUUUGGUUACAACCAGUCAUUGUUCCUACUAACUCAUCUUCUUUGGGUUUCAUCAAUCUUAACAUUCCCAACGUCAUCAUAUUUUCUACCUCCAAAUGAAACUCCUCGCACGAGUCAAUAUCAUGCCCAAGCUGCUGAUGAUAUUUACAAUAUUCAUUUGCAUUCCUUACAGCUUGUGUUUUGACUGGUGUCUUUAGAUAAUUUGUUUGCCUCAACAUCCCAUACAAUCUAUCCAUAGUCACCCUUAAAGUUGUUGUACUUCUCCUUCCUAUCUCCAAGUUAUUAACUCCCCCACUUCCCGAAGCAUGAUUUGGUAGAGGAUUAGAUUUCACAUUUGGAGAUUCAUCAAAAGAAAUCCACCCAGCUUUGAUGAGCUGAAGGAUUUUUCUUUUGAAUGCAACACAUCCAUCAAUAUGAUGACCAACAGCGCCAGGAUGGUAUUCACAUUUUUUAUCGGGUUUAUACCAAAAAGGAAAUGGUGGUUGUAAAGGUUCUAAGGGAACAGGUGCUACCUGGCCAAUACUAAGCAAUCUUUGGUGCAUUUCAGUAAGAGACAUGGGUAAUGGCGGAAGUUGCACUUGCUCUAUUGGAAAACUUCUUCUUGGGCGGUAAGUAGCAUUGGUUUGGUUGUUUAUUGGGUUAUUUUGGGUGUUUGUAGGUGAUGAGAAUUUUAUAUUGGAUAUAGAAGGGGUAGGUGUAAUACUUUUGAAACUGUAAUUAUCUUGGUAGGUGUUCUUCCCUCUACUUUCCCUUUCAACAUUGUGAACUUCCGUUUCUUUCCUUUUUCCAGUAAAACCUCUUUUUUCAGUAGGAUCCACGAUCCUACCUGUCCGAACAGCUUGUUCGAUCCUUUCAGCUAUGACAACCAAAUCAGAGAAAUUUUUUGCAGCACUACCUACCAAGUAUUCAAAGUACGGGGCUUUGAAAGUGUUGGAAAAUAAACCAGUCAUCUCCCUUUCUGACAAUGGAGGAUUUACUUGCGCGGCUGAUUCACGCCACCUUUGGGCAUAUUCUCUUACAGACUCCCUAUUCCCUUUUUCCAUGGCUUGCAGACUUGACCUUUCAGGGGCAAUAUCCAUGUUGAACUUAUAUUGUCUAAUAAAAGCUUCAACCAAAUCCUUCCAUCCUUUAAUCUUGGUAUUAUCUAAGCGCAUAUACCAAGCAAGAGCCGCAUCACUUAAACUGUCUUGAAAGAAAUGGAUCAAUAGCUUCUCAUCAUGGACUACCUCAGCCAUCUUAUUACAAUAUGCUUUAAGAUGGGUGAUCGGGCAUUGAGUUCCAGUAUAUUUAACAAAAUCUGGUACACGGAAUUUUCUGGGAAUAACCACAUUAGGCACCAAACACAUUUCAGCAGCUUUCACCGGAUCAUACAAACUAUUCCCUUCCAUUGCCUUCAUUCUUUCUUCUAAAGCAGCUAGCUUUUCAUGACCAUUUUCCUCCACUAUCUUAUUCCUUUGAGGUUCUUCUUCUGUCAAAACUGCAAUGGGGACCCUCGUUGGAUAUGCUGAUUGGGCAGGUAAGAAAUGAGCAGCAUGCUAAGGUUCAAAUGGCGGAAUAAAAGGAGGCGGAGGCUGAGGUGUAAAUGUUUGUUGAGAAGAUGUUCCUUCUCCAGCUCUAGGCCUCAAAGCCUGUUCAAGCAAGCUGGUAAGCCUUGCUACAUCCUCCUUCAGGCUUUCCAACUCUUUUUGGUGUUGAAUUUCUAACUGAGUUCUCUCUUCAUUUUCCAUUUUCUUCCGUAAACGAGUAUUAUGGAUACGUUUCAGUUGGGGACCUAUAUUUCACCUGUUAUAUGUAGAAUAUGACAAUUUAUAAAACAAAUGUAUGAAAUGCAUGAAUAUGAAUGCAACAUAUUGGAUAUGGAUUUGCUUUUCAUUGGUGACAUAUGGUCGUCAUUCUUUGGAUAUGAGGUUUGAGCUUGAACUUGAUAUCAUCGUUGUGAUGCCGAGAAGAGAUCUGUUUAGCUUUUUGACAUUUCAGCUUCCAGCCAUAUACGCAUAUUUUUGAAUUGAAAAGGUGGGUCUCAGCCCUUUAUUACUUAUUCAGAAGCUUACAAUGAAAAAUUGAUCUAAUCUAUUACAGGAGAAAAAACACUGCCUCUAUUAGCUAUUGCUUUUAAGAAAAGAUCGGUGUUAUCCAAGCUUCUUCGAUACUUUAUUAUAUCACCUCCCACUUGGCGAGCUUCCACUCGUAAUAAAUGGGCUUCUGCAGCUGCUUGACCAACUUGAUCUUGUAGUUCCCUUAUCCUCUCAGUAUGUAUCAAGUUGUUUCUAGACAGAAAGUUAUUGGUGGCAUCCAAUGUUUGAUUAUGUUGUUCUAUCAUUUUCUGGCUUUCCAUAAGCUGUGCAGUCUUUGAUUUUUCUUUGUCCAGCUUAAAUCUCAAUGCUUCCACCUCAGUAUUGUGAUUGUUCCACUCUGCUUUUUGCUCUUCAUGAAUUUUAGUUAAAGCCUCAGCUUUUCCCAAUUGGCCUUUAAACUUAACAAUGUCCGCCCGACGCAUUUUCAAUGUAGCUUGUGUCUUGAUGGCUAAUUCUUCCCAAUGCUUAGCUUUGUCCAUAUAAUACAUCAUAUCCUGAUUAAUUAUUUUUUGUGUUUCCAAGUCAGCCUUUGCCUUUAUCAAGUCUUGACCUACAGAGUCCCUUUCUUCUUCAGCUACUUUCCUUACACCCUUUUCUUUGGCUAGUUGCCGCUCUAAGGACACUCUUUGUUCUUCCUUUGCUUUAAGCUCAGCUUGUAACGAUUUUACUUGUUUUCUUAAUUCUUCUUCACAAUUCACUCUUUUCCUUCGAAGGCCCACAGAUUCAGAAACUUCUGCCGUAUAAGAGACUCCUCUAUUACGCCAUUCAGGAUACUUUUCACUAACUGUAGGAUUCCUUACACCGAUCUCUUUUUUAACUAGCACCAAAGAUCCCCAAUCAUGUUUAAUGCUCUCCAGCAUCUCAUUAUAUGCACCCUUAUAGACUCCGGUGAAUUGAGCUAAGCCAACUGUUCUUGGAAUGCUUUGUAUGCCCCCAAGCUGUCUUGCAACCAAAGCAGACGCAUAACUAAUAUAUCCAGUCACUCCAAUCAAAGGUACCCAAGGCCUCUUCCCACAACCCAUUAGGCAUGUUACAUUUUUCAUCCAAGGAGCUCUCCAAUUAAAAUUGCUUUGUGGAAUUCCUUGCAAUUUUACCCUCCAAUCAUCUUCAGAAAAGUUUUCCCAUUCACUUGAUACAAAUAACUCGAGUGGCUUUUGGUCAAACCACCAAAAAUUUCGGAAUAUUAGUGUUUCAGAUUCUAUAUGGCUUACCAUCCAAAUGAAUAACAAUGGAACACAACAUCUCAUAGAACCUUUCCCAAUCCUUUUGCAAUGAUUGAGAGACAAAAAAGUUUCAGCCAAGAUAGCAGCAGAAGGAUUAAUUUUAGUCUUCUCAUACUCAACAAACAGAUUAGCUGCCUCUAAACUGAUAAUUCCAGCAGUCGAAGGACACAAAAUCAGCCCAAAUAUUCCCAAAGCCAAUAUUCGGUAUACCUCCAAAUUAGCACCAGGAUUAGAUGUUUUAGCAAUCAACAGCUCUUCUAGCCGUUUCCAUCUCAAACCCCCAGAAUUGUUUUUUUCUCUAUAUAAGCUCAUUUGAUGGAUUCCCAGUAGCUUAGCAAGCUCCUAUACAGUAUUCUCAAUCUUUUGAUGAAAAUAAACCUUAUGGAUAUCCUCAGGGAAUUCUGUCAAAACACCGUAUUCUUCAAUGGUAGGAACCAUAUCGACAUUCCCAAAUGUAAAACAUCGAUAAUCAGGAUCCCAAAAAUGAAUUAGGGCUUUUAUGGCUAAUGGCAGUACUGGAACAUUCAGAAGAUGCAAAACUCUCCCAUAUAUCUUAGUAAAUUCUGUCUCAUCAGCCAAGUAUUUGGUGAAUGGAAGCAAACGACUGGCAUCAUUUAUUACGCAUCUCACAUCCUUUAGCAGCGGUAUCCCACUGUCAUCCAGUCUAGGGCAGUCUCCCUCAGUCAUAUGCAAUGAUUCAGAUUCGAGCCCAUACUCAACAGUUGUGAUUUAACGAUUAACGACCAUUAUGUCACCCAAAAACAAUCCUGUAAUGAAGAUGCUAUACGUUAAGCUUGCCUUAGUGAAAUUUACAUAGGGAACAACCUAAAUGGUAGGUUCUAGUCAUUUAAAUGCUUGAGGUAGGUUGCUAUCUAGUCUUGAAAGGUCUUUCGCAUGCUCAGUGAUCUUCCUCGAAAGGUUGAUGUGAGGUUUACAAGUAGCGUGAAAAUAGAGGCCCUGAAUGAUAUCAGUUAGGCAUAUCAACCACUAUCGAGUAAACAAUCAAGCGAAAGUUGGAUGGUUUCACGAGUCUUACCCAGGCUAAAGCCAUUGGGGUACCGCUACUCUCCCACUUAACUUAAAGUUGAUAUAACAGAUGUUUAUUAUGAAAUGCGUGGUGUGUGAAGGCCUAAAUCUAUAUCCAAUAUAUGUAUGAUGACAUAAACAAAUAUGGAUGCUAAAACUAUAAAAAUAAAUAAAAUAAAAUAAACCAAAUAAAAUAAAAACCAAAUAACACAACAAGCAUUUGUAGCAAUUAAAAAAAAUCAAAGGCAAAGCUUAGUCCAUUAGUCCCCAGUGGAGUCGCCAUUCUGUCACACCCGACAUCGCGGCGACCUUAAAAAUUUAAUUCUUUGGAAAAGAACAGAUUUCUGGCAUCCUAUUCUUUAAUGGGGAUAUUCUUUGUUUAAGGAGUCGCCACCUAGUAUUAUGGUCACUAGGAACCCUAACUGGUCAACAGAGAGUCUACGGUUCGGGAUUGGUUACGUAAAAGGGAAGAUAUUAUCACCCCUUAAACGUCCUGCCUGAGGCAGGCUGCACUGCUAGUUUUAUCUUUAAUUGCUAAAUGUUUAUUAGUUUACGAUAUGAUAAUUUACUUAUAAUAUUCCCGACUCUGGCGUCAGUGAAUAUUAAACUACGGAUACUUCCAACUCUGGCGUUGGUCAAUAUCACGUAGCUAUAAAAUAAAUUAGAUUAAUAUUUUUUAUUUUCCCGGCUCUAGCGCCAGUGAAUAAAUAAACAAAAUAAAAUUUGAUUUUUUUACGCAUGCAUAUUUUUUUAUUUUUUUUUAGCUAAAUAAAAUAAAGUACAACAAAUAAAAAUAAUAUAAAUUUAAACCGGUAUUUUUAUUCCUGACUCUGGCGUCAGUGAAUAAACCAAUAAAUUUACAUUAUUUUUAUUCAUCUAAAUAAAUUUAAUUUUUUACGCAUGCACAUUUUUUAUUUUUUAGCUAAAUAAAAUAAAGUACAACAAAUAAAAAUAAUAUAAAUUUAAACCGGUGUUUUUUAUUCCUGACUCUGGCGCCAGUGAAUAAACCAAUAAAUUUACGUUAUUUUUAUUCAUCUAAAUAAAUUUAAUUUUUUACGCAUGCACAUUUUUUAUUUUUUAGCUAAAUAAAAUAAAGUACAACAAAUAAAGAUAAUAUAAGUUUAAACCGGUAUUUUUAUUCCUGACUCUGGCGCCAGUGAAUAAACCAAUAAAUUUACAUUAUUUUUAUUCAUCUAAAGAAAAUAAAAUACAAUGAAUAAAAAUAAUAUAAAUUUAAACCGGUAUUUUAUUCCUGACUCUGGCGUCAGUGAAUAAACCAAUAAAUUUACAUUAUUUUUAUCCAUACAUGCAUAUUUUUUUAUUUUUUAUUUUUUAUUUUUCUGCCUUUUAUUUUUUUAUUUUUUUUAUUAUAUAUAUUUUUUAACUGGGCUGGGCCCGGCCCGGCCCAGCAAAAAAAGAAAAAAAUUGGGGGCUGGGCCCAGCGCAGCCCACAUGGACUGGGCUGGACCCAGCCAGCCCAGCCCGGUCACUGGCCCAAGCCAGUGACCCGGCUGGGUAAAAACUAAAGGCACGCGUGACUUAUUCACGCGUGCCCGAACACUGGUGAAGGUAAUUAAAUUACCUUCACACAGUGUUCUUGCAGCACAUAAUUAUCUUUUGAAAUGAAAAUGCAGAGGAGACGGGGUCAUACCUGCUUCUGGAGACCGAAGAUGCUGCUUCUGGAGACCGAAGAUGUUGCUUCUGGAGACUGAGAUGCUUGCAGCGCUGCUUGAUGAUUUUCGCCUAAUGUUCCUCUGGUUUUCCUUCUGUGAAUACUUAUCUAUGCUUUCCUUCUUGAUUUCUCUGUAACUUCUAAAGCUACAAAGAAGAUUCCGGCUUGUUGUGAGUGUUCUUUGGCUGAAUCCGGGUUUUUUUGUUUGCAGGUUCGGAGACAAUUUCAAGGAUAAUUCUCCUUACCGUGUCCUGCCUUCUUGUCCUCUCCUUCUCUGUGUAUUUGGAUUUGUUCUCUGUUUUCUCUGCCUUUUUCUUUUAACUCUGUUUUUCUGGGUUGAUUUUUUCGGUUCUCUCCCUCCUUUUCUUACUGUGUAUAAUUUCUCUGGUUUUCUUGCUCUCCCUCCUUUUUUUUUCUUUAGGUGUUCUUCUCCCUUUUAUAAACCCAGCCGAUUGCCCCCCAUCAGUCCUGCCUUUGCAGGACUGUUAUCUUCCACGAACGAGAUCGUGGGCGAGAGACGUGGUCCUCGAUUGGAUUGAAUCCGUUGCAGAUUUUCCAGCCUGUUGAAUCGGGAUGGAGAAGACGAACACGACUGUUCUACCCGCAGCGGCGACGUUUCGGCAGCAAUGGAUUUCACCAGCAACGACGCCGUUUCAAGCAACAAAUGGACAUUUUUAUUUUGAUCCCUGAACUGUUGGAAAUUCGGCAAUUGGACCUUAAAAAAAAUUCCACUUAAUUUUGUCCCUUUGGAUUAAUUUCAAUUAAAUCCUUAAAUUAUAACACUGUUUACAAAACAGUCCUUAAUUCCUGGAUUGUUCAAUUUAGCCCUUAAUUAAAUCUUUAACCUUUCAAAAUUGAUCAAUUAACUCUCAAAUUACAUCCUCAAACUUUAAAUUUUGUUGUUUUAACCCCAUUGGCAACUAUAUUUAAUUUUUUUAUUAUUUGUUCAAAAAUUGGUUAUGACAAUGAUAGUAACAAGAAAAUAAAAAUUAAUUUGAAUAAAUGGUAGGAGUUUCUAUUCUGAUAUAUCCAGGGAAGAAGUUCGAAGAAUAGAAUGAAGAUAAAAAAAGAAAAAAUUUGUGUUACAUUUUUAUCUUUUAUAAUUAUAAUUAUUGCAUUGCUAAUAAUUUGCACGAAAAAAUAUUCUUUCUCUGAAAAGGGCUUGAGAGAACCCUAAGCAUAUAUAGGAAUCUCUUAUAGGAAUCUCUUUAUUAAAUCAUCAAAAUAUGAAAGUCUAUUUCCAAAUACUAUUACUACAGUUUAUAUAUAUAUAUAUAUAUAUAUAUAUAUAUAUAGAAACAACUAAAUAGAAAAAUUAUUAUUAUUUAAAUAAAAAACUAGAAAAGCCUGAUAAUAUUAUUGAAUGAAAAAUAAAAUAGAAAUUUAAUAAAUUAAAAGUUAAAAAAUACUGUGUGACUGUUUUGUAUAAAUUCUAAAGUUAAGGAGUCUUUUAUGCUUGGUAAAAUACGUCACAAUAAAGUUAAUAAAUAAGAACACAAGAAAGGAUCAAAGUUAAUAAAUAAUAGCAUGCACGAAACUUCAUGAUAUCCAUGUUUUUCACGUUUUAUACUGCUUUAAUAGAUUGUUACAGCAAGAGAAACGGUACAAGACAGAACAAUAAAGGAGGGGCUGACGUUCAGUGAGGACAUCCUCCAGCUCAUCAGAUCCAGCUCAAGUUGUUGCAACCACCGCGAAAGGAACGCAUUGAUGUUAACGCGUGGACCCAGUCGCUGCAACCAGCACGAAAGUACCACUCCAAAUUCCAGCUCAUUUGUUAUAUAUAUAGUAAUAACAAAUGGUUAGAAUGCUUUAGUCCUUUUCGAGUGGAAAGUGGUGUGAAUGUGGGAAGUACUGUGAGAGCUUUAUGCCACUUUCUAUCUUUGAUGUGAUGGCUUUGGCAAGAAGAAACAAAUAAAAGUUAGUGUUCGCACUGCUUUAGCCCAAGAGUCUUUCAUCGUCGUUGCCUUGGAUUGAUUGAUUGAUUGACAGGAAGAAUUCUGAAUGUUUUUAGAAAAGUCUUCAUUGACAGGAAGAAUUGUGAACGGAAUGAGAUUUUAUUUUGUUUUGUUUUUUAAAUUAACAUGGAAUAUUUCAGUUAUUUCAGGUGAAACGAAACAAAAUUAACAACCUUGAUAAAAACUCUAAAUCACGAGUAAAAUCUGAAUGUUUUUUUAUAGAAAGAAGCAAUCUUCAUUGCUUUAAUAAAUUGUCACAAUAAUAGCACUAAGAGAAGAAUGGGUAGACCCUCGAGCCGGGCCAAAUUUUAAAAUUAUAGUUUAUAUAUAGAAACAACUAAAUAUAUAAAUUAUUAUUUUUUAAAUGAAAAAACCAGAAGAGCUUGAUAAUAUUUAAUAAAAAAAAUAAAAAUGAAAAAAUAUUCCUUUUCAAGUACAAACAAAAUUAUAAAUAUUUAAUAAUACUGUAUAAAAAAUUAAAAAUUCUAACCUAAAUUUUAAAAAAAUUGUCAUUGGCUAAUUGACUAAUUGACUUGUGCUAUCUCUUGUACAUUAUUAGAAAAAUUGUCAUUGACUAAUUGACUUGCAAAAGUAUUUGCAAGAAAGCUAAAGAAUUAGAGUUUUUAACAUUUUUAAAUUUUUAAAAACAUCCAAUUAUUUUUUUAAAAAAUCAAGAAUAAAACAUCAACUAUUUAUAUAAUUGCUAAAUAAAUCUAAUAAAAUAAAUCAGAAAUAACUAGUAAAUAAUCCAAAAAUAACUAGAAAAUAAAUAUAUCUCCUCAAUAUGAUUUGAGUAUGUUUUCUAUCUUAAUUGACUGACUUGCUAAGUAUUUGUUAAGCAUAAACGAACUUUACUCUAAAAGUAUGUUUAAUAUUUUUCUUACUUUUACUAUUUUACUUCAAAGUUUCAAUUUCAUAUUUUUUUACAAUGUACAUGUUAUUUGAUUAGUCUGAUCAUAGGAUAUGUUAAGCAUUGACUCGAAAUUAGCACUUGAAAUUAUGGACUGGAAACUAGCUUAAAUGCUGGCCACCAACCCUUUUUUGCUCGUUCUAUAGGGAGAGUAGAAAAUGUGAUUUCUUAUUCAAGAUCGUGGAUAGUACGCUCAAGAUUAUGGGAAGGUGUUUUUUGUUUACUAGGAGGAUUGGGUCGAAAAGAGGAGAAAAAGUGGCAGCCUUCCAUAUACAUUUAAGGAAACCCAGAUUUUUGUAGAUUUUAGAGACAAAACGAUGUCAUUUUCAUUUUUCUUUCAAUAUCAAAAUUUUUUCUUCCCUUUUCCAGGCAAAACGCACCAUUUCAAUUAGUGUGAAAAGGCAUCAUUUUGCUUUAGGUUUUCUUCAUAUGUAAUAAUGCUAAACACACCAUGUGGAACUAUGUUAAACGCAACAUUUUAGCAUCUUUUGUGCUUCGAUCCCUAGAAUUUUAAUUCUUUUAUUUUGAUCAAUUUUCAACUCUUUUCCUUUAAUUUCAUUUAAUUUGCUAUUAACUGAAUUACAAUAUGACCUUUAAUUUCUUUAUUUUUUUCAUUUCAGUCACUGAUUCUUUCAAUCUUCAUUUUUAAGCCAAAUGAAUUGCAGUUUCAAUUUUCUUUUUUAAUUAAAUCUCUAAUUGAUUUUUUAAAUUGGUUAUUCAUUUCAAACUCAUUCUUGAACUGCUAAUAAUUUUAAUAGAUGUAUGGUACAUCCUAUGAAUUUAUUAGAAAGAAUGUUUAAUGUAAAGUAUGAACCACUUGCCAUUAACUAGCUUUUUCAAUUGGAUCUUUUAUUUAAAUGAAAAGGAAUAUUUAUUUUAAUAUGAAGAAAAUAAUUAUUUUUUUUGAUAUAUCUAGUGAUAAUAAAUUAGAGGAUAGUAACAAGAAAAUAGGGAUUAGAUCGAAUAAAUGGUACCAAUUUGUAUUAUGAUAUAUCUAGUAAUAAUAAAUUAGAGGAUAGUAACAAGAAAAUAUGAAUUAGAUCGAAUAAAUGGUACCAAUUUCUAUUCUGAUAAAUCUAGCCAAAGAGUAGAAUGAAUUAAAAUAUUCUUAAUAAAAAAGAAAAACAGAAAACACAGAAAGAAAAAAAAAAUGCUCUUAAUAAAUAUUAAAGAUAGGUGAAAUUAGAGAACAAGAAAGAGAUAUAGAAUCUCUUUCUUAAGAUUUCUAAAAACUUAAUUACAAUUACAUUAUAAUUUCUUCCUUAAAAUUAUUCAAAAUAUAGUAUUGUAAUUACAUAAUGCUAGGUUUUAAUAUAUAAGUUUUUAUAUUGUUGAAGAGUCUCUCCUAAAACAAAUAAUAAAAAUAUUGUUAUGAACUGUUUUGAAUGAAUUGUUAAUGCACGGACUAUUUUGGGUCCUGACUUGGCUGAUUUAACUUGAAUGUAUUAUUUGAUUGGUCCAAGUAAAGAUCAACUCGAAAUUUCUAUUAAUUUAUGUCGCACCCGACAUCGCGACGGCCUUAAAAAAAAAAAUCAGGUAUAUUGCGGAAAAAGAACAGAUUUCUGGCAUCUUGUUCUUUUAGGAAAAAUGUCUUGUUUAAGGAGUCGCCACCUAGUAUUAUGGUCACUAGGAACCCUAACUGGUCAACAGAGAUUCUAUGGUACGGGACUGGUUACGUAAAAGGGAAGAUAUUAUCACCCCUUAAACGUUCUGCCUAAGGCAGACUGCAUUGCUGGUUUUGUCUUAAAUUGCUAAACAUUUAUUCGCUUAUGCUAUGAUGAUUUGUUUAUAAUAUUCCUGACUCUGGCGCCAGUGAAUAUUCGAUCGCGAAUAAUUCCAACUCUGGCGUUGGUAAAAAUUCCACCCGAAUAAUUCCAACUCUGGCGUUGGUAAAAAUUCUACUACAAAUAAUUCCAACUCUGGCGUUGGUAAAAAUUCAUAGCCACCAAAAAUAAAUUCAGAUUAAUAUUUUUUUAUUCCUGACUCUAACGCUAGUGAAUAAACAAAUAAACUAAAUUUAUGCAUUCACAUAUUUUUUUAUUUUUUAUGUAGUUAAAUAAAAAAAACAAAGAGAAUAAUUAAAUAAGUAUUUUUAUUUUUGACUCUGAAGUCAGUAAAUAAAAAUAAAUUUAUUUUUCAUACAUGCACGUAUAUUUUUUUGCUAAAUAAAAAAAAUAUACGAAUAAAAAUAAUAUAAACUUAAACUAAUAUUUUAUUCCCGACUCUGGCGUGGGUGAAUAAACUAGUAAAUUUAUAUUAUUUUUAUUCAUGCACACACAUAUUUUUUUAUUUUUUUAUUUUUUAUUUUCUUAUUUUUUUUAUAUAUAUAUAUUUGUUUUUUGCUGGGCCUAGCUCAGCCCACAUGGGCUGGGCCCAGCCCAGCCCAGCCCAGCCCAGUCACUGGCCCAAGCCAGUGACCCGGCUGGGUAACAUGAAGCACGCGUGAACUAAAUCACGCGUGCAUUAGCAGAUAAAGGAAUUAAUUGAGAGUGUACAGUAGGAAGUGAAUUAAAAUGAAAAACGGUGAAAGGUGAAAGAGAAACUUACUUACCUGGCUCUGGAUACAACGAAGGCAGCAGCAACAAUGGUUCUGGUCACGGUGGCUUUCCUCUGCUUAUGUUCGUCCCCUGUUUAUUGGCUUGUUCGUCCCCUGUUCUUGUUUCCAGUCGCUCUCCUUUUGUUUCCUUGCUCUCGUUCUCUGUCUUCUGCGUUUGUUUUUCUUCUGUGUUUCCCUGGUUCUCUUUUUGUUCACCUUAUCUUCUCUGCUUUUCCUUUUUUUUUCGUCUGUGUCUGUCCCUUCUCUCUCGGUCUGUUUUUUCUUUUUUUUUCUCUUGCUCUCACAUGCUCUGUCUUUCUCUGUUUUUUUCUGUUCUUGGCUCUGUUUUGGGUUGAUUUUUCUUGUGCAGGGAUGAAGAUGAUGGCGGGGUUGAUCUCUGAUUCCUUUCUGCCUUUCUCCCCUUCUCCCUGGGUAUUUCUUUUUGUGUUUGUGCUCUGUUUUGCUCUGCUUGUUUCCUCACUGAUUUCCGGUUCUUGCUUUUUCCAAUCUUCCCCCUCGUUUUAGUCCAAUUCAUCCCCUGUUUCCAGUGUUCUUUUUCCUGCGUUUUGCUCGGUUCCCCUCCUCCGGUUUGUUCGGUUCUUUGUCCAGCCCCGUUGUUCCCCUGUUUCCUGAGUUUUUCUAUGGGUUCUGCUCCAGUUAUCCCCCCUCUGUUCGUCCCCUUGCCUCUGCUCUGCUCUGCCUUUUAUAGAGCCCGAGCACGCAGAAAAAACCCGUUCCUCUGUUCAUCAAUCCAUGAGCGGGAUCAUGGGCAAGAAAUCAUGGUGUCGUGGUCCACGAUUUGCUGCAAAUUUCCUGUUAAAACGGCUUUUUCCGCUCAAACGUGGGAGACGAUGAACAAUGCUUCCAAAACGGUGCCGUUGUGUCCUUGGGCAUGGCUUUUUUUAAUUUAGUCCCUAAACAGUUUAAACUUAACAAUUGGGAUCCUAAUCAGAAACAAUUGAUUUCUAAUUGUGCCCUUGGAUUAAAUUUAAUUGAAUCCUUGAGUUAUAACGCCAUUUACACAACAGUCCUAGAUGUUUGGACUAUUCAAUUUGGUCCUUGGACUUUAAUUUUCUAGCAAUUUUUCCUUGAAUCAGCUCUAAACUUUGAUAUUCUUUCAAUUACACCCCUGAUUCCUUUAAUUAAUUAAAUCAAAGUUUAAUUAAGUCCUUAAACUCAUUAAUUCUUCAAUUAAACUCUUGAUUUCAUUAAUUAAAAUAAUCUGAAUUUUAAUUAAAUCAAUUCUCCAAUUAAACCCUUGAUUUAAUUAAUUAAAAAGAGUUUAAUUAAAUCUUUAAACUUCCAAUCAUGCUGCCCUUAACCUAAAUUUUAAUUCAUUCUUCAUUUAUUUUAUUUUUAUUUGUUUUUUCAUCAUUUUUUAAAUAAAAAUAAUUAAAAUAAAAAGGUUAAAAAUUGGGUUAUGACAGUUGCCCCCUCUUUAUAAUAUUUACCUUGCAAAGAUAUUUAGAAAAUUUCAUUUUCUUUUAGCUUUGUGUAGUAAAUUUAUAAAGAAAAGUAGAUAAAGAAGUUUUUUUUUUUUUUUUUUUUUGCUUUUUUAGUUUGAAAACUUCAAAAACAGUAGAUUGACAUAAGAUUUUAACAGAGAGAACAAAUCAUUUGGAAGACGGUCCAUUUUUUUGUUGUUUUUUUUUUGUUCGAAAUGGAUCAAAUUGUUUUGGGCAACCUGCCCAAUGAUAAAAGAAACGCGAAGAAUUUCGCGAGUGGUCUAAUUGUUCCAGGCGACCUGCCCAAUGAUUGAAAAAUACGAGAAAUUUUUUUGUGAUGGUAUAUUGUAAUGGGUUAUCGGCCCAGAUGGUCACAUUGUAAUGGGUUACCUGCCCAGUAUAAGAUGGUAUGUUGUAAUGGGUUACCCGCCCAAAUGGUAACAUUGUAAUGGGUUACCUGCCCAGUAUAGGAUGGUAUAUUGUAAUGGGUUACCGACCCAGUUGGUCACAUUGUAAUGGGUUACCUGCCCAGAUGGUCACAUUGUAAUGGGUUACCUGCCCAGUGGAUGGUAUAUUGUAAUGGGUUACCGACCCAGUUGGUCACAUUGUAAUGGGUUACCUGCUCAGGUGGUCACAUUGUAAUGGGUUACCGGCCCAGUUGGUCACAUUGUAAUGGGUUACCUGCCCAGUGGAUGGUAUAUUGUAAUGGGUUAUCGACCCAAUUGGUCACAUUGUAAUGGGUUACCUGCCCAGAUGAUCACAUUGUAAUGGGUUACCUGCCCAGUGGAUGGUAUAUUGUAAUGGGUUACCGACCCAGUUGGUCACAUUGUAAUGGGUUACCUGCCCAGGUGGUCACAUUGUAAUGGGUUACCGGCCCAGUUGGUCACAUUGUAAUGGGUUACCUGCCUAGUGGAUGGUAUAUUGUAAUGGGUUAUCGACCCAGUUGGUCACAUUGUAAUGGGUUACCUGCCCAGUAUAGGAUGGUAUAUUGUAAUGGGCUACCGGCCCAGAUGGUCACAUUGUAAUGAGUUACCUGCCCAGUAUAGGAUGGUAUAUUGUAAUGGGCUACCGGCCCAGAUGGUCGCAUUGUAAUGGGUUACCGGCCCAGUUGGUCGCAUUGUAAUGGGUUACCUGCCCAGUUGGUCGCAUUGUAAUGGGUUACCUGCCCAGUGGAAGAAUACGAGGAUUUUUUUUUUUAAGACAUGGUAAGGCUCGAAGGCGCUUUUAUUCAAUAGAUGGAAGCUCAAAGGAAAUGAGGGCUCGAAGACGCACUCAAAAGGAGGUAGGAUAGGAAAUGCACUACCUUUGAUGGUCGAGGGCUCGAAGGCGCGCUCGAAAAGAAACAAGACGAGGGCUCGAAGGCACACUCGAAUGGGGAUAAGACGAGGGCUUGAAGGCGCGCUCGAAUGGAGAAUGAAAGGUGGUGGGAAAAUACAUAUAUUUUUCAAGUGGCCUAAUUUUCAUGGGCGGCUUGCCCAGGUUGAAAAAUUCUCAAAAGUGAAAAUUUUUCAAAAGCAAUUUCAAUGUUCGCCAUUUCAAGUUGGCCUUCCGCUUGAUGGAUUCUGUUAGAAUUUUCUCUAAUAAAAUUUGCAAAACUCAUUGUCCAAUGUCUCAAAGUUUAAAUGAUAUGCAUGCACCUGAUUUGAAAUAUAGGCCCCCCAUUUCUUCUUAGCCUUCUCGUUGCUUGGUUGGUGAGAUCUUGCUAUCUGAUUUGAGUCAUCUUUGUCGUUUGGCUUUCUAGCCCACUCGAGUUAGCCCAUAUAAGACUUUUUCUAGAUUUGUUUGCACAACUCAGCCUUUAUGGUACCCAUCGUGACCCACAUGCUUGCUAAAGAUUUUCGGACUCGUCAAAUAAUUUGAGAGGAUCAUUCAUUACCCCUCGUCUCAAUGCUAAAAACAUUCGGUGUCACUAGCUGAAAGGAUCAAACGGUCUUUUGUAAACCAAAAUGCCCCCUUGUCUUGUUGUAAGGGAUGAUAGAUUUUCCUUAAACAUAAUGUUGUCCCCUUGUACUGGUCAUUGCCCCCAAGUGCGCUAUGUCACUGACUUAGAUGAAUAAUGAUUUUAAGAGGCCAUUCUCUCAUUUGGUGAAGGAAUAUGAGUCUAGAAUAAAUCUUGAAAUCUUGAUCUUGCAUUUUAAAAACAAAAAUUAUUUCGAUGUGAGUCUAAAAUAAUUUGUUUUUGAAAUCUUGCAACUCCUUGGUUAUUUUCUUUCUUGGAAAAGAGAUUAUUUGCUCUUGUGUUUGGUAAUGAGGUCUUUGAGGAAAAUAUGUCAUGAGAUGACCUUUUGUUUCGAAGUGAAGGGCUCGAGAAAAAGCUCGAGGUUUUAUAUGAGAAAAACUUGUCUUUUUUAGCAUUUAUUUUUAUCAGCAUGAAUAAUAAUGAGUAGUUUAUUCUUGAUGUCAUGAAUCUUAUGAAAAAAUAUUCUUUGCAUUUUGAGAGCAUUGUUUAUUGUUCUAAGUUGCUUGCUUGCUUGAUUAGAAAGGACUUCUACAGGCAUGUAACGUAGGCUGUGUUUUUUAUUUUUUUGCUAUGAAAGAAAAGGAUUCAUAAGGCUCAAAGAGUGUUUCAGGGUUUCAAAGAUUGAAGAUCACGAUCAACAGUUUGACUCUUGAUGUCAUUCAUAUUUUCUUUUGCCGCUCUUCUUUGAUUUGCCCCUUUUUUUUUAUAGCUUUGCUAGAGCAUACUCACUUUAUCUUGGUUAUCAUUUUUUUCUUGUGAUUUGGGUAUGCCCCCUAGCAUUUGAGUUUCUUGGGCUCUUUAUGCCUUUUUGGCUUUCUCACGGCUUUUUCUCAUUUCACAUUGAAAUUUUCUCUUGCCCCCCAGUGUAGGGUGUGAUCUUAGUCAGGAUUUUUAAUGAAAGAAAAAUUAUUCAGGCUCAAAAAGGGAUCGCAAGGGAUGUACUUAUUUUAGAAAGUGAAAGGAAUAACAAAGAUGGCCUUUCCUCAUUUUAAGCGCAAGCAGUUAAGAUCAAUAAACUUUGACCUCAUCUAGUGUGAUGGUUUGGUCUUUGCAAAGAUGCAUUUCAUAAAUCAUGAGCAACGAAUUCUCUACAUACCAUUAUUCAUACAUUUAAAAACACAUGAUUCAAGAGUCAUGGGGUAAGUGUCUUUCUUUUUCUUUUUCAUAAUUUUUAUGGUUUAUAAUUUAGUCACCUCAAUGAUGAAGCUGCUUGAUUCACUUGUCAUUCUACAAGUAGAAUGUGAAAAAUAUCAUUUUUGAAUGAACAUCAAAUUAUUUUUGAAAUCAAAAUACCAGAUCAAAUUUUCAAAACUCCAAUAGGGAAAUGGAUUUUGGUACAAGAGAUGAAUUGCGUCUAUGAGAUCACGUAAGGCUUCAAAGGUGGAUUCGUGAGUUCUUAUAAGAAAAACUCUCUUAAUCAGAAUAAUGCUUGGUCGUGAACACGAUUGAAUGACAAACUCAAUAUUUCAUUGAAGCUUAGGAAAAGAAGUUCAACAACAAAGAUCUUAUGCCAACAUGAAUACUGGCAUGAUAACACAUAAAGGAGCUAAACAUUUAGUGAUCAUUCUCGACCUAAUAUCACCAUAGCUUUCUCUUCAAGGUAGUUGAUUUCUAGGAGUCGGCGUAAAGAAAUUAACCAUAGGAACAGUAAGAGCCUUGGCCACCCCCUUCAGUGUCCUUUCCUUUUUCGGUGAAACCGUUCUUUUCAGUUGGAUCAGCAAUUUUACCUAACCCAAUGGCUUGUUCAAUCCUCUCAGCUACAACAACCAGGUCAGUGAAAUGUUGUGCAGAGCUUCUAACCAAGUAUUCAAAGUACGGAGCUUUAAAGGUGUUGGAAAAUAAACUGAUCAUCUCUUUUUCCAACAUGGGAGGAUUAACUUGUGCAGCUACCUCACUCCAUCUCCGGGCGUAUUCCCUUAUGGACUCCUUGUUGUCCUUCUCCAUAGCUUGCAAGCUUAACCGAUCAGGGCCCACGUCUAUAUUGAACUUAUAUUGCCUCAUAAAGGCAUCCACUAAAUCCUUCCAUUUUUUAACCUUGGUAUUGUCCAACCGCAUAUACCAAGUGAGGGCAACAUUACUCAGACUGUCUUGAAAGAAAUGAAUCAGCAGUUUCUCAUUAUCAACCACCUCAGCCAUUUUGUUGCAGUAUGCUUUGAGAUGAGUUAUAGGACAUUGAGUUCCCGUAUAUUUAACAAAUUCGGGCACUCUAAACUUUUUAGGAAUGACAACGUUGGGCACCAAACACAUCUCAACAGCCCUUAUAGGAUCAUAUAGGUGAAUUCUCUCAAAUGCCCUCAUCCUUUGCUCUAGGGCAAUGAAUUUGUUCAGAUCAUCUUCUUUUACCACCUUGCCUUUUUGAUAUUCCUUCUCUAUAGAAUCAAUGGUGGACAAAACUCUCGCAGGGUAUGCUGGCUGGAAAUGCAUAGGUUGUUGAAAUUCAGAUGACACCCUAUUUGCCCCCAGAUUCUGUGGAUCGAAAUGAGUUACAUGCAUAUCUUCAGGCUGAGCUAUAAGUGUUGCUUUUCCGGAUUUAUUUCUCAAGACCUGCUCGAGUAGACUAGUAAUCCUUGUGACUUCUUCCUUAAGAUUGUCCACCUCUUUUUGAUGUUGGGCUUCCAACUGGGCUCUUUCUUCGUUUUCCAUUUGUCUUUUUCUCGAACGAGUGUUAUACAUGGGUUUCAAUGGGGAACCUAUAUUUCAACCUGUUAAAUGUAAAUCAUGCAAUUAUGCAAAAAUGCUGAAGCAAUUAGAAAAAAUGCAAAUGAAAUGCGGACUUGCCCUUUUACGGGAUGACAACCUAAUAAACAGAUCCUAAUUGUUGAGUGCAUCAAAGGGUUGGUCAUUAUCUAGUUUUAAAGGGUCUCUCGCACGCUCAGUGAUCGUCCAUGAAAGGUCGAUAUGAGGCUUACAAGUAGUGUGAAGAUAGAGGCCCUAAGUAAUAUCAGUUUGGCAUAUCAACCACUUCCAAGUAAACAAUCAAGCGAGAGUUGGAUGGUUUCACGAGUCUUACCCAGGCUAAAGCCAUUGGGGUACCGUUACUCCCCCCAUUUAUCCUAGAUUUUAAGGUAUGUGCUUUUAACGUGAUGCAUGACAAUAUAAACAUAGAUGCAUGCUAAAGCAGUAAAUGCAAGAAAAAUAAACAAAUAAACACAACAUAACAAAUAUUAUAGCAAUUGACAAACAAAAGGCAAAGCUUAGUCCAUUAUUCCCCAGUGGAGUCGCCAUUCUGUCGCACCCGACAUCGCGGCGGCCUUAAAAAAAAAAAUCAGGUAUAUUGCGGAAAAAGAACAGAUUUCUGGCAUCUUGUUCUUUUAGGAAAAAUGUCUUGUUUAAGGAGUCGCCACCUAGUAUUAUGGUCACUAGGAACCCUAACUGGUCAACAGAGAUUCUAUGGUACGGGACUGGUUACGUAAAAGGGAAGAUAUUAUCACCCCUUAAACGUUCUGCCUAAGGCAGACUGCAUUGCUGGUUUUGUCUUAAAUUGCUAAACAUUUAUUCGCUUAUGCUAUGAUGAUUUGUUUAUAAUAUUCCUGACUCUGACGCCAGUGAAUAUUCGAUCGCGAAUAAUUCCAACUCUGGCGUUGGUAAAAAUUCCACCCGAAUAAUUCCAACUCUGGCGUUGGUAAAAAUUCUACUACAAAUAAUUCCAACUCUGGCGUUGGUAAAAAUUCAUAGCCACCAAAAAUAAAUUCAGAUUAAUAUUUUUUUAUUCCUGACUCUAACGCUAGUGAAUAAACAAAUAAACUAAAUUUAUGCAUUCACAUAUUUUUUUAUUUUUUAUGUAGUUAAAUAAAAAAAACAAAGAGAAUAAUUAAAUAAGUAUUUUUAUUUUUGACUCUGAAAUCAGUAAAUAAAAAUAAAUUUAUUUUUCAUACAUGCACGUAUAUUUUUUUGCUAAAUAAAAAAAAUAUACGAAUAAAAAUAAUAUAAACUUAAACUAAUAUUUUAUUCCCGACUCUGGCGUGGGUGAAUAAACUAGUAAAUUUAUAUUAUUUUUAUUCAUGCACACACAUAUUUUUUUAUUUUUUUAUUUUUUAUUUUCUUAUUUUUUUUAUAUAUAUAUUUGUUUUUUGCUGGGCCUAGCUCAGCCCACAUGGGCUGGGCCCAGCCCAGCCCAGCCCAGCCCAGUCACUGGCCCAAGCCAGUGACCCGGCUGGGCAACAUGAAGCACGCGUGAACUAAAUCACGCGUGCAUUAGCAGAUAAAGGAAUUAAUUGAGAGUGUACAGUAGGAAGUGAAUUAAAAUGAAAAACGGUGAAAGGUGAAAGAGAAACUUACUUACCUGGCUCUGGAUACAACGAAGGCAGCAGCAACAAUGGUUCUGGUCACGGUGGCUUUCCUCUGCUUAUGUUCGUCCCCUGUUUAUUGGCUUGUUCGUCCCCUGUUCUUGUUUCCAGUCGCUCUCCUUUUGUUUCCUUGCUCUCGUUCUCUGUCUUCUGCGUUUGUUUUUCUUCUGUGUUUCCCUGGUUCUCUUUUUGUUCACCUUAUCUUCUCUGCUUUUCCUUUUUUUUCGUCUGUGUCUGUCCCUUCUCUCUCGGUCUGUUUUUUCUUUUUUUUUCUCUUGCUCUCACAUGCUCUGUCUUUCUCUGUUUUUUUCUGUUCUUGGCUCUGUUUUGGGUUGAUUUUUCUUGUGCAGGGAUGAAGAUGAUGGCGGGGUUGAUCUCUGAUUCCUUUCUGCCUUUCUCCCCUUCUCCCUGGGUAUUUCUUUUUGUGUUUGUGCUCUGUUUUGCUCUGCUUGUUUCCUCACUGAUUUCCGGUUCUUGCUUUUUCCAAUCUUCCCCCUCGUUUUAGUCCAAUUCAUCCCCUGUUUCCAGUGUUCUUUUUCCUGCGUUUUGCUCGGUUCCCCUCCUCCGGUUUGUUCGGUUCUUUGUCCAGCCCCGUUGUUCCCCUGUUUCCUGAGUUUUUCUAUGGGUUCUGCUCCAGUUAUCCCCCCUCUGUUCGUCCCCUUGCCUCUGCUCUGCUCUGCCUUUUAUAGAGCCCGAGCACGCAGAAAAAACCCGUUCCUCUGUUCAUCAAUCCAUGAGCGGGAUCAUGGGCAAGAAAUCAUGGUGUCGUGGUCCACGAUUUGCUGCAAAUUUCCUGUUAAAACGGCUUUUUCCGCUCAAACGUGGGAGACGAUGAACAAUGCUUCCAAAACGGUGCCGUUGUGUCCUUGGGCAUGGCUUUUUUUAAUUUAGUCCCUAAACAGUUUAAACUUAACAAUUGGGAUCCUAAUCAGAAACAAUUGAUUUCUAAUUGUGCCCUUGGAUUAAAUUUAAUUGAAUCCUUGAGUUAUAACGCCAUUUACACAACAGUCCUAGAUGUUUGGACUAUUCAAUUUGGUCCUUGGACUUUAAUUUUCUAGCAAUUUUUCCUUGAAUCAGCUCUAAACUUUGAUAUUCUUUCAAUUACACCCCUGAUUCCUUUAAUUAAUUAAAUCAAAGUUUAAUUAAGUCCUUAAACUCAUUAAUUCUUCAAUUAAACUCUUGAUUUCAUUAAUUAAAACAAUCUGAAUUUUAAUUAAAUCAAUUCUCCAAUUAAACCCUUGAUUUAAUUAAUUAAAAAGAGUUUAAUUAAAUCUUUAAACUUCCAAUCAUGCUGCCCUUAACCUAAAUUUUAAUUCAUUCUUCAUUUAUUUUAUUUUUAUUUGUUUUUUCAUCAUUUUUUUAAAUAAAAAUAAUUAAAAUAAAAAGGUUAAAAAUUGGGUUAUGACAAUUUACAAAAGAAAUUUCCUAGUACUUUCUACUGUAUAUAAUUUGAAAAAUUGUGACUGACCAACUUACUUGCAAAGUAUUGGCAAGAAAGUUAAAGAAUUAGAGUUUUUAAAUAUUUAAAAUUAUAAUUUUAAAUUCUAAGAAAAAAAUCAAUUAUUUUUAAAAUUGUUUUCAAAAAUAAAAGCAUCAACUAUUUAUAUAAUAGCUAAAUGAAUCUAUUAAAAUAAAUAAAAAAAUAACUAGUAAAAUCAAGUGAAUAAUCCAAAAAUAACAAGAAAAUAGAGAUAUUUCCUAAAUAUGAUUCCAGUUUGUAUUUGCUAACAUAAAUAGCAUACAUGAACUUUAUUAUAAUAGUAUAUUUGAUAUUUAAAUAAAAACUUAUAGAUAUUAUAUGGGUUGGAAACCCAUUUUUUAUUAAAUUUUAAAUUUUAUAUGUUUAAAAAUAUUUUUUUAUAUUUUUUAAUUAUUUUAAUGUGAUAAUAUUAAAAAUAAAUAAAUAAAAUUUUUCUAACUUUUACUACUUCUGACUUGCUUUGACUCGAAAUUCGCGGUGCUUUCUCCUGCAAAUGAAUAGAAAGCAUAUCAUUUCUCCUCCUCCUAUAUGAAGAAUACAACUCGCUUUGAAACCUCAAUUAAAUUUCCUUGGUUUACUCUUCAGAUUACUUCUCCUAAACUCCUUUGUUCAUUUUCUUUUUUAUUACCCCUUCAUGCCAAUUGUUAGAUACUAAAAACAGCAAGAACUGUACUCAAUUAGCAAAAAAUAGAUUUUUGACUAGAAAAAUUCUAUCAAAUUCUCUACUUUAUUAGUGUUCAUUUUCAUUCUUUUUUAACAUAUCUUUUCCAAUUGUUUAGAAAACUUUUAUGUCAAUCAAUAUACACCUACUUUCAACGUUUUACACUGCUUUAGUCCUAAAAAAUAAUUCUAGAUAUAGUUGUAUUGUAAUAGAUAUUAUAUUUCAAACUAUUUUUGAAAUAUAUUAAAGUAAUAUAUUUUUUUAAAAAAAUAAUUUUAACAUCGCUACAUUAUAAUAAUAAAAAUAAUAAUUUAAAACAAUAAAAAAAUUUAAAAUAUUUUUAAAAUAUGAUUUUACUGCACUCCAAAACAUACCAUCCUCCCUCAGCAACCACCACGAAAUUACCACUCUAAAAACUCUUUGACAAUUAUUGCUUGCUCUUUGACUAUUAUUGCUUGGCUAAUGAUUUGCAAGAAACUUUCUCAAUUUCCUUCUAUUUUCUUUUUAUCAUGGAAACUUUAAGUCACAUCUACGCCUACCACGAACUACCAAUAAGUAAAUUUCAAUAUGUAAUUGUGUAGGUUGAAUUAAAAGUGCUUUAAUGAAGUAUGUUAAAAAAUAAUAUAAAUUAUAUUUUAGAUUUUAUUUUAAUAAUUUAAAUUUCUAGAUGAAUAGAUUUUUUACAAAUAAAAGAUAUAGUUUUACGAUAAAAUGCAUUUUUUGAAAUGAAAUUAUAUUAAAUUAAACAUGCUCGAGAUUGUUUGAAUUAUUAAUUAAUUAUAAUUAACUUUAUGUUUUUUGAGGAAACAAAUGGGAAGGACAAAAUUAUCUACCCCAAACGAUAGACCUAGCCCACUUUUCAAACCAAUCCCCAAAUAAAUAGAAUGAUGGUCUCAUAAGUUGCUUUUUUUCUUUCUAGGCCGCCAAGCAGUUUGGUCUCCCUCACUAGACCACUUUAGCACAAGAAUCACACUAGAGGAUUUAAAAGUAGUUUGAAGUAUCAUUAAACCUGAUAAAAAUGAAUAACUGAUAAUAAUAUAGUUGGGAUUUUAAAAAAAAAUUCAUAAAAAACUAUAUAAAAAGCAAUUUAAAACCAAUUAAUCUUAAAAACACCAAAAUGAAACAUGCCAUGAAAAACAAAUUAAAAAAAAACAAAAUACUUGAAAAAAAUUAAUUCAACCCUUUUUCAUAUAAAAAAAAGUAAUUGGGUAUUAAUUUACGGUAAAAAGAGUAUAUUAAUGCAAAAAAAAAAAAAAAGAGUUUGAGGGUAUUGAUUUUAUUACUUGUUAGGUAACUAUGUAAUCUAAUCUGUUGAUGUGGAAAAUAGCACUAAGUUUUUGGCAUUGCCCAUUGGUGAGAAGCAAAAGCAGUAGCAGUCCAUCAGGACCAUCACUAUCGUAUCGCUUCGCCGUACUGUUUAGCUUCUUGGCAUUGUUCGAAGGAACGCAGAAAUACAUUCCAAGUGCGAAAGUGUAUUAUUGUCAUAAAGUUUUUCAAACCUCCACUAUAGAGAGAGAAAUAAAUAAAAAGCGCAAAGGCAACUAUACUAAAGGUCAGUUUUUCACUCUCUGAAAAAUCCUUAAAAAAUCUUUUUUAGUUUAUUUGUAAUUAAAUUAAAGAAAAAUAUUAAUUAGUAAUUUUACAUUUUUUUCUAUACUAUAAUUAUCAAAUAACCCUUAAAAAAUUUCAUUUUAACCUUUAUUCUCUCUUCUUCUUUUUCAAUUCAUUUGUUAAUUUGAUUUUUUUUUAAUUUUGCUUUUUGAUUCAAAAUUUUAGUUUAUCCUCUCAAUUUUUUUUCAAAUAAUGUUCUUAUUCUCUUAAUUGCUAUUUUUUUAUCCUUUAAUUUUUUUAUUUUAUUAUUCGACAAUUCAUUAAUUGGAUCUGAUCUCAUUGGUUUUUUCUAUUGUUUCUAAACCCUACCCAAUAAUCAAUCCAGGAUAAUUAUCGAGUUACGAGUCGAGUGGGUUGACUCGAGUGAACCCAGACAACCAAAUCCUUUUGUUUUAUAAAAAGCCAAAAUGAUACCAAUUUUUUAUUUUUAAAAAAUAAUAAACGAGUUUUGACCCUGUUUCGGCUAGAUUUUCUUAGGAUUAACUAAAACAUUUAUCAACCCAAGUUUUUUAUUGUAUUACAUUAGAUUAAUUCUCUCUCAAUUAUUUUUGAAACUCGUGCGUUUUAAACCAAAGGUCACAUGGGACACAAUUUCUUUGUGCUUUGUACUGUACAUAAUUUGAAAAACUGUGAUUAACCGACUUACUUGCAAACGAAGCUAAAGAAAAAAAUCAAUUAUUUUUUUUUAAAUUCAAAAAUAAAACAUCAACUAUUUAUAUAAUAGCUAAAUGAAUCUAUUAAAAUAAAUAAAAAAUAACUAGUAAAAUCAAGUAAAUAAUUCAAAAAUAACAAAAAAAAAUAGAGAUAUAUUUUUUAAAAACUUUUAUCUUAUAUGGGUAGGGGUUGCCAUGCAACUUAACCGGGAUCACCAUGAUUGUCGAGUAAAGUAAAUAAAUUACUUAACCGGGAUCACCAGAGGAGUUAUUUGCCAAGAUUGAGUUAUAUAACAGUUUAUAAAUCAUGCUAUCAUCUCCAUCACCAUAUAUAAAGCUAGACAAAAUAGGAUAAGAGGGGAUUAAAUUUAGUUUUAGAAUAUAUUUGAGAAUAUAGUUGAACCAUGUUUUUUAAAAUGUUUUUAAAUUGUUUUAAUAUGCUGAUGUUAAAAAUAAAUUUUAAAAAUUAUUAUUUUAAUAUAUUUAUAAUUAAAAAAUAUUUUAAAAAGUAAUUUUCAUCACAUUCUCAAAUUAGUUAAAGUUUUUCAAAUGAAUAGAUUCAUGUCGAUGACACUCUCUAGUCAGUUUUGAGAAUUUUAAAUCCAAACAAGUGAAUUUAUAUUAUAUAUGGAUCAAACAAGCAUGCUUGUACAAUAAUUUCUCAUACUCAAUAGAAAUUUGGGUUUAUCAUUAGGGUAAGACAAACCGAAUAAUUCUUUUAAUAUUUAAAAAUUAAAAAAUACUGUGUAGCUGUUUUGUAUAAAUUGUAAAAUUGAGUCUUUUGUGCUUGGUAAAAUACGUCACAAUAAAGUCAAUAAAUAAUAACACAAGAAAGGAUCAAAGUUAAUAAAUAAUAGCAUGCUUUAAUAGAUUGUUACAGUAAAAGCACAGAGAGAAGAACGGUUCAAGACAGAACAAUAAAGUUAACGCGUGGACUCAUUUGUUGCAACCAGCACGAAACUCCAGCUCAAUUAUAUGUUAAAAAAUAAUAAAGUAUGUUUUAAUAGCAUGCUUUAAUAGAUUUAAUAAAGUAUGUUAAAAAAUAAUAUAAAUUAUAUUUUAGAGUUUAUUUUAAUAAUUUAAAUUUAUAGAUGAAUAGAUUUUUUACAAAUAAAAGAUAUAGUUUUACGAUAAAAUGCAUUUUUUGAAAUGAAAUUAUAUUAAAUUAAACAUGCUCGAGAUUGUUUGAAUUAUUAAUUAAUUAUAAUAAACUUUAUGUUUUUAGAGGAAACAAAUGGGAAGGACAAAAUUAUCUACCCCAAACGAUAGACCUAGCCCACUUUUCAAACCAAUCCCCUGGUAAAUAGAAUGAUGGUCCCAUAAGUUGCUUUUUUUCUUUCCAGGCCGCCAAGCAGUUUGGUCUCCCUCACUAGACCACUUUAGCACAAGAAUCACACUAGAGGAUUUAAAAGUAGUUUGAAGUAUCAUUAAACCUGAUAAAAAUAAAUAACUGAUAAUAAUAUAGUUGAGAUUUAAAAAACAAUUCAUAAAAAAACUAUAUAAAAAGCAAUUUAAAACCAAUUAAUCUUAAAAGCACCAAAAUGAAACAUGCCAUGAAAAACAAAUAAAAAAUAAAAAAAAUACUUGAAAAAAAUUAAUUCAACCCUUUUUUCAUAUAAAUAAAGUAAUUGGGUAUUAAUUUACGGUAAAAAGAGUAUAUUAAUGCAAAAAAAAAAAGAGUUUGAGGGUAUUGAUUUUAUAUUUUUUAUUAACGUGGGUGUCCGAGUCAGUUUACAUGCACCUCGACUAAUUCUACGGGUCCUGAAGCUAACUACCAUGUAAGUCUCCAGUGGUCCUGAGAUUUAUGAGACUCGAACUGGUAAUCUUUAGGAAGCAAACUCAGGAGCUAGUCAGUUAAGUUACCCUGAGGAUUGGAUCUAGAUUUUAUUAAGAAAAAAACCGGUCGAUCCACCGAGUCAAUCUGGAACCCGGGUGACCCGACAAAACCCGGUAGAAACUUUUUUUUUUCAAAUGUGUUUUUUCUUCUAGCUAGAGAUUCAUCUUUUUUCAUACAUGAAAAUAAAAAAAAAUAAAAAUUUAAAACAAUAAAAAUUUUAAAAUAUUUUAAAAAUAUAAUUUUAUUGCAAUCCAAAACACACCCAUGCUCCCUCAGCAACCACCACGAAAUUACCACCCUAAAUUCGGGCUCAAUAAUUUAUUCCUUAGCAAUUAUUGCUUGCUCUUUGAAAAUUAUUGCUUGGCUAAUAAUUUGCAAAAAACAAUUGCUUUUUUUCUUUCCAGCCAGCCAAGCAGUUUGGUCUCCCUCACUGGACCACUUUAGCACAAGAGAUGUCGUUAAAAGAGUACCAUAAUGCAAAAAAAAAAAACAAAAAAAGGAGUUUGAGGGUAUUGAUUUUAUUAUUUGUUAGGUAACGAUGUAAUCUAAUGUGUUGAUGUGGAAAAUAGCACAAAGUUUUUGGCAUGGCCAUUGAUGAGAAGCAAAAGCAGUAGCAGUCCAUCAGGACUAUCACCAUCCUAUCGCUGACAUUCCAUGUGUGAAAGUGUAUUGUUGUCAUAAAGUUUUUCAAACUUCCAAUAUAGAGAGAGAAAUAAAUAAAUAAAUAAAUAGAAAGCGCAAAGAAAACAAUACGAUAAAUUUAAACUAUACUAAAGGUCAGUUUUUCACUCUGUGUGAAUCUACAGUGAAAGCUUGAUUUUGCACAUGGUAGAUAAAUUUAGGUUUAGGAGUAUAAUUUUUUUUUUUAUAUAAUUACACUAAAGAAGAAUAUUAAUUGGUAAUUUUACAUUUUUUUAUAAUAUAAUUAUCAAAUAACCCUUAAAAAAAUUCCUUUUAGUUUAGGGUUUUUUUUUUCAUCUCAAUUACUUAACUGUCCCUAAAAAAUAAACUCCUUUACUAUGGAUGUAAGGUCAUUUUAGAUUUUUGGCUAUAUUUUUUUUAUUAACGUGAGUGUCUGGAUAGUUUAUACACACCUCGACUAAUCUCAUGGGCCCUGAAGUUAACGAUCAUGUAAGCUUCUAGUGACCCUGAGGUUUGUGGAACUCGAACCAGUGAUCUUGAGGCAACAAACUCAAGGUCUAACCAGUUGAGUUAUACCCCUGAGAAUUGGGUCUAGAUUUUAUUAUUUGUGAGGUAACUAUGUAAUCUAAUCUGUUGAUAUGGAAAAUAGCACAAAGUUUUUGGCAGUCCAUAGUCUUACAGCUAGUACUAAAGUUUUUUUUUUUCUAAAUUAAAGAUGAAUAUUUUUUGUUGGCAUCAAAUAAUUUAAAAUGAGAAUUACAGAGCACAGGGUUUAAUCAAAUAUUAAAAGAGAAGAUUUUGUGGAAUUAUUAGAUAAUUAAAAUCAUCACUAAUCUCCUUUUUUCAUUUUUUUUUAAUUAUUAUUAUCCCUGGCAUGCACGAAACAUUGAAAACCGCAAUUUUUCAUGAUAAAAUCCAAAGGAUUGGUACUUUGGUGUUUGUGGGGCUGGUAAAUGGAAGAACACGUGUUUGUGGGGCUGUUAUUUCAUUCAAGGUGCGUACUUUGGUGUGUAUCACGUGUUUGUUGCAUUGACUGAAUAUGAUAGUGGGAACUUAUUUAUCAAGAAUUAAAGCAGUAGUUGCUUAUGGAUAAUUAGCUCUUCCAUCCAGCAUUAAUUCUAUUAUCAAUUAUAGUUCAGUCAUAAAGUUUUUCAAAGAGAGAAAUAAAAAGGAAAAGGAAAAGGAAACAACCCCCACUCCAUCUUUCCCUUCUUUCCAUGAAAAAAGGAAACACCCCAUAUGAUUUUGAUUUUCAAUCAGUGUGAGUGAGAAAGAAAGAGAGGAUUAAAUUUGAUUUUGAUUUCGAAGAGAGAAUUAAUUAAAUUUAGAAUUAAUUCUAUUAUGUAUUUAAAUGUGUUUAGUUACCUUGUAAACCGUAUGGUAGAGUCCCUCAAAUAUUCUGGCCACAGCAAUAUUUUAGGUGGAUUGUAUGGGGCUUGCAACCACUCUAUUAUGCCAAGCAAUAUUUUGUCAUAGAACCCUUUGGCCCUCUAAAUUACCCAAAAAGGACAAUAAUUGAGCACAAGUGGUACAGGUCAGGGUUAAACUCAGCUUGCUAGAGCCAGUUCUCAAUUUUAGGCACCAGUUCUCAAUUGAAUUUUAGCAAAAUCAAGGAUUCAAGAAUUGGCCUCUGUAACAUGGUUUGUAUUCUGAGCCAAUCUGGGCUAGGAUUUGAAACAAAUGUAGCUAUUUUUUCUCCUUUUAUUAUUAAAAAAUAUAUUCAUGGAUUAAUUUUCGUAUAAUUUAAGAAAGUAAGUCCUUUAAUCAAAUUUUAGAUGUGGCCAUCCUCAAUGUGUUAAAAGUAAAUGUUAAUUACCAAGUUGUUGCAAAAAGACAUUCCCUUUCUUGUCAUAAAGUUUUAAAGAGCUAUCAAAAACGUACUUCGUGUAUUAUUGUCGUAAAGUUUUUCAAGCUUCCAAUAUAGAAAGAGAAAUAAAAAGGAAAAGGAAAAGGAAAAGGAAACAACAAGGAAUCUUUCUUGUGCGCUUUCCCUUCUUCACAUGGCUUCCUCGAUCGAUGUAAAAAAGCAAACGCCCCAUUUGAUUUUCAAUCAGUAUGAGUGAGAAAGAAUGAGAGUCCUCUCUUUCCUUGCUUUUUUUAACGCGUGGACCCAGCAGUGGUUGCCACCAAAAUCCUUCCUCAAUAUUUACCAGUACUACACGCUUGAGAAAUUUCCUUGCUUUUUUUCCUCUACGUACUGUUACCUUUUACCAGAUUUCCCAGAAUAGCCCCUUCGUGGGCUACUUUAUUCUUCACGGGUUCUUCUAUUGCCAGAUUCUCUCAUGCAAUUAAGUUUUUCUUUCCGUUUCCAAAUUUGAUAGCCCCAAAACCUCAUCAUUGAGUAGGUUUUGUUUUAGUUUAAGCGUGAUGGAGACGACACUAAAAAUAACAACAACAAAAAAACAGUUUUGGUGUAAAUAUCAAUGGAAGGUUUGGGUGCAGUCCUGUUUGUUUUUGUAUUUUAAAAAUAUUUUUAAAAAAAUUAAAUUUUUUUUAUUUUUUUACUUCAAAUUCAUAUAUUUUUUAGCCAUUUUAGAUCAUUUUGAUGCGCUAAUAUCAAAAUAAUUUUUAAAAAAUAAAAAAAAUAUUAUUUUAAUAUAUUUUAAAAUAAAAAACACUUUAAAAAUAACUCCAACAAUAAUCUCAAAUAUUCUUUAAAGACACAAUUUAAGUCACCGUAGGGUCAAAUAGGUCAGGCACUGUGCUGCAUGGUUAUUACUACUUUUUAGCCUUUUUUUUUUAUAUAUAUAUAUAUAAACAUCUUUUAUUUUUCUUAUCGGUUUCUCUGUUUCUCAUUAGCUUUAUGACACCAAUUAACAAUAAUCAAAUUUAAAAAAUAAUUAAUUUGUCCUUUUAAAAAAUAAUAUUUAAUCCUUAUGUUUUAAUAUAAAGUUAAACAUGUGGCAGUAGAAAUGAAGAAGAUGCCACACCACUUAAGGGCCCAAAGCCAAAUUUAAAAACAGGACCAUCAAACACGUGUUAACCUCUCAAGAUAAAGGAUGCAAAACUUGGAACAAAAUGAAAAAAGUGCAAUGCUGAUGAGUUCAUCAAACCAUGACCGUUCCAGGUGAAAUACAAAGUUUAGAUCAGUGCUUGUCAGUUGUGUGUUGAACUGAGAAAGAAUAAUUUGAUUGUCAUUUCAGUACAAAAGUAAGAGCAGAAGAGGCUUUUAUAUAUAUAUAUAGCCUAUACAGAGACUAAUAAGGAAAAACUCAUUACACUAAUCUAGUAAAUAAUCAUGGACGAUUUACAAUCAAGUAAGGCUAAUUAGGAAACUAAAUAUUCUAUGAUUCCUAUUCUGUGAUUUCCAUAUUUAUUCUUCACGUUAACACUCCCCCUCAAGUUGGUGCAUAGAUAUCAGCAAUGCCCAUCUUGUCAAGUGAUUUAUGAAAGAUUUUGCCCGAGACAGCCUUUGUAAGUAUAUCUGCUAGCUGAUCUUCUGAUUUUACAAAUGGAAAUUGAAUCACGUUGUCUUCAAGCUUCUGUUUAAUGAAAUGCCGAUCUACCUCAACAUAUUUGGUACGAUCAUGUUGAAUUGGGUUGUGCGCAAUUGCUAUGGCUGCUUUAUUGUCACAAAACAUGUUCAUUGUAUCUUGAGAUGAACAUCCAAUUUCUUCCAUUAAUCUCUUUAACCAAAGUAGCUCACAUAGUCCUUUGGUCAUACCUCUGAAUUCAGCUUCUGCACUUGAUAAAGCAACUACCUUCUGUUUCUUACUUCUCCAAGUGACUAGAUUCCCGCCCACAAAUGUGAAGUAGCCGGAUGUGGAUUUCCUGUCAGUGAUGUUCCCUGCCCAAUCUGCGUCAAUGUAACCAUUGAUGUGCAGAUGUUGAUGUUUCCUGAACAUCAGUCCUCUGCCUGGAGAAGACUUCAGGUAUCGUAAAAUGCGAAUCACAGCACUCAUAUGAUCUUCGCUGGGGUAAUGCAUAAACUGACUUACCAAACUCACGUCAUAUGCAAUGUCUGGUCGAGUAUGAGAUAAGUAUAUUAGUUUUCCCACAAGGCGUUGAUAUCUCUCUUUAUUGGUGGGAGCCUGAUUAGGAAAUUCUCCCAAACCAUGGUUUUGAACUAUUGGUGUAUCAGCUGGUUUGCAGUCAAGCAUUCCUGUUUCAGACAGCAAGUCAAGCACAUAUUUCCUUUGGGAUAGAAAUAUGCCUUGUCUCGAUCGAGCCACUUCAAUCCCCAAAAAAUACUUUAAUCCUCCGAGGUUCUUCAUCUCAAACUCGGUUGCUAACUGCUCUUGUAAUUUUGAGAUUUCUUCUCUGUCGUUUCCUGUAAUUAUCAUAUCAUCAACAUAGAUUAUGAGAGCUGUUACCUUUUCUCGUUGGUGCUUCAAGAAGAGAGUGUGGUCUGAAUUACUUUGCUUGUAACCGUAUCUCCGCAUGGCAAAACUAAAUCGUCCAAACCAUGCUCUCGGGGAUUGUUUUAAGCCAUAUAACACCUUUUGUAGCUUGCAGACCACCUUCCCUUGCAUUAGGGAAGUAAGGUCAGGUGGAACAUCCAUGUACACCUCCUCCUCAAGAUCUCCAUGGAGAAAAGCAUUUUUCACGUUAAAUUGGUGUAGUGGCCAGUCCAAGUUUGCAGCAAGAGAUCAGUACUCUCACAGUAUUUAAUUUCGUUAUCGGUGAGAAGGUUUCUUGAUAAUCUAUCCCAUAUGUCUGAGUAUAUCCCUUUGCCACCAGCCUUGCUUUAUAUCUUUCUACCGAACCAUCUGCUUUGUGUUUGACAGAGAACACUCAUCUACAUCCCACAGUUUUCUUUCCUUCAGGUAGUGGUACGAGGUUCCAAGUAUUAUUUUCCUGCAGUGCUUCCAUUUCUUCAUCUAUUGCUUGAAUCCAUUUAGGAUUAUUCAAAACUUCAUUCACUGUAUUAGGGACAUCUUCUGUAGAUAGUUUAUGCGCCAAUGCCUUGAGGGUUCAGACAGCUUCUGAGUUGAGACAUGGUUGGCAAUUGGGUACUUGGAUUUGCUCAUUCCAUGAUCAGGUGAAUAUCGUUUUGGAGGUUGUCCACAAUUAUGUCUGAAAGGCAAGUUAUAGCCAGCAGAAAUAUUUUGAGAUGAGUUUAGAACUUGUACCUCAUAAAUAUUCUCAGGAGAUUGAACUGAUUGUGGUACUGUCACGGCAUGGAAGGGCUGUUCAUUGGAGACUUCUCCAGUUGCUUCCAUUUGCUCACUAGUUUCUGCACUCUUCUCCACUGUCUCGGUCUCAACGUGCUCAUCAUUUUCUCCUUGUUCCCUCAUUAAUUCUGUCUCUGUAUCAAUAGCAACAUGCGGCUGGAUAAUAUUAUCUGAGAUAUGCUCACUAUCUCCCCCUGCAUUCUUCACUGUACUGUCAGUAAAGCCCGGCCAAUAUUCCCAGGCCUGCUCUGCACUUAGGAGCUCCCCCUGACAAGAGGAGCUAGAAGAUAGGGAAGUGAAUAAAUGCUCAGAUUCAAGGAAGGUAACAUCCAUGGAGGUAUAGAGUCGUUUUGUAGCUGGAUCAUAGCAUUAGUAUCCUUUCUUAUGAGCUGCAUACCCAAGAAAAACACAGCGGACAGCACAAGGGUCGAGCUUGGUUCGUUGGUUUUUGUGUAUAUGAACAUAUACAACACAACCAAAUGUUCUGGGCGGAAGCAUGAGAACUGACGGUAGGAUCACAUGGUGGCCUAGAACUUGAAGCGGGGUCUUAUAGUCCAGAACUCUUAAUGGCAGUCUAUUCAGCAAGUAUACUGCAGUCACCACUGCAUCAGUUCAGAACCGUUUGGGCACAUUAGCAGCUGUCAAGAGAGCUCUAGUGAUCUCCAAGAUAUGUCGGUUUUUACGUUCAGCAACACCAUUCUGUUGUGGCGUUUGUGGACAAGAUGUCUCAUGAUGCAUACCAUGUUCCUGAAAGUAUCGGUGGAAUUGUUUGUUAUCAUAUUCCCCACCAUUAUCGGAUCAUAGAAUCUGUAGUGUUGCAGAAAAUUGUGUUUGAAUCAUAUUAUGGAAUGAGCGAAAUAUGUCAAACACUUUAUAUUUCGUUUUCAUCACAUACAACCAAGUCAUUCGUGUACAAUCGUCAACAAAUGUGACAAACCAGCGAGCUCCAGAAGAGAUAGUAAUCGGGGCAGGGCCCCAAACAUCAGUAUGAACAAUUGCAAAUGGAGUGGCACUCUGAUUUAAACUUAUUGGGUACGAUACACAAUGACUCUUAGCUUUAAUACAAGUUUCACACUGAAAAUCUGCUUCACGAAAUUUCGUGAAUAGUUCUGGAAAUAAACAGCGUAAAUACCGAAAUGAGGGGUGUCCCAACCGAUUAUGCCAUAACCAAAUCUGCUGUUCCUUAUUGUCGACGAUGUGUAUGUUAUUUGCUCGACCACAGCUGAAGUCAUCCAUGUAAUACAACCUUUCCCUCUUAGUACCACGACCAAUAAUCUCCUUGGUGAGAAUAUCCUGAAACAAGCAAAAACUAGGAUACAUUAGUGCACAACAUUGUAAUUCCUCAGUCACUUGUCCUACAGAUAACAACUUAUUGGACAGUGAUGGAACUAGCAGGGUAUGUGGUAAUGAGAAAGAAGGAGAAAGUGCAACUGUUCCAACCCCAGUCACUGGAUAUGUCACUCUAUUAGCAUUAGCAAUGCAUAGCCGUUUUGGUUGAGUGGUGUCAGACAAAUCACAGGGAUCAUACGUCAUGUGGUCUGUUGCUCCAGAGUCAAUAAUCCAGCCAUCAUGAUCAUGUCUUCUCUUCUAAGAGCAAAAAACAUAACCUUGAUUACCUGGGUCAUUCUGAUCAGUCUGUUCUUUAGCCGAGAUAGGAGAUUCUUGUGCAGGUACAAGUGAUAGUGUAGGUUCCAUGCUUAUAAGGGCUGCACGACCAGGAUGUUCACUACGCCUGGCUUCUGGUUUUUUCUUCGCCUUGAGUUCGUGCCACCAAUCUGGAUAACCAUGUAUUUUGAAACAUGUAUCUUUGGUGUGUUUUGUAUUUUCACAGUGUGUGCAACCUGCCCCUUCCCCAUGUGAUUUUGUAACUGGCCUUCCAUUCGCUGGCAUUAGAAAGGAUAAACGAUGUUGAGGUUUCUGUCCUCCCCUUGACAGCAUAGCACCUCCAGAUAUGACUUCUUCAUUUUUCAGCAUCACAGAUUGCCUUAGGUCUUCUCUCCUGACUUGCGCAUAGGCUUGUUCUACUGUUGGAAAUGGCUGCAUCUGGAGCACAUCUGCUCUAAUAUUGUCAAGUCUGUCAUCAAGCCCGUCUAAGAAUAUAUAGACUAUGUCCUCUUGCAAAAGUGAAUUAUAUUUCUGUAUGUCAGUAUUGCACUCCAUAGGGUUUGGAUGCCGGAAAUCAAUUUCUCUCCAUAAUCCCUGCAGAUUGUUGUAAUAUGUUUCAAUAGAUCCUCCUCCCUGUUUCAGCCUAGUAACUCUUUUUUUGAGUGUAUCAGUGCCAUCAAAGUAGGUUGUUGCAAUGUUAUCCCAAACAGCUUUGGCUGUUGAAAAUCUGAUGAAGUUGCUUAUAAGUUUUGGGUUCAUAGAGUUGAUCAGCCAUCCCUUCACCAUUGCAUUUUCAGUUCUCCACUUCCUGAAUGUUGGAUCUGUUUGCAGAGGUUGUGGAAGGUCUCUAUUUAUGUAUCCCAACUUGUCUUUUCUUGAGAUAUACAUGUCAACAAUUUGGACCAUAAUGCAUAAUUGUUGUCAUCUAACUUGAUUCCAAUCGGUGCAGCAGGUUCAUGGCUGGCAAGUUGUGUCAUCCCUGCUGUCAGAUCUGCAAGGAUUGAGUUCUCCCCUUCAUAAGUUUUCACCCCAGCAGAAGGGGUUUCCAUUCUUUUCCAGAAAAAAUUCUAUGGCCCUAGAAUCUCUGUUCUGAUACCAUGUUGAACUGAGAAAGAAUAUAUUUGAUUGUUAUUUCAGUAUAAAAAUAAGAGCAGAAGAGGCUCUUAUAUGUAUAGCCUAUACAGAGACUAAUAAGGAAAAACUCAUUACACUAGUCUAGGAAAUAAUCAUGGACGAUUUACAAUCAAGUAAGGCUAAUUAGAAAACUAAAUAUUCUAUAAUUCCUAUUCUGUGAUUUCCAUAUUUAUUCUUCACGUUAACAUUGUGCGUCCAUGGGAAGAACCUUUCAUUAAGCAGACUUAAAGAUAGAUGCUUCAGUUGUCCAUCACAUUAAUAAUUUAUUUUUUUGUGCUCUAAAACGGACUGGAAUAGAACAGGCAAAAGUUUGUUUCUGAUGAGAAAUAAUUUUUUUAUAUAAUAUCAAAGUUUUAUUAAUUAAGUGAUUAAUUAUAAGUUUAAAUUUUACAAUUUUUAUACUUGUACUAUAUAAUAAAAAUUAAACAUAAAGUAUUGAUGUUACAUGAAAAAAAAGAAGUGAUAAUUGCUUUAUCCGAGGAAUCUUUCAUAGUUGUAUUGCCUAGGCCACAUUGAUUUUUAUCCACAGUCUUACCACUACAUUAUAAUUAUAAACGAAACUAAAUAUAUAUAUAUAUAUAUAUAUAUUAUAGCUCCUUUGUCGCUUUACUGUUCAUGUCACUGCUUAUAGCCAUUGUUGUUUUUCUUGGUCCUUGAAACUUUUACCUAUUUUCGUUUUGGUCACAAAACUAUAUUAUUUUUCUUCAUUUACAUCCUUGCAAGUUCUAUUAACACGGUUCCGUUUGCUGUUAUCUACUUCGAUUUUCAUGUUCUCGCCUGUAUCAUAUAUCUUUAAAUAUUACUACAAUGAAUUAAAAAUCAAUUUUUCUAACCCUCCUACCCAUAAACCGAUCCUUGCCACAGGUUAAUCAUAUAAUCUCAUGCUCUUACCUACAGCUAAGCAUCGGCAGAACCAAAUAGUUGCUAUUAAGGUCAGUUCUCCACGUGCAUGUUCUUCCUUUUCAAGCUAAGCUGUUUUUUAGAAAGCUUCUAAUUUAGUUCAAGUCAAUAAAAGCUUAGCAGGUUGAUACAAAAGUUCAUGGCCAAGUAAAAGAUGUUUAUUUUGGAUGAAAUAAAUAUUCAUAUUGGAACAUAAUAUUCAUCUCUCAAAUCCCUAAUCCAGUUGGUAUAUUCAUGAUAAAAUCCAAAGGAUUGGUACUUUGGUGUUUGUGGGGCUGUUAUUUCAAAUCGCUAGCUUGUAAUUUACUGGAUCUAUUGCAAACAAUUCCCUCAGACGUCUAAAUAUCAAACCAACCAACCACCACCAUGCAUUUACUGAAUAUGAUAGUGGGAACUUAUUUAUCAAGAAUUAAAGCAGUAGUUGCUUAUGGAUAAUUAGCUCUUCCAUACAUUGAAAAACCGCAAUUUUUCAUGAUAAAAUCCAAAGGACUGGUACUUUGGUGUUUGUGGGGCUGGUAAAUGGAAGAACACGUGUUUGUGGGGCUGUUAUUUCAUUCAAGGUGCGUACUUUGGUGUGUAUCACGUGUUUGUUGCAUUGACUGAAUAUGAUAGUGGGAACUUAUUUAUCAAGAAUUAAAGCAGUAGUUGCUUAUGGAUAAUUAGCUCUUCCAUCCAGCAUUAAUUCUAUUAUCAAUUAUAGUUUAGUCAUAAAGUUUUUCGAGGAGAGAAAUAAAAAGGAAAAGGAAAAGGAAACAACCACUCCAUCUUUCCCUUCUUUCCAUGAAAAAAGCAAACACCCCAUUUUGAUUUUGAUUUUCAAUCAGGAUGAGUGAGAAAGAAAGAGAGGACAAGGGGGUAUUCUCUCUCUCUUUCCUUGCUUUUUCUAACGCGUGGACCCAGCAGUUGUUGCCACUUGCCACCAAAUUCCUUCCUCAAUAUUUACCAGUACUACACGCUUGAGAAAUUUCCUUGCUUUUUUUCCUCUUACGUACUGUUACCUUUUACCUUUUAUAAUUAUGAUUAUUGCAUUGCUAAUAAUUUAUUAUUAAUCAUCAAUAUUUAUUCUUGGUCAUCAAUAUUGAAUAAUGGCUUAUUUUCUAUUAUAAACUGUGUUUGAAAUAUAGGUUGAUGUUCUUAAAUAUUUUUUAAUGAUUUUAAUAUGUUGAUAGUAAAAAUAAAAAUAAAAAAACUGGUUUUGUUUUCCAAAAGAAAUUGACAGUCAAUUACUUGUUUACUAUGUUUUUAAGAACCAAAAUAAAUAAAUAAAGUUUUUUCUUUCCGUUUCCAAAUUUGGUAGCCCGAAAACCUCCUCAUCGCUGAGUAGGUUUUGUUUUAGUUUAAACGUGAUGGAGACGAUACUAAAAAUAACAACAAUAUAAAAAAAAUUGGUGUAAAUACCAUUUAUUUUUGCAUUUUAAAAAUAAUUUUUUAAAAAAUUAAAAAUAAAUUUUGUUUUUUAUUUUAAAAUAAUAUUUUUUUAAUAAUUUUAAAUUAUCUUAAUAUACUGAUAUUAAAAAUAAUUUUUAAAAGAUAAAGUUUUUAAAACAUAAAGUUUAGCCUGCAGAUCUUCCGCUGAUCCCAUCUCAUUGUUGUAUGCAUCCAAGCUAAGCCAAUUCAAGAAAGAAGAUUUGAAGAAUACCAGCAGCAGCAGGAGUAAUAAAUUAACAUAACAAACCAUCUAGGUGGUGGCCAGUAAUAAAAGCCUGAGACCAAGAGAUUUGUUUCUUUUGUGGUCUCAGAUUCGAGUUCUGUGAUUGCUCAUAUGAUUAUUACUGGAGGCUUACAUGGUCGUUAACUUCAGGGCCCGUGGGAUUAGUCGAGGUGCGCGCAAGCUGACCCGGACACCCACAUUAAACUAAAAAAAAAAAAUUAACAUAACAACAUUAUGGGAGAAGGAGGGAUGACCUCACUGCAAGGGCGGAGGCAUGUUAAAGGCUUGAGUGCGCUAUAAUUUAGAUCAAAACUUUAUUAAUAUAUUUUGAUUAGUUUUAUGUAAAAAAAUUUGUAAUUCUUGAUUGAAUUAUUAAAAAAAUUUAAAAUUUACCUGUAGCCUUCUAAUAUAAUAUUUUAACUUGGGUUAAAAUUUCAGAAUAUUUUGAGAAAUUCAGAAAUUUGAUGAAAAAUCAUAAUUUAGCCAGUUUUAUGUUAUUGAACGUAAUUUUCAAUCCAAUCAUCAGAUUGAACUGAAAUUUUACGAGGAAUCUUAAAAUAUAUUGAAUAAAAUAUAGUUAAAAUUUUAUGAUGAACAGAGCUUGAUAGUGCUAACAAAAAAAAAACCAUCAAAUAAAAACAAAUCAAGAAUAAAAUGAUUAUUUCCAUUAAAAAGUAAAAUAAAUUAACUCUUCCUUCAUUUUAUACGUUGCCAUCCUUGCAUUAGAGUACACUCCCACAUGCGUUGUGGCAGCGGUUUGCUCUGUUAUUGUUCUCAUUUCUCUUAUUGUUGAAAGAUCCUUGGGAAAGACAUUCCAAGGGUGCAGUGUUUCUUGUUCCCUUUCCCUUCUUUACAUGGCUUCCUCAAUGAAAAAGCAAGCACUAACGCACGUUCUCCACAAACUACCCCCUAUUUCGCCACUAUAUAAAUAUAUUAUGGAAAACAAGAUAAAAAGAAAUCUUUUGGUACAUAUAUAAAUAUAUUAUGGAAAUUAACAUGGUAUCAGAAUAUCUGUGAAGUAUUGCUGGGAAGUCAUAAUUUUUGACACGCCUAAUCACAGACUUUUUUGGGAAAAAAAAAGAAAAAAAGAAGCCAGGCUAUGAAAAUAGGUUUGUGGAAAUUUACAUCAUUUGAUCUUGACAGUAUCAGAUUAGACAAUUGCAUGGAAAUGGUCUUCUUAGUUUGCCGUGUGGAAAAUCAUGUCAUUUACGGGACUGCUGGAGAGAGUGUCUAAUGAUAAUUUUACCUUCUUUUAAAAUCUUUGACACUACUUGCAUUGACUGGAAAUUUCGCUCGAAAAUUUCUAGUAAUUUAUAAAGGAAAUUUCUACUGUAUAUGAAUUGAAAAACUAUUAUUGACUGACUUCUUGCAAAGUAUUCGCAAGAAAGCUAAAGAAUUAAAGUUUUUAAUUUUUAAAAUUAUAAUUUAAAAUUGUAAGAAAAAAAUCAAUUGUUUUAAAAAUAAAAAAUCAACUAUUUAUAUAAUAGCUAAAUCUAUUAAGAUAAAUCGAAAAUAACUAGUAAAAUCAAUGACUUGUAUUGACGAGUGUGUCUAUAUAUACAUAUAGGAACUGCUGAUUCGAUUUGAAUAUGUUAUUUGAUUAGUCUAAUUCAUGAUUUGCAUUGACUCAAAAUUACCACUAGAAAUUCCUAGUUUCGUGGUGCUUUCUCAGCCUGCAAAUGAAUAUAAAGCAUAUCCUUUUAUCCUAUAUAAAGAAUACAAUGAACCUUUUUAUCUUUUAUAAUUAUAAUUAUUGCAUUGCUAAUAAUUUGCACGAAAGAAUAUUCUUUCUCUGAAAAGGCCUUGAGAAAACCCUAAGCAUAGUAUAUAAUCUCUUAUAGGAAUCUCUUUAUUAAAUCAUCAAAAUAUCAAAGUCUGUUUCCAAAGACUAUGACUACAGUUUAUAUAUAGAAACAACCAAAUAUAAAAAUUAUUAUUUUUUAAAUAGAAAAACCAGAGAGCUUGAUAAUAUUUAAUAAAAUAAAAUAAAAUAGAAAAAUUAUUCCUUUUUAGGUAGAAAAAAAUUAUAAAGAUUUAAUAAUACUAAAUAAGAAAAAUUAAAAUUUCUACACUAAAUUAAAAAAACAAAAAAAAACUGAGAAAAUAUUUAUUAUCCCAAUAGUUCUUAUAUUAAAAUCUCAUUUAUCAUAUGUUAUAUCUAUCAAAAUAAUAAUAAUAAUAACUUGUGACGUGAACUAAAGCUAUAUGCGAAAACUAGAAAAACCCGGUAGAGACCGGUUCUGUUUUUUCAAAUAUGUUUUUUCUUCUAGCUAGAGACCCCUUUUUUUUAUAUAUUUUUCUAUUGGUUAGUAAACUAUUUCAAAGUUUAUUAUAUAAAUACUAGAAGAAUAUUUUAUUUUUUCAAUAUGGAAUAAAAAAAAUUAUUUUUGUUUAAAUACCUCAAUUUAAAAGAAUUAGAUAAUAUCUUUUUAAUAUGAGAUAAAAAAAACCUUUUAAAAUAAUCUUUUAAACUUUAUUAUAUGCAACAUGUAUAAUCUAUAUUCAUAUGAAUUGUUUCUUUAAUUUUUUUCAUAUGAAAUAUUAAAAAUCAAAUAUUUUUUUUUUAAUUUUUUCGGGUUAAUUUAGAUCAAUCUGUGUAACCCAAGACUCUGUUUUUUAGUCGGGUCAAAUUCAGCUUGGGUUCCAUAACUAUCAGUAAAUUUAUUGAAAAAAACGUAAUUUUUUUGCUUUUAUAAAAAUGAAAGGCAAAGAAUUAAAUUAGGACAUAUAUCACUAAUUAUUUACAUACUCUUAUUACAAACACAAAAUUUUAUGUCACUUCAUGAUAUCCAUGUUUUCAACGCUUUACACUGGUUUAAUAAAUUGUUACAGUAAUAUCACAGAGAGGAACGGUUCAUGAAAAAACAAUAAUGGAGUUGAAGCAGAAUCUCUGUUUGAUUUUUCUUUUUUGUGUUUUCGGUACACUGGUCAACAAUAGCUUGGAAGAGUUUGGAAUCAGUAACACAUGGACCCAGUUAUUGUGGAAACUUUGCAGAGGAUCUGCACUCUGCAGGAAGAAAAUGAUUUUAAUAGAUGUACUGUACAUCAUUUGAAUUUAUUAAAAGUAACGUGUAAUGUAAAGUAUGUACUGUACACCUGCUUUCAACGUUUUACACUGCUUUAGUCGUCCAAAAAAAAAAAAAAACCAUUAGAUGCUAUAAAACAAGAUAUAUACAAUUUAAUUUGAGAGUGUAAUAGAUAUUAUAUUUCAAAAUAUUUUUGAAAUAUAUUAAAAUAUUAAUUUUUAAAAAAAUAAUUUUAAUAUCAUAUAUUAGAACAAUAAAUAAUAAUUAUAAUUUAAAAAAAUAAAAAAUUUUAAAAUCUUUAAAAAAAUAAUAAUUUUACUGGACUCCAAAACACACCCAUGCUCCCUCAGCAACCACCACGAAAUUACCGCUCUAUAUUACAGCUCAAUAAUUUAUUUUAGCAAUUAUUGCUUGCUCAUUCACAAUUAUUGCUUUGCUAAUAAUUUGCAAGAAACUUUCUCAAUUUCCUUCUAUUUUCUUUUUAUUAUGGAAACUUUAAGUCACAUGUGCGCCUACCACGAAAUUACCGAUAAGUAAAUUUCAAUGCGUAAUUGUGUAGGUUUCAAUUAAAAAUGCUUUAAUUUGAAAAAUUAUGUUAACAAUAAUAUAAAUUAAUUUUUCUUCAUAAAAAAAGUAAUUGAGUAUUAAUUUAGGCUAUAAAAAUAAAAUAAUAAUAAAAAAAGAGUUCGAGGGUAUUCAUUUUAUUUCAUUUUACUAUAUAAUCUAAUUUGUUGAUGUGGAAAAUAGCAUAAAGUUUUUGACAUGGCUAUUGGUGAGAAGCAAAAGCAGUAGCAGUCCAUCGUUAUACUAAAGGUCAGUUUUUCACUCUGUGUGAAUUUACAGUAAAAGCUUGAUUUUGAAAGUGAGAUGAAAUUGGAAUAUUUUGAUUGAAAUUUAAUUAAAAAUUCAGAACAGAGUGAGAUUUGAAAUGAGACAAAAAAUCAUUCUGUUUUUUAAAUUUAUAUGAAAUUUUUUAGCUAUUCCAGACAGACAAAAUGGAAUGGAAUUGAGAACCUUGGAUGCAAUAUGCUUUUUAAUUAAAGAUAUAUUUAAAUAAUAAUUUUUAAAAAAAAUUAUUUUUUUUAUUUUAGUACAUUAAAAAUAAAAAAUAUUUAAAAAUAGUAAUUUAAUAUUUUCUUAAAAAAAUAUUUAAAAAACACUUUUAAAUUUUUUUGAACUGUACUAUUCCUUGAAAAAACUCAAACUCUAAAUAACAUCUACUAUUUUCAGAAUAUCUGUAAGAGAUUGCUGGGAAGACAUAACGUUUUGCCUAAUCAGUCUCUUUUGGAAAUUUAUACCAUUUGAUUUUGACAGUAUCAGAUUAGACAAUUGCAUGGAAAUGGUCUUCUUAGUUUACCGUGUGAAAAAUCAAUAUUAUUGUCCGGGAGGGAAGUAAGGUUUUUUUUUUAAAAAAAAUUAUUUAAAAAUAUAUUAAAAUAAUUUUUAAAAUCAAAAUGAUUUAAAAAUACUUAAAAAAAAUCUAAGACUAAAAAUUAAUCUAAAUGUUUUUGAAAAAUAAUUCAACCAAAGUGCCAAAUAUGAUCAAUAUCGAUUAUCUUUUAUGUAAGAUUAUCUUUUAUCUUUGACAAUUAUUGCAUUGCUAAUAAUUUGCAAGAAAACAUACUUUCUCAAUUUCCUUUUUUAUUAUGUUAGUAGAUGCUAGAUGCUGUUUAUUUUUGUGUUUUAAAAAUAUUUUUAAAAAAAUUUAAGAUUUUAAAUUAAUAUUUUUAGAUAUUUUAAGGUGCUGAUUUUAAAAAUAAUUUAAUUAUUUUUUUUAAAAAAAAAUCAUGACACGGGUAUAAAAAAAAAAUUAUGGUAGAUAUAGCCUCAUCUUCUCUGCUUGUAAAAUUGGAGCAGAUUAUGGACUUAAGCGAGCAAUUACCGCUCGAAAUUCCUAGUAAUUUACGAAGGAAUUUUCCUUGUUGUUUCUCUGUACAGUAUUAGAAAAAUUGUCAUUGACUGAUUUAAUUGCAAAGUCUCUGUAAGAAAGCUUAAAGAAUUAGAGCUUUUUAAAAUAAAAAAUAUAGAGAGAGAAAUAAAAAAUAAAAAUAAAAAAAGGAGCAAAAGGAAACAACCCCCAUCUUUCUUGUUCCCUUUCCCUUCUUUACAUGGCGUCCUCGAUGAAAAUAGCAAACGCCCCAUUUGAAUAUAUAAUUAAAGAAAGAAAGAAAGAGAGGAAAAUUUUUUUAGUGAAUUCAAAAGCCCUUCGCCCCGGAAAGAAAGUUUCUUUUAACAAAAUAAGGUUGUUGAGGCUUUUCUUGGAACCUCGCUCAGGGAUUAAUUAACAAGAAUUAAAAAAUCCCCUGCAAAUUACACAAAAUUUAUUAUUGAUCAUCAAUAUUGAAUAAUGGCUUAUUUUCUAGCAUAAACAAAAAUUGAUAAAAGAUAUUUAUUAUUGAUCAUCAAAUUGUGGUAGCUGUUGUGGUUGUGGAAAAAAUUAUUUUAUAAAAAAUAUUUUUAGUUGAGGUUGAUUUGAAAAAAUAGGUGUUUGGUUAAAACUGUGGUUGAAAUUGAAGUUGAAGAAAAAAUAGCUUAAUGUGUUUGGUUAAGAAUGCUUUUAAAAUUGAAGUUAUAAAAUAAUUUUUAAAAAAUAUAUUAAUACUGAUGAUUUUUAAUUUAAAUAUUAUGGAUUUAACUAUUGCUAUUAUAUCAUGAAAUAAAUCAUACUUUAUAUAAAAUAUUUUUUUAUUAUUCCAUGAAACCAUUUAUAAUUCCAUUACGUAUACAUCCGACAAAAACUACAGUUUUCAUAAUAUUUUUAGCAUAUAAUAAAAUUAGAUAAAAUAUUAUCAGGUAUAAAAUUCACUAUAAACUAGUUUUUUUAAAAAAAAAUGUUAAAAAAAUAACACACUAAAAAAAAUUAACACACUAAAAAAAAAAAGGUUCACGCAGGCAAAUGAACAUUGCAAGAGAAUUGCACUGUUCACUAUUUUUAAGUGAACAGUGCAAUUGUGUUGCACUGUUCACUUGAAUAGUGUACAUUACGUACUGUUCAUGUUAAUUGCACUGUUCAUUGAACGGUGCAAUUAACAUGAACCGUGAAAAAAAGAGUAAGAAAUGGCUGCUUUUCCUUUCCUGCGUUUCUAACAUAGAAAUUAAGUGAGGCCCAGUGAACAGUAAAUUAAUUUUUUCAUUAACCAAACAGCUGCGAACUGCGUUUUAAAUAAAACGCAGCCGCAGCUACAGAGCCAAACGGGCUCUAUAUUUUGGAGUGACGUAGAUAUUAUGUUUUAAAAUCCUUUUUAUUUAUAAAUGUAUUAACAUUUAUUUUUCAAAAUUUAUUUUUAAUAUUAAUAUAUCAAACUAAUAUAAAAAUAUUAAAAAAAUAAUUUAAAACAAUAAAACAUUCAGCAACCACUCUAAAUUCCAGCUCAAUAAUUUAUUCUUUAGCGAUUAUUGCUUGCUCUUUGACAAUUAUUGCAUUUCUAAUAAUUUGCAAGAAAACAUACUUUCUCAAUUUCCUUGAACUCAUUUGACCCAGCUAUCGAGUUAUUUUUUCCGCUCAUCUUUUUUUCCCACAAACUCACCAAGACAGCACCGGAUUAUUUUAACUCAGUGAUCCUUCCAGGUAGGCCCAGGCCACAUUGAUUGUGUUAAAAAAAAAAUCUAAUUCAGCUUAGUAUCAACUACAUUAUAAUUAUUUAGGAGGAUAGUUGAACCAUACUUUUUAAAAAAAUUAAUUUUUUUUUAUAAUUAUACGCCAUCAGCAACUACCUCGAAAUUACCACUCCAAAUUCCAGCUCAAUAUCGAUCAACAUGCGGCUAAAAUUGAUAAAAGACACAUAAUGAUGGUAUUGUAUAUUUUGAGACUAAAUUGAGGUUUUUUAAUUAUUACUUUAAAAUAUAUCAUGGUUUUAAUAGUUGGACGGUAUAUUAUAUAAAUUAUUAAAAAAUAUUUAUUUUUAUUAUAUAUGUAGUAAUAAUAAAUUAGAUGAUAAUAACAAAAAAUAGAAAUUAUUUUGAAUAAAUAGUACCAGUUCCUAUUAUGAUAUGUAUAGAGAAGAAGUUGGAAGAAUAAAAUGAAGUCAAAUAUUCUUAAUAAAAAAAACACAGAAAUAGUUAAAAUAUGUUUUUAAUAAAUAUAAAAGAUGGAUGAAAAUAUUAGAAAACAUGAAAGAGAUACAUAAUCUCUUUGUAAGAUUUCUAAGAACUUAAUUACAAUUACAUUAUAAUUUCUUCCUUAAAAUUAUUCAAAAUAUAUAUUAUUCUAGGUUUUAAUGUAAUUAAAAAGGAAGUAUUUGUAAGUGUAAGAAUUUUUGACACGCCUAAUCACAGUUUUUUUUGGAAAAGAAAAGAAGCCAGGCUAUGAAAAUAGGUUUGUGGAAAUUUACGUCAUUUGAUUUUGACAAUUGCAUGGAAAUGGUCUUCUUAAUUUGCCGUGUAGAAAAUCAUGUCAUUUACGGGACUGCUGGAGAGAGUGUCUAUUGAUAAUUUUACCUUCUUUUCAAAUCUUUGACACUGCUUGCAUUGACUGGUAAUUUCGCUCGAAAAUUUCUAGUAAUUUAUAAAGGAAAUUUCUACUGUAUAAAUUGAAAAACUAUUAUUGACUGACUUCUUGCAAAGUAUUUGCAAGAAAGCUAAAAAAUUAAAAUUUUUAAAUUUUUAAAUUAUAAUUUAAAAUUGUAAGAAAAAAAUCAAUUGUCUUAAAAAUAAAAAAAUCAACUAUUUAUAUAAUAGCUAAAUCUAUUAAGAUAAAUCGAAAAUAACUAGUAAAAUCAAUGAUUGACGAGUGUGUCUAUAUAUACAUAUAGGAACUGCUGAUUCGAUUUGAAUAUGUUAUUUGAUUAGUCUAAUUCGUGAUUUGCAUUGACUCAAAAUUACCACUAGAAAUUCCUAGUUUCGUGGUGCUUUCUCGGCCUGCAAAUGAAUAUAAAGCAUAUCCUUUUAUCCUAUAUAAAGAAUACAAUUAACCUUUUUAUCUUUUAUAAUUAUAAUUAUUGCAUUGCUAAUAAUUUGCACGAAAGAAUAUUCUUUCUCUGAAAAGGCCUUGAGAAAACCCUAAGCAUAGUAUAUAAUCUCUUAUAGGAAUCUCUUUAUUAAAUCAUCAAAAUAUCAAAGUCUGUUUCCAAAGACUAUGACUACAGUUUAUAUAUAGAAACAACCAAUUAUAAAAAUUAUUAUUUUUUAAAUAGAAAAACCAGAGAGCUUGAUAAUAUUUAAUAAAAAUAAAAAAUAAAAAAUUAUUCCUUUUAAAGUAGAAAAAAUUAUAAAGAUUUUAAUAAUACUAAAUAAGAAAAAUUAAAAUUUCUAAACUAAAUUUAAAAAAACAAAAAAAACUGAGAAAAUAUUUAUUAUCCCAAUAGUUCUUAUAUUAAAAUCUCAUUUAUCAUAUGUUAUACCUAUCAAAAUAAUAAUAAUAAUAAUUUGUGAUGUGAACUAAAGCUAUAUGCGAAACCUAGAAAAACCCGGUAGAGACCCGUUUUGUUUUUUCAAAUAUUUUUUUUCUUCUAGCUAAAGAUCAUUUUUUUUUAUAUAUUUUUCUAUUGGUUACUAACUCAUUUCAAAGUUCACUAUAUAAAUACUAGAAGAAUAUUUUAUUUUUUUGAUGUGGAAUUAAAAAAAAUUCUUUUGAUUUAAAUACUUCAAUUUAAAACAAUAAGAUAAUAUCUUUUUAAUAUGAGAUAAAAAAACCUUUUGAAAUAAUCUUUUAAACUUUAUUAUAUGCAACAUGUAUAACCUAUAUUCAUAUGAAUUGUUUCUUUAAUUUUUUUCAUAUGAAAUAUUAAAAAUCAAAUAUUUUUAUUUUUAUUUUUCUGGGUUGACCUGGAUCAAUUUAUGUAAUCCAAGACUCUAUUUUUUAGUCUGGUCAAUUUUAAGUUGGGUUCGAUAAUAAUGAUUAAAUUUAUUGAAAAAAACAUAAUUUUUUUUUUGUUUCUAUAAAAAUCAAAGGUAAAGAAUUAAAUGAUGACAUAUAUCACUAAUUAUUGACAUACUCUUAUUACGAACACAAUAUGAUACCCAUGUUUUCAACGCUUUACACUGCUUUAAUAAAUUGUUACAGUAAUAGCACAAAGAGGAACGGUUCAAGAAAAAACAAUAAUGGAGUUGAAGCAAAAUCUCUGUUUGAUUUUUUCUUUUUUGUGUUUUCGGUACAUUGGUCAACAAUAGCUUGGAAGAGUUUGGUAUCAGUGACACGUGGACCCAGUUGUGGUGGAAGGAAGAAAAAUGAUUUUAAUAGAUGUACUGUAUAUCAUUUGAAUUUAUUAGAAGUAACAAGAUAUAUACAAUAAGAUGCACUGAGGGUAUUGGCCUGGGAUACGAGGGGCUUGUCUUCUCUUGUUGCUUCUGGAUUCGAGUUUUUAUGUGUAUGUCUGUCAUUUUUACGGUGUCUUAUAUGUUCAUUGAGUUUGCAGGGUGUUCAGUGGGUCGUGGAAUUAGUCGUGGUGCGCGCAAGCUGACUCGGACACCCACGUAAAUAAAAAAAAAAAAAAUAUAUAUACAAUAAGAUGCUAUAUUAAAAUAUUAGAUGCUAUUUUUCGAUCUUAGAAGUAACAUGAUUUUAAUAUACACCUUCUUUCAACGUUUUACACUGCUUUAGUCGUCAAAAAAAAAAAAAAGACUAUUAGAUGCUAUAAAACAAGAUAUAUACAAUUUAGUUUGAGAGUCUAAUAGAUAUUAUAUUUCAAAAUAUUUUAGAAAUAUAUUAAAAUAUUAGUUUUUUUAAAAAAAUUAUUUAAUAUCAUAUAUUAGAACAAUAAAAAAUAAUAAUAAUUUAAAACAAUAAAAAAUUUCAAAAUCUUUUAAAAAUAUAAUUUUACUGGACUCCAAAACACACCCAUGCUUCCUCAGCAACCACCACGAAAUUACUACUCUAAAUUACAGCUCAAUAAUUUAUUCUAGUUAUUAUUGCUUGCUCUUUGACAAUUAUUGCUUUGCUAAUAAUUUGCAAGAAACUUUCUCAAUUUCCUUCUAUUUUCUUUUUAUCAUGGAAACUUUAAGUCACAUAAUAUAUGGCUGAUUUUAUAUGAAUAUAUUAUUUGAUUAGUGUUGACUCUACUAUUGCUGCAUUGACUGGAAAUUUCAGUAUUCAAUAUCCUAUAUCAUUCUACGUUCAUAACGAUAACUCUUUGUUAUAUUUAACUUACACUGCAGCUAACUUCUCUGUCCCAUUGCAGCCAUUUCAUAGCUAACUCUUUGUUAUAUUUAACUUGCUCUUCUUUGCUUCUUUGCUUCUUGCUCAUAACGAUAACAAGAAAGCCUUACGUUCAGAUAGAUAAUCAUUGACCAGUUCAUCCUAUACCAUUCAAUUUAAUUUAGAAAUGCUGAAAGAAAAACGCAAGCAAUCCAAAGAUGAAGACAACGAUUCAUCCUCGCGAAAGAGAAGAAAAGCUGACCUCAGUAAGCCUGUCAGUUUUGUCUCCACAGGUAAGGCAGAUGCGUGAGUCUAUACAUGUAGGAACUGCUGAUUCGAUUAGAAUAUGUUAUUUGCUUAGUCUGAUCAUAGGAUAGGUUGAGUCUACUACUAUUUCUGCCUUGCUUUGACUCGAAAUUACUGGUGUUUUCUCCUGCAAAUGAAUAGAAAUCACAUCCUUUCUCUUUCUCCUAUACAAAGAAUACAAUUAACCUCAUUUCAAUAUCAUAGCUUUGGAAUUUCAUAGCUAACUCUUUGUUAUGUUGCUCCAUUGGUAAUUGAUUGUGCCUUAAUUUCUGCAGCUACCAGGACAGAGCCAGAGUCUUCUCGAUCUAGACCAGAAGGGGCCUAUGAUGUCUUCUUGAGUUUUAGAGGAGAAGACACUCGCAAGACAUUUACAGAUCAUCUAUAUACUGCCUUAGUCCAAGCAGGAAUCCGCGCUUUUCGAGAUGAUGAUGACCUUCCAAGAGGAGAAGAAAUCUCCGAUCAUCUCCUCAGGGCAAUUCAAGAAUCAAAGAUAUCCAUAGUUGUCUUCUCAAAAGGAUAUGCUUCUUCUAGAUGGUGUCUCAAUGAACUUGUAGAGAUUCUUGAGUGCAAAAAGAGGAAAACCGGUCAGAUUGUUCUUCCUAUAUUCUAUGACAUUGAUCCUUCAGAUGUGAGAAAACAGACUGGCAGUUUUGCAAAGGCAUUUGAUAAGCAUGAAAAGCGUUUUGAAGAGAAGUUGGUGAAGGAGUGGAGAAAAGCUCUUGAGGAUGCCGCAAACCUAUCUGGACGGAGUCUCAAUAAUAUGGCAAAUGGGUAUUCCUUCUCUCUCUAAGAUUCACUUGCACACGUUUAUGGAGUAAUUUUACAUUACAUUUUUCAAUGUGAAGUAAUAAAAUAUUUCUUUUUAGCAUACUUAAUUGAGUCGCUAUCAAUGACUUGCUUUUGUCUAUGAGCAGGCAUGAAGCAAAAUUUAUCAAGAAGAUUAUCAAGGAUGUGUUGAAUAAAUUAGAUCCCAAGUACUUAUAUGUUCCUGAGCACCUAGUAGGUAUGGAUAAACUUGCUCAUGAUAUUUUUGACUUUCUAAGCACUGCAACAGAUGAUGUACGCAUUGCGGGCAUACAUGGGAUGCCAGGAAUAGGAAAGACGACUAUAGCAAAAGUUGUAUUUAAACAACUCUGCGAUAGAUUCGAGGACAGCUGUUUUCUUUCGAAUAUCAAUAUUGAAACACCAAAAAAACUUACAGGUCUUGUUGGUUUUCAAACGCAACUUCUUCGUGAAAUUUUAAAACAAGGUGUUCCAAACUUCGAAUGUGUUGAUAGAGGAAAGGUUUUGAUCAAAGAACGACUUCGUGGCAAAAGAGUUCUUGUUGUUGCUGAUGAUGUGGCUCAUCUGGACCAGCUAAAAGCUUUGAUGGGAGAGCGAAGCUGGUUUGGUCUCGGAAGUAGAGUAAUUAUUACAACAAGAGAUUCAAAUCUUCUUCGUGAAGCAGAUCGAACAUAUCAGAUCGAAGAAUUGAAACCAGACGAGUCCCUUCAGCUUUUCAGCUGGCACGCCUUUAAGGACUCCAAGCCAGCAAAAGAUUAUAUUAAGCUUUCGAAGGAUGCAGUUGAUUACUGUGGAGGACUUCCUUUAGCUCUUGAGGUUAUGGGUGCUUGUCUGUCUGGGAAAAACAGAGAUGGUUGGAAAUGUGUAAUUGAAAAAUUGAGAAGAAUUCCAAACCACGAUAUUCAAGGAAGGCUUAGAAUAAGUUUUGACGCACUGGACGGUGAAGAACUACAAAAUGCAUUCCUUGACAUCGCUUGCUUCUUUAUUGAUAGAAAGAAAGAGUACGUCGCAAAAGUGCUAGGAGCCCGUUGCGGUUACAAUCCAGAAGUUGAUUUGCAAACUCUCCAUGAAAGGUCUCUGAUUAAAGUAUUGGGAGAGACGGUAACCAUGCAUGAUCUAUUACGAGACAUGGGAAGGGAGGUCGUUCGUGAUAAGUUUCCAAAAGAACCUGGAAAGAGGACCAGAAUUUGGAAUCAAGAGGAUGCAUGGAAUGUACUUGAGCAGCAGAAGGUAAGAGCUCAAUGCAUACAUGAAAGCAUAGUCAUUCGUAUUUUCUAGUCAAACUUAUUUCACAUAAUUGAAUGAAAGUUGUAUUGUUUUUUUUUUAGGGUACGGUUGUUGUAGAGGGUCUUGCACUGGAUGUCAGAGCAUCAGAAGCUAAAGCACUUUGCGCAGGAUCAUUUGCAGAAAUGAAACGCUUAAAUUUACUCCAAAUCAAUGGAGUACAUCUCACCGGAUCCUUCAAACUGCUUUCUAAAGAGUUGAUGUGGAUUUGUUGGCAUAGAUGUCCUUUGAAAGAUUUUCCAUCUGAUUUUACCGCAGACUAUCUAGCUGUUCUUGAUAUGCAGUACAGUAACCUCAAAGAACUAUGGAAGGGAAAAAAGGUGCGAAACAUGCUACAAUCCCCGAAAUUUCUCCUGUAUGUAAUUUAUAUUGACAUCUUAUGACUUUCUAUGAUUAAUUUUCAUUAUUUUACCCUCUAUUAUGACAGAUCCUCAACAGGCUAAAAAUCUUUAAUCUUAGUCAUUCUCGGAACCUUGUUAAAACACCAAACUUGCACAGUUCAAGUCUAGAGAAACUAAUUCUGAAAGGUUGCUCAAGUUUAGUUGAGGUGCAUCAAUCAAUUGGACAUUCGACGAGCCUCGUUUUCUUGAAUCUCAAGGGAUGUUGGAGUCUGAAGACUCUCCCUGAAAGCAUUAGGAAUGUAAAGUCUCUUGAAACUAUGAAAAUUUAUGGGUGUUCACAACUUGAGAAAUUGCCAGAAGGCAUGGGUGAUAUGAAAUUCUUAACUGAGCUAUUAGCUGAUGGGAUUAAAACUGAGCAAUUUCUCUCUUCAAUUGGGCAAUUAAAGUAUGUCAAAAGGUUAUCAUUACGUGGAUGCAGUCCGACUCCACCAAGUUGUUCUUUGAUUUCAGCAGGUGUUUCAAUUUUGAAAUGUUGGCUGCCAACAUCAUUCACUGAAUGGAGAUUAGUGAAACAUCUUAUGCUUUCUAAUUGUGGUUUGUCUGAUCGUGCAACUAACUGUGUUGAUUUUAGUGGUUUGUUCUCUCUAGAAAAAUUGGAUCUAAGUGAAAACAAAUUCUCUAGCCUGCCUUAUGGGAUCGGCUUCCUUCCCAAGCUAUCGCACUUGGUUGUUCAGACAUGUGAAUAUCUUGUAUCAAUCCCAGAUCUUCCCUCAAGUUUAUGCCUUUUGGAUGCAUCUUCUUGCAAAUCAUUGGAAAGAGUAAGAAUACCAAUCGAGUCAAAAAAAGAACUAUGUGUAAAUAUAUUUCAAAGUCUUUCGUUAGAAGAGAUUCAGGGCAUCGAAGGUCUAAAUAAUAGUUUCUGGAAUGUUAGUAUUGAAAGACGCAGUCAUUCACCAAAUAAAUUACAGAAGAGCGUUCUAGAGGUACUAUUUCUUUCAAUCUCUCUUGCAUAAGAAGAAACACACACAAUUGGCACAUAUUGAUUAAUGUCUAAAAUCGCAGCAUUCCUUGAAAUUAAUAUGUAUACAGGCAGUUAUUAUUAUUAUUAUUAUUAUUAUAUUUUAAAAAAUAAAUAUCAUCUUUAAUAAUAUUUUCUUAUUUUUCUUAUUUAAUCUAAAAAAUUAAAUAUUAUCUUUAAUAAUAUUUUUUAUUAAAUAUUUAAGUCUUUGGUUUUCUUUUUUAUUUCUUGAUUUUAUGAUAAUAUAUUUAUACAGGCAAUGUGCAACCGUGGUCACGGGUAUCGUAUUAACUUCAGUCUAGAACAUGAUGAACUACAUGAGAUGCCAGAUUGGAUGAGCUACAGGGGAGAAGGAUGCUCAUUGUCAUUCCAUAUACCUCCAGUCUUCCAUGGCUUAGUUCUUUGGUUAGAGAAGGGUACUCAUAUGUACACAUACACUAACAUUAUUAUUAUUAUAAGAAAUAAAAGCAACGGAAGAAUAUUGUUUAAAGAUAAACGAGCACAGAUAGGAAUACAUAUAUUUAUGCAGGGAUGGUUAAGAUACAUAAGUAGAAGUGAAAUGGCAAUGGAAGAUUACUGUGGAGACGAAUUGGAACUAUACAUUUCUUCAGAGCCAACAGACUAUGCACUGCGCAAGGGUAAAUCAUUGAAACCAAGCGUUAAAGAAUGUGGGGUCCAUGUGAUCGCAGGGAAGUCAGAUUCAUUAAAAAAGUCGGCAGUGGAAAGAGAUACAGUGAUGCUUUCACCACCGCUGUAUCAUCUGCUUCCUCAUCCUCAUCGUGGUUCAAUUACAACGUCUACACCUAAGCAAUGGUGUGACUUUUUACUUGCGGAGCUGCAAAACCAUAGCCUCGGUUUAUUGCUUCUUGGUAAGAACAAAUAUUUCCUUUAGUUAUUUUUAUUCUAUUCUAUUUAAUUUAUGAGAUUAAAUAUUAUCUUUAAUUAUUUCAUUAUUACUAUUUAAUAUAAAAAAUUAAAUAUCAUUUUUAAUAAUAAAAAAUUAAAUAUUUAAGGCUUUUUGGUAAGAAUACAUAUUUCCUUUAGUUAUUUCUAUUUUAUUCUAUUUGAUGGGAAUUUGUUCGUAAUAACAAAAUGCACAUGUUUAACUUUCUUUUCAAACUUGGAAGUUUUAUUGAAUUUGAUGGCUUUUGAAGGUAGAGAAGACUUGGAGUGAAGAGUACAAGAUCAUUUUAUAUAGAGAUGCUUGAAGUUACUUCAAAUUAGUACGGUACUUCUAUCUGAUGUAUUGAUAUGUAUUUGUUUGUUUGAAGAUUAUUUUCCAAGCUUGGAAGUUUUAUUGAAUACUCUUUGAAAUCUUUUCCAUCCGCUUUUAUAUUUUUAUAUUGGACAACCUAGUUGUUAAUUAUUAUCCAUGAUGUAAUUUAUAUUUUCAAGUUAUAAAUUUUGAUGAAUAUUGUUUCAUUUUUUUCCUCAUUUCAAAAGUUGAAAAUCCUUAUUUUAGUUAGAAAUAAAUUGGUUUUCUAGGAAGAGAUUAUUGAUUGGAAACAAGAGCAAAAGAAAAAAGCAAACACCCCAUUCGAUUUUCAUUCAGUAUAAGAGUGAGAAAGAGAGACGCCAAGGUGGUUCUCGAAUAUUUUGUUCUUUUUUGUCUCGCUCACUGGGGUAAAUACUUCAUCAUUUAAUGUUAUAAUUUAAAAUAAUUGAUGAAAAAGAAUUUUAUUCAAUCCCAAUCCCAAUCCCACAUUGUCUGUAGAAGUAUUUACUUUUGACUGUACACUUUGUUAUUUUCCAAUCCCUCCCCAGUUCUGCAACCAUUUCUCUACUUUCUAUGCUCUUGGCUUGCUAAAAACUAAAGAAAACACAUUGCUCUAGUUGCCUGCCUUCACUCUUCAGAUUGCUCAACAAAUCCCUUGAGACCUUCUCCAUAGUUAACACAUCACAUAAUGGCUACUCUAAAAAAUUUAGCCAUAAACAUUGAACACCUUAAGCAAUCAACGUGCCUUCCUUCACAAUAUGCAUCACCCAUAAAUCUUUCUUUUGGGAUGUCGCCGGGAGUUUAAAUUUCCGAGUGUAAAAAUUACUCAAUGAAAAAGCGAGCACUAACGCACCUUCUCCACAAACUACCAUAAAUAUAUAAAUAUAUUAUGAAAACAAGAUAAAAAGAAAUCUUUCGGUACAUCUAUAUAUAUAUAUUAUGGCUAUGAAAAUAGGUUUGUGGAAAUUUACAUCAUUUGAUCUUGACAGUGUCAGAUUAGACAAUUGCAUGGAAAUGGUCUUCUUAGUUUGCCGUGUGGAAAAUCAUGUCAUUUACGGGGCUGCUGGAGAGAGUGUCUAUUGAUAAUUUUAUCUUAUUUGCAUUGACCGGUAAUUUCACUCGAAAAUUUCUAGUAAUUUAAAAGCAAAUUUCUACUGACUAUUAUUGACUGGCUUCUUGCAAAGUAUUUGUAAGAAAGCUAAAGAAUUAAAGUUUUUUAAUUUUUAAAAUUGUAAGAAAAAAAUCAAUUAUUUUUAAAAUUGUUUUCAAAAAUAAAACACCAACUAUUUAUAUAAUAGCUAAAUCUAUUAAGAUAAAUCCAAAAUAACUAGUAAAAUCAGUGACUUGCAUUGACGGUGUAAUGAUCUGGAACCACUCGCAAUAAAUAAAGCCAAAAAAGGCAGACGAGUGUGUCUAUAUAUACAUAUAGGAACCGCUGAUUCGAUUUGAAUAUGUUAUUUGAUUAGUCUAAUUCAUGACUUGCAUUGACUCAAGAUUACCACUCAAGAUUUCGUGGUGCUUUCUCGGCCUGCAAAUGAAUAGAAAGCAUGUCGUUUUAACCUCAUUUCAAUAUCCUUGCUUUACUCUCCAGCUAGCCUGAUACAUAUGAGUCUCAAGACAUACGGCCAUUGAUAGAAAGGAGUGCUGAAGCAAAAUAUUUUUUUAUCUGUAGCGACCUCAAUAAUGUUAAAGCGUGGACCACCAUGAAAUUACCGCUCCAAAUUCCUUGUUCUUUCUAUAUUAUUAGAAAAAUUAUCAUUGACUAAUUUAAUUGGAAAUUAUUUGCGAGAAAGCUAAAAAGAAUUAAAGUUUUUUAAUUUAUAAAAUUAUAAUUUUAAAUUGUAAAAAAAUUCAAUUAUUUUAAAAAAUAAAACAUCAACUAUUUAUAUAAUAGCUAAAUAAAUCUAUUAAAAUAAAUUGAGAAUAACUAGUAAAAUCAAGCAAAUAAUCCAAAAAUAACAAGAAAAUAAAUAUAUUUCCUAGAUCUAAUUUGAUUAUAUUUAUUAUCUUGAUUGACUUACUUGUUAAGUCUUCGCUAAGCAUAAAUGAACUUUAAUCUAAGAAUCUGUUUUAUAUUUCUUCAUUUAUUAAUGAAAUAUUACUUCUACUGUAUAGUUUUUGGUUCCGAGUUGAUCCACCAGAUUAAUAGGUGAACAAUAUAUUUUGUCUCCACAGGUUAUAACAUCAUUUCAAUAUCUUUAAACAAAAUCUUUGUUAAACUGCACCAUUGGUAAUUGAUUAUGCCUUAAUUUCUGCAGCUGCCAGGACAGAGCCAGAGUCUUCUCGAUCUAGACCAGAAGGGGCCUAUGAUGUCUUCUUGAGUUUUAGAGGAGAAGACACUCGCAAGACAUUUACAGAUCAUCUCUACACUGCCUUAGUCCAAGCAGGAAUCCACACUUUUCGAGAUGAUGAUGAACUUCCGAGAGGAGAAGAAAUCUCCGAUCAUCUCCUCAGGGCAAUUCAAGAAUCAAAGAUAUCCAUAGUUGUCUUCUCAAAGGAUAUGCUUCUUCUAGAUGGUGUCUCAAUGAACUUGUAGAGAUUCUUAAGUGCGAAAAUAGGAAAACCGGUCAGAUUGUUCUUCCUAUAUUCUAUGACAUUGAUCCUUCAUAUGUCAGAAAACAGAAUGGCAGUUUUGCAGAAGCAUUUGUUAACCAUGAAGAGCGUUUUGAAGAGAAGUUGGUGAAGGAGUGGAGAAAAGCUCUUGAGGAGGCUGGAAAUCUAUCUGGAUGGAAUCUCAAUGAUAUGGCAAAUGGGUAUGCCUUUUCUCUCUAAAAUUCACUUGCAGACGUUUAUGGAGUAAUUCUACAUUACAUUUUUCAAUGUGAAGUAAUAAAAUAUUUCUUUUUAGCAUACUUAAUUGACUUGCUAUCGAUGACUUGCUUUUUUUCUGUGAGCAGGCAUGAAGCAAAAUUUAUCAAAGGGAUUAUCAAUGAUGUGUUGAAUAAAUUACGUCGCGAGUGCUUAUAUGUUCCUGAGCAUCUGGUAGGUAUGGAUCUUGCUCACGAUAUUUAUGACUUUCUAAGUACUGCAACAGAUGAUGUACGCAUUGUGGGCAUACAUGGGAUGCCAGGAAUAGGAAAGACGACUCUAGCAAAAGUUGUAUUUAAUCAACUCUGCUAUAGAUUCGAGGGAAGCUGCUUUCUUUCGAAUAUCAAUGAAAGUUCAAAACAAGUUAAUGGUCUUGUUCCUUUACAAAAGCAACUUCUUCAUGAUAUUUCAAAACAAGAUGUUGCUAACAUCAAUUGUGUCGAUAGAGGAAAGGUUAUGAUCAAAGAUCGACUUUGUCGCAAAAGAGUUCUUGUUGUUGCUGAUGAUGUGGCUCAUCUGGAACAGCAGAAUGCAUUGAUGGGAGAGCGAAGUUGGUUUGGUCCCGGAAGUAGAGUAAUCAUUACAACAAGAGAUUCAAAUCUUCUUCGUGAAGCAGAUCGAACAUAUCAGAUCGAAGAAUUGAAACCACAUGAGUCCCUUCAGCUUUUCAGCAGGCAUGCCUUUAAGGACUCCAAGCCAGCACAAGAUUAUAUUGAGCUUUCGAAGAAAGCCGCUGGUUACUGUGGAGGACUUCCUUCAGCUCUUGAGGUUACAGGAGCUCUUCUGUACAGGAAAAACAGAGGUAGAUGGGAAAGUGAAAUGGACAACUUGAGCAGAAUUCCAAACCAAGAUAUUCAAGGAAAGCUUCUAAUAAGUUAUCACGCACUUGAUGGUGAACUACAAAGGGCAUUCCUUGAUAUUGCAUGCUUCUUUAUUGGUAUAGAGAAAGAAUACGUCGCAAAAGUGCUAGGAGCCCGUUGCCGUCCCAAUCCAGAAGUUGUUUUGGAAACUCUCAGUGAAAGGUCUCUGAUUAAAAUAUUGGGAGAGACGGUAACCAUGCAUGAUCUAUUACGAGAGAUGGGAAGGGAGGUCGUUUGUAAAGCGUCCCCAAAAGAACCUGGAAAGAGGACCAGAAUUUGGAAUCAAAAGGAUGCAUGGAAUGUACUUCAACAGCAGAAGGUACGAGCUCAAUGCAUACAUGAAAGCGUAGUCAUGUGUAUUUUCUCAAUGCAAACAUGAAAGCAUAGUCAUGCGUAUUUUCUUGUCAAACUUAUUACAAAUAAUUGAAUGAAAGUUGUAUUGAUUUUUUUUUUAGGGUACGGAUGUUGUAGAGGGUCUUGCACUGGAUGUCAGAGCAUCAGAAGCUAAAUCACUUAGCGCAGGAUCAUUAGAAAAAAUGAAAUGCUUAAAUUUACUCCAAAUCAACGGAGCACAUCUCACCGGAUCCUUCAAACUGCUUUCUAAAGAGUUGAUGUGGAUUUGUUGGCAUGAAUGUCCUUUGAAAUAUUUUCCAUCUGAUUUUACCUUGGACAAUCUAGCUGUUCUUGAUAUGCAGUACAGUAACCUCAAAGAACUAUGGAAGGGAAAAAAGGUGCGAAACAUGCUGGAAUCCCCAAAAUUUCUCCAGCAUGUAAUUUAUAUUUACAUGUUAUGACUUUCUAUGAUUAAUUGUCAUUAUUUUACUCUCUCUUAUGACAGAUUCUCGACAAGCUAAAAAUCCUUAAUCUCAGUUAUUCUCAUCACCUUAUUAAAUCACCAAAGUUGCACAGUUCAAUUCUAGAGAAACUAAUUCUGAAAGGUUGCUCAAGUUUAGUUGAGGUGCAUCAAUCAAUUGGACAUUCGACGAGCCUCGUUUUCUUGAAUCUCGAGGGAUGUUGGAGUCUGAAGACUCUCCCUGAAAGCAUUGGUAAUGUAAAGUCUCUUGAAACUAUGAAUAUUUGUGGGUGUUCACAACUUGAGAAAUUGCCAGAAGGCAUGGGUGAUAUGAAAUUCUUAACUGAGCUGCUAGCCGAUGAGAUUAAAACUGAGCAAUUUCUCUCUUCAAUUGGGCAAUUAAAGUAUAUCAAAAGGUUAUCAUUGCGUGUUUCAAAUUUGAAAUGUUGGCUGCCAACAUCUUUCACUGAAUGGAGAUUAGUGAAAUAUCUUAAGCUUUACUGUGUUGAUUUUAGAGGUAUGUUCUCUCUAAAAGUAUUGGAUCUAAGAGGAAACAAAUUCUCUAGCCUGCCUUCUGGGAUCGGCUUCCUUCCCAAGCUAUCGUACUUGGUUGUUAAGACAUGUGAAUAUCUUGUAUCAAUCCUAGAUCUUCCCUCAAGUUUAUGCCUUUUGGAUGCAUCUUAUUGCAAAUCAUUGGAAAGAGUAAGAAUACCAAUCGAGGCAAAAAAAGAACUAUGUGUAAAUAUAUAUAUGAAAGUCUUUCGGUAGAAGAGAUUCAGGGCAUCGAAGGUUUAAAUAAUAGUUUCUGGUAUGUUAGUGUUACAUCACCAAAUAAAUUACAGAAGAGCAGUCAUUCACCAAAUAAAUCACAGAAGAGCGUUGUUGAGGUACUAUUUCUUUUAGUCUCUCUUGCACAAGAAGAAACACACACAAUUGGCACAUACAUUGAUUAAUGUCUAAAAUCGCAGCAUUCCUUGAAAUUAAUAUGUAUACAUACAAUUAUUAUUUUAAUUUAAAAAAUAAAUAUCAUCUUUAAUAAUAUUUUCUUAUUUUUCUUAUUUAAUCUAAAAAAUUAAAUAUUAUCUUUAAUAAUAUUUUUUAUAAAAUAUUUAAAGUCUUUGGUUUUCUUUUUUAUUUCUUGAUUUUAUGAUAAUAUAUUUAUACAGGCAAUGUGCAACCGUGGUCACGGGUAUCGUAUUAGCUUCAUUGUUGAUGAUCUACUUGAGAUGCCAGAUUGGAUGAGCUACAGGGCAGAAGGAUGCGCAUUGUCAUUCCAUAUACCUCCAGUCUUCCAUGGCUUAGUUCUUUUGUUUGAGAAGAGUACUCAUCUUUACACAGUCACUAACAUUAUUAUUAUUAUAAGAAAUAAAAGCAACGGAAGAAUAUUGUUUAAAGAUAAACGAGCACAGAUAGGAAUACAUAUAUUUAUGCAGGGAUGGUUAAGAUACAUAAGUAGAAGUGAAAUGGCAAUGGAAGAUUACUGUGGAGAUGACGAAUUGGAACUAUACAUAUAUUCACAGCAAUCAGAGUAUGCAACGGUCAUUCAUUCGAACCCGUACACGUUAAAGAAUGUGGGGUCCAUGUGAUCGCAGAGAAGUUAGAUUCAUUUGAAGAGUCGGCAGUGGGAAGAGAUACAGUGAUGCCUUCACCACCGCUGUAUCAUCUGCUUCCUCAUCCUCAUCGUGGUUCAAUUACAACGUCUACACCUAAGCAAUGGUGUGACUUUUUACUUGCGGAGCUGCAAAACCAUAACCUCAGUUUAUUGCUUCUUGGUAAGAACAAAUAUUUCCUUUAGUUAUUUUUAUUCUAUUCUAUUUAAUUUAUGAGAUUAAAUAUUAUCUUUAAUUAUUUCAUUAUUACUAUUUAAUAUAAAAAAUUAAAUAUCAUUUUUAAUAAUAAAAAAUUAAAUAUUUAAGGCUUUUUGGUAAGAAUACAUAUUUCCUUUAGUUAUUUCUAUUUUAUUCUAUUUAAUUUAAGAGAUUAAAUAUCAUCUUUAAUUAUUACAUUUUUCUUAUUUUUUAUUUUUUGAUUUUAUGAUAAUAUUUUUCUUGAUUAAUAUAAAAAAUAAAUAUUAUCUUUAAUAAUUAGAUCUAUCGAAUAUCACUCAAAAAAAUAAAUUAUAUCUUUAAUAAUUAUUUUUUGAAAAACAAAAAGCCAACAAUCACUAACAUAUUUUAUUAAAAUCACUUUAGUUUAUUUAGGAAAUAUUGAAAACUGAUUUUUGUUUUUUUACAUUUAAAUAAAAAAUUGAAUAAUGUUUUUAUAUUUUAUUUCAAAUUAAAUAUUUUAAAACAAAAAUAAAAACAAAAUGAUAUUAACCUUUUUUAUUAUAAAGUAAGUUUCUUAAUUAAAAGUGAAGGGGAUUUGUUUGUAAUAACAAAAUGCAUAUAUAAUCAUGCACGGUUAACUUUAUUUCCAAACUUGAAAGUUCUACUGAAUUUGAUGGUUUUAUAGGUAAGAAGGAGCUGGAUGGAUGAGUUAUUUUACAUAGAGAUGCUUGAAGUUACUUCAAAUUAGUACGGUAUUUCUAUCUGAUGUAUUGAUAUGUAUUUGUUGGCUUGAAGAUCAUUUUCCAAGUUUGGAAGUUUUAUUGAAUGCUCUUUGAAAUCUUUUCCAUUCGCUUUUAUAAUUGUGUAGGUUUCAAUUAAAAGGGAUUGAAUUAAGGAAGUAUGUUAAAAAAUAAUAUAAAUUAUAUUUUAAAAUUUAUUUUAAUAGUUUAAAUUUUUAGAUGGAUAGUUUUUUUGACAGGUAAAAGAUAUAGUUUUACAAUAAAAUAUAUUUUUUGAAAUGAAAUUAUAUUAAAUUAAGCAUGCUCGAGAUUGUUCAAAUUAUUAAUUAAUUAUAAUUAACUUUAUGUCUUUAGAGGAAACAGAAGGGAAGGACAAGAUUAUCUUCCCCACACCAAUAGACCUAGCCCACUUUCCAAACCAGUCCCCUGGUAAAUAGAAUGAUGGUCCCAUAUUUUUCUUUCCAGCCCGUCAAGCAGUUUUAUCUCCCUCACUGGACCACUUUAGAAUGGGAAUCACACUAGGAAAUUUAAAAGUAGUUUGAAGUAUCAUUAAACCUGAUAAAAAUAAACAACCAAUAAUAAUAUGGUUGGGAUUUAAAAAAAAAUUGAUAAAAAAACUAAAAUAAAACAAAUUAAAAUAAACAAAAAACUUGAAAAAAAUUAAUUCAACCCUUUCUUCGUAAAAAAGAGAAGUAAUUGGGUAUUAAUUUACGGUCAAAAGAGUACAAUAAUGCAAAGAAAAAAAAGAGUAUGAGGGUAUUGAUUUUAUUAUUUGUUAGGUAACUAUGGAAUCUAAUCUGUUGAUGUGGAAAAUAGCACAAAUUAAGUUUUUGGCAUGGCCAUUGGUGAGAAGCAAAAGCAGUAGCAGUCCAUCAGGACCAUCACCAUCCUAUCGCCGACAUUCCAAGUGUGAAAGUGUAUUAUUGUCAUAAAGUUUUUCAAACGAAACAAUACGAUAAAUUUAAACUAUAGAGAGAUAAUUAAAUAAAUAAGUAGAAAGCGCAAAAGAAACAAUACGAUAAAUUUAAACUAUACUAAAGGUCAGUUUUUCACUCUGUGUGAAUCUACCGUGAAAGCUUGAUUUUGCACAUGGUAGAUAAAUUUAGGUUUAGGAGUAUAAUUUUUUAUAUAUAAUUACACUAAAGAAGAAUAUUAAUCAAAUAACCCUUAAAAAAAUUCCUUUUAGUUUAGGGUUUAUUUUUUUUCAUCUCAAUUACUUAAAUAUCCCUAAAAAAUAAACUCUCUUUACUAUGGAUGCAAGGUUAUUUUAGAUUUUCUGCUAUUUUUUUUUUAAAAAAUUCUCAUGUAAGAUUAGAGGUGAUUUGGUAUUUUAAUAUAUAAAUUAAUAUUAAAAUUCAAAAGCAGUUGGUGUCUCCCACACCUUUUGGAUGGCGCCUACGACUUCCACACAAAACCGAAUGUUACCGUCUAAGGCAGCGUUUGAUGCGUUUCACCACCGUUGUCACGGUGGUGGCACACGUGUUCUCUGAUGGCAUGUAGAGGAGCACGCGGAGGAGCUCCUUUCUCUUUUUCCUCUCUCGACCUAGAAAAUCAUGUUGACCAUUGAAAAAAAAAAAAACAAAGAAAGUCUAACUAUUUAUUUGUUAAGUUAAAUUAGGUCCUUAUUCUUUUGAUAACAAUGCAUUUGGUCUUGAGCUAUUUAUUAAGUUAGUUGUUUUUUCAUUUUCAUUAAUUUACACUUUGUUUUUAUAUUAGAUUUAAUCCUUAUUCUUUUAACUGUGAUGUUUUUUGUUGUCUUAAUUCCUUUAUUGAAUUAAAUUGUCUUUGAAUUUUAUCUCUUGAUAUUUUAUUUUUAUAUCAAAUAUGAUCCUUAUUUUUUUAUUGUUAUUUUUAGUUAUUUUUAUUAUUUUCUUAAUUGAAAUUGUUUUUUAAUUUCAUCCCUUAUGAUUUGGUUUUAUUUACUUUAUGUAUCAAAUUUGGUUCUCUUUCUUUUCAAAUCUACAUCUUUAAAAAUAAAAUUUAAUUUUUUUCAAGUUUAUCCCUAAUUAUUUUGGUUGGUUUAGAUUUUAUAUUGUUAUUUUUUAUUUUUCUUUUACAUUGUGAUAUAGCCUUAUGAUUGUGUCACAAAUUCUAAAAGUUGGACAGGGAUGACUUCAAUUAUUUUUAGAAAUUUUCAUUCUUCAAUUCAAUUAUAUAUAUAUAUAAAAGGUUUGACGCUUAAUAUAUUUUUGUAUUGAUUUUAUCAUUUUAUAAUUUGAUUUAUAAUGCAGUCCUAUUAUAUAUGGACCAGGACAACAAUAUCAUUCAAAUGUUAGUAAUAGAAUAACUUUUACAUAUUUUAAUAUUUAAAAAUUAAAAAAAUACAGUGUAACUGUUUUGUAUAAAUUCUAAAAGUAAGGACUCAUUUGUGCUUGGUAAAAUACCUCACAAUAAAGUUAAUAAAUAAUAACACAAGAAAAGAACAAAAGUUAAUAAAUAAUAUAUAGCAUGUCUUACACUGCUUUAAUAGAUUAUUCCAGUAAGAGCACAGAGAGAAGAGCGGUUCAAGACAGAACAAUGAUGUAUAAAUUAAAAAAAUAUAAUCUCUUAUAGGAAUCUCUUUAUUAAAUAAUCAAAAUAUUAAAGUCUAUUUCCAAAGACUAUUACUACAGUUUUUAUAUAUAUAAAAAUAGAAACAACUAAAUAGAGAAAUUAUUAUUUUUUAAAUUGAAAAAGUUGAAAAGCUUGAUAAUAUUGAGUAAGAAAUAAAAUAUAAAAAUAAUUCCUUUUAAAUAAACAAAUAUAAAAGUUUAAUAGUACUGAAUAGAAAAAAAAAUAGAAUUUCUAAACUAAAUAAAAGUAACUGAAAAAAGUAUUUAUUAUUCCAAAAAAAUUGAUGUUAAAAUCUCAUUUAUCAUAUUUUAUAUCUAUAAAAAGCUAAUUUGUCAUAUGGAAUAAGUCUAUAUGCUAAAAUCAGAAAAAACAAAUGUAACAAAAAAAAAUUCCACCAAAGGCUGUGAUUAGCAGAUUAUCUGAUGGAAAGAUGAUGAACAUUUUUUAGUCAAUUAAGUUCAUUUCACAUGAUUUUUUUAUUCUUGUCAAUUAAUCUUAAAGCAAGAUUCCAAGAUAAGCCUAAAAAAUAUUUAUUAUUAAUCAACAAUAUGGAAUAAUAACUUGUUUUCUAAUAUAAAUUAUAAUUUGAAAUAAAAUUGAUAAAAGAGUAAGGCGCAUUUUGUAUACAAAAUUAAUGACGGAAUCGUAUAUUUUAAGACUAAAUUAAAGUUUUUCAAUUACAUUUAAACAUAUUAUGGUUUUAAUAAACGUACGAUGCAUCCUUUGAUUUUAUUACAGGGAACGUGAAAUAUUGUAAAUUAUGGAGGGGAAUCAAAAUAUUUGUUAGCAGUAACCUCAGUAAUGUUUAAAAAAAAUUGUUGUGGAAACUUUGCAAAGGAUCUGAAGGAAGAAAAAUGAUUGAAUUGAUAAUAAUUUGCAAGAGAGAAUUCUUUCACUGAAUAGAAAAAAAAAUAUUAUUUUUAAAAUAAAAACAAUAAAUAUAAAAAUUAUUAUUUUUUAAAUAGAGAAACUAGAAAGUCCUGAUAAUAUUAAAUAAAAAAUAAAUACAAAAAUUAUUCUUUUCAAGUAGAAAAAAUUAUAAAAGUUUAAUAAUACUGAAUAGAAAUAAAUAAAAUUUCUAAACUAAAUAAAAAUAUUUAUUAUCCCAAAAAUUCUUAUAUCAAAAUCUCAUUUAUCAUAUUUUGUAUCUAUAAAAAACUAAUUUGUCAUAUGUACUGGGUCCAUAUGCUAAAACCAGAAAAAAAAAUGUAACAAAAAAAAAAUUCCACACAAGGCUGUGAUUAAGAGAUUAACAAGAUGAUAGAUAUUUUUUAGUAAAAUGAAUUCCAAUUCAAAAUAGCAAAAUAAGGUUUUUUGAGGCUUUUCUAGUAUAUAAAAAAAUCAAAUUAUACAAGAUUUAUUAUUAAUCUUUGAUAUUUAUUAUUGAUCAUCAAUAAUCAAUAUUAAAUGAUGACUUAUUUUCUAGUAUAAACUAUGUUUGAAAUAAAAUUGAUAAAACACAUUAUAUAUAAUUAAUGAUGGGAUCGUAUAUAAAAAUAAUUAAAUUGAGAUUUUUCAAUUACCUUUAAAUAUAUCAUAGUUUUAAUCGGUGGUGGACGAUAUAACAUAUGUAAAUUAUAAAACAAGCAUUUAUUUUUCUGAUAUAUACAUAAUUGUCGCACCCGGACAUCGCGGCGACCUUAAAAAUAAUAUUUCAUGGAAAAGAACAGAUUUCUGGCAUCCUGUUCUUUAAUGGAGAAUGGUCUCGUUUAAGGAGUCGCCACCUAGUAUUAUGGUCACUAGGAACCCUAACUGGUCAACAGAGAUUCUAUGGUACGGGACUGGUUACGUAAAAGAGAAGAUAUUAUCACCCCUUAAACGUUCUGCCUGAGGCAGACUGCAUUGCUGGUUUUGUCUUAAAUUGCUAAAUGUUUAUUAGUUUACGCUAUGAUAAUUUGCUUAUAAUAUUCCUGACUCUGGCGUCAGUGAAUAUUCAACUACGAAUAUCUCCAACUCUGGCGUUGGUAAAUAUUACGUAGUUAUAAAAUAAAUUAGAUCAAUAUUUUUUUAUUACCUACUCUAGCAGUGAAUAAAUAAAUAAAAAUAAAUUUAUUUUUAAACAUGCACAUAUUUUUUUAUUUUUCUAGCUAAAUAAAAUAAAUAUAACGAAUAAAAAUAAUAUAAAUUUAAACCGGUAUUUUUAUUCCUGACUCUGGCAUCAGUGAAUAAACCAAUAAAUUUACAUUAUUUUUAUUUAUGCAUACACAUUUUUAUUUUUAUUUUUUUCUAAUAAUGAAUAAAAAUAAUAUAAAUUUAAACCGAUAUUUUUAUUCCUGACUCUGGAGUCAGUGAAUAAACCAAUAAAUUACAUUUUUUUUAUUUUUUUCCUAGGACUAUUUUUCCUACAUUUUUUUAUAUUUUUUUAUUUUUUUCCUAGGACUAAGCUUCACACGUGUAUGCAAAAGUAGUGAAUUAAAUUGGCCUAUGUACAGUACCCAUGCAAUUAGAAUUGCAAAGCAAAGGGAAAUGAAGAACUUACCUGUGCAGGAGGCGAAGUCGAAGACGGUGGCGAAGGUGUGCUGAAUUGCCAAAGCUACCUUCUCUCCUUCUCUGUUUUUAUUCUUCGUGCGCUUCUCCUCUGGUUUUGCUUUUCUUUACUUUGAUUGCUUCUCUUAUUCUUCCUGUCUCCCCCCCUGUGUUUGCUUGUUCUCAGUUCGCUUGUGUUUUCUUUUUUUAUCUGUUGUUCAGGGAAUGGAGGAGCUGGUGUAAGUGGAGACAAAGCAGCUGAUGCCUGAGAGGGCGUUGUACUGCUGCUGGAGCUGGAAGAGGCGCGCGUUGCUGGUUGCUGAUGCAUGCUCACGGUGCAUGGAAGUGGCUGAGUUGCUACUAAUCUUGACGAUACUGGUUUCGUCCGCUGUAAAAGUUUUCGUGCCCCUGCAUCCGAUCAAAGCUUGUGCUUUUCCAAGCAAAAGCCAUGGUCCCUUGAAACUCAGCAGAUUUUCGGAGCAAGGAGGAUCGCAUGCCAAUGUAGUUCAUGGUUCUGGUUUAGAGGCAGACGUGGCGGAGAUUAAUGGUGAUUGGGACCACAGCCUAGAAGGUGACCGGGAGGAAGAUGAUCUCGAGCCUUUAUUUGCUUCUUCUUUUUUUGUGAGGAGUUUGCAGAUCCCGGGGGUUGAGAAUGAAGAAUGAAAAAUCAGUUUGAUGGGGAAGAGAUUGAGGCCAGGCAAGAAGGGAGGAAAAGUCUGGGGGGAGGGGGCAGCGGCGGCUAGUCUAGGACUCGGCCGCGCCCCUUUUUUUUUUUGUAAAUGUCUUUUGUUUCUUUUUUUUUAUAUAGGUUUCUGGUAAUGAUCUUCUCCUGGGUUUUUUUUUUGUGUCGUUUAAGGUUCCUCUCUAAUCGUCUUCCUCUCCCCUCCGUUUUUCAUACCCUGAGAUCUGUAUUUAUAGUGCCAGAGUCCCUUCGCUUGUGAGAAACCAAGUUUCAAUCAAACUCAUUCUAUUUUUUGAAGUUUGAAUUUGAUUAAGAAUCAAAUUUGAAAGCGGAUAACUAUCAUUAUCUUAAAGACAAGGAUUAUCUCGAAGAUAAAGAUUAUCUUGAAGAUAGGGAUUAUCUUGAAGAUAAAGAUAGAAUGAUAAAAGCACAUUGUAGUCCUUAAUUUUCACGGAAGUUGACAAAUCACACUUUUCAUCGAAAUAAAUCUCUGAUCUUUUAAUUUUUCAUUUUAAACCCUGUAAAAAUUAAAUUAAAAGUCAAAGGGCCAAAAUUGGGUCAUGACAGUUGCCCCCUCUUUACAAUGCUUACGGUGCAAAUGCAUUAGAAAAUUUAUUUUCUUUUGACUUUGUAUAGUAAGUUUUGUAAAGAAAAAUAAUUGUGAAAGCCCUUCCUCUUUUCCUCCUUUUUUUUUUCUUCUCUUUUUUUUGAUUGAUUUUUUUGCUUUUUUUUUUUAAAUGGUCUAAUUGUUCCAGGCGACCUGCCUGAUAAAGAAUAAAAUGCGAAAAGGGUUUCGCGAGUGGUCUAAUUGUUCCAGGCGACCUGCCCGAUGAUUGAAAAAUACGAGGAUUUUUUUUUGUGAUGGUAUAUUGUAAUGGGUUACCGGCCCAGAUGGUCACAUUGUAAUGGGUUACCUGCCCAGUAUAGGAUGGUAUAUUGUAAUGGGUUACCGGCCCAAAUGGUCACAUUGUAAUUGGUUACCUGCCUAGUAUAGGAUGGUAUAUUGUAAUGGGUUACCAACUCAGAUGGUCACAUUGUAAUGGGUUACCUGCCCAGUAUAGGAUGGUAUAUUGUAAUGGGUUACCGACCCAAGUGGUCACAUUGUAAUGGGUUACCUGCCUAGUAUAGGAUGGUAUAUUGUAAUGGGUUACCGACCCAGAUGGUCACAUUGUAAUGGGUUACCUGCCCAGUUGGUCACAUUGUAAUGGGUUACCUGCCCAGUGGAUGGUAUAUUGUAAUGGGUUACCGACCCAGAUGGUCACAUUGUAAUGGGUUACCUGCCCAGUGGAUGGUAUAUUGUAAUGGGUUACCGACCCAGAUGGUCACAUUGUAAUGGGUUACCGGCCUAGUUGGUCACAUUGUAAUGGGUUACCUGCCCAGUGGAAAAAUACGAGGAUUUUUCAGAUGGUCACAUUGUAAUGGGUUACCUGCCCAGAUGGUCACAUUGUAAUGGGUUACCGGCCCAGUUGGUCACAUUGUAAUGGGUUACCUGCUUAGUGGAAAAAUACGAGGAUUUUUUUUUAAGACAUGAUAGGGCUCGAAGGCGCAUUAUUCAAUAGAUGGAAGCUCGAGGGAAAUGAGGGCUUGAAGGCGCCCUCAAAAGAAGGUAGGAUAGGAAAUGCACUACCUUUGAUGGUCGAGGGCUCGAAGGAGCGCUCGAAUGGAGGUAGGAUAGGAAAUGCACUACCUUUGAUGGUCGAGGGCUCGAAGGCGUGCUCGAAAAGAAAUAAGAUGAGGGCUCGAAGACGCGCUCGAAAGGAGGUAGGAUAGGAAAUGCACUACCUCAGGAGUGGAAACUGAAAGGUGGUGGGAAAAUAGAGAGAUUUUUUCAGGUGGCCUAAUUCUCAUGGGCGGCUUGCCCAGGUUGAAAAAUUCUCAAAAGUGAAAAUUUUUUCAAAAGCAAUUUCAAUGUUCGCCAUUUCAAGUUGGCCUUCCGCUUGAUGGAUUCCGUCAGAAUUUUUUUCUAAUAAAAUUUGCAAAACUCAUUGUCCAAUGUCUCAAAGUUUAAAUGAUAUGCAUGCAUCUUUACCUGAUUUGAAAUAUAGGCCCCCCAUUUCUUCUUAGUCUUCUCGUGGCUUGGUUGGUGAGAUCUUGCUAUCUGAUUUGAGUCAUCUUUGUCGUUUGGCUUUCUAGCCCACUCGAGUUAGCCCAUAUAAGACUUUUUCCAGAUUUGUUUGCACAACUCAGCCUUUGUGGUGCCCAUCGUGACCCACUUGCUUGCUAGAGAUUUUCUGUCUCGUCAAAUAGUUUGAGGGGAUCAUUCAUUACUCCUCGUCUCACUGAUAAAAAUAUUUGGUGUCACUUGCUGAAAGGAUCAAACUGUCUUUCGUAAACCAAAAUGCCCCCUUGUCUUGUUGUAGGAAAUGUUCCUUCUUUUUUUUUAGAACAGAUAGAUUUUUCUUAAGCACAAUAUUGCCCCCUUGUACUAGUCAUUGCCCCCAAGUGUGCCCUGUCAGCGACUUAGACAAAUAAUGGUUUUAAGAGACCAUUCUCUCAUUUCUCUCCUUUUCAGUUUGGUGAAGGAAUAUGGGUUUAGAAUGAAUCUUGAAAUCUUGAUCUUGCAUUUUGAAAACAAAAAAUUAUUUCGAUGUGAGUCUAAAACAAUUUGCUUUUGAAAUCUUGCAACUCCUUGGUUAUUUUCUUUCUUGGAAAAGAGAUUAUUUGCUCUUGUGUUUGGCAAUGAGAUCUUUGAUGAAAAUACGUCAUGAGAUGACCUUUUGUUUUUAUAGGUUUUUAAAGUGGAGGGCUCGAGAAAGAGCUCGAGGUUUUGUAUGAGAAAAACUUGUCUCUUUUUUUAACAUUUAUUUUUAUCAGCAUCAAUAAUAAUGAGUAGCUUAUUCUUGAUGUCAUGAAUCUUAUGAAAAAGUAUUCUUUGCAUUUUGAGAGCAUUGUUUAUUGUUCUAGGUUGCUUGCUUGCUUGAUUAGAAAGGACUUCUACAGGCACAUAACGUAGGCUGUGGUUUUUGGCUAUGAAAGAAAAGGAUUCAUAAGGCUCAAAGAGUGUUUCAGGGUUUCAAAGAAUGAAGAUCACAAUCAACAGUUUGACUCUUGACGUCAUUCAUAUUUUCUUUUGCCGCUCUUCUUUGAUUUGCCUUUUUUUCUUUUUUCUUUUUCAUUGCUUUGCUAGAGCAUACUCACUUUAUCUUGGUUAUCACUUUUUCUUGUGAUUUGGGCAUGCCCCCUAGCAUUUGAGUUUCUUGGGCUCUUUUGCCUUUUGACUUUCUCACGGCUUUAUUAUCUUUCUUGAUCAUUGAAAUUUCACUUGCCCCCAGUGUGGGGUGUGAUCCUAGUCGGGAUUUUUUCAUGAAAGAAAAAUUAUUCAGGCUCAAAAAGGGAUCGCAAGGGAUGUACUUAUUUCAGAAUAUGAAAGGAAUAACAAAGAUGGCAUUUCCUCAUUUCAAGCGCAAGCAGUUAAGAUCAAUAAACUUUGACCUCAUCUAGUGUGAUAGUUUGGUCUUUGCAAAGAUGCAUUUCAAGGGUCAUGAGCAACAAGUUCACUACAUACCAUUAUUCAUACAUUUAAAAACACAUGAUUCAAGAGUCGUGGGGUAAGGGUGUUUAUUUAUUUCUUUUCUCUUUUUUCUUUUUUUCUUUUUGGUUUAUAAUUUAGUCACCUCAUUGAUGGAGUUACUUGAUUAACACGUAGAAUGUUAAAAAUAUGGUUUUUGAAUAAACAUCAAGUUAUUUUCGGAAUCAAAAUGCAAGAUCAAUUUUUUCAAAACUCUAAUAGGGAAACUGAUUUUUGGUAACAGAGACAAAUUGCGUCUAUGAGAUCGCACAAGGCUUCAAAGAUGUGUUUGUGAGUCUUUAUAAGAAAACUCUCUCAGAAAAAUGAAUAAUGCUAAUCGUACACACGAUUGAAUGACAAACUCAUUAUUUUCAUUGAAACUUUGGAAAAUAAGUUCAACAAGAAAGAACUCAUGACAACAUCUUGGGCUAUGAAUACUGGCAUGAUAGCAUAUAAAGGGGCUAAACAUUUAACAAUCAUUGAUUGGAAUUUCUGGAAUCAUUCAUUCUCCUUGACAAGGGCAUCUCUUCAAUAGUCAAUAAUAUCACCAUAGCUUUAUCUUCAAGAUAGUUGAUUUCUAAAAAUUGGUGUGAAGCAAUUAGCUAUAGGAACGAUAACUGUCUUGGCAGCCACCUUCAGUGAAACCGUUCUUCUUAGUUAGGUUAGCAAUCUUACAUAACCCAAUGGCUUGUUCAAUCCUCUCAGCUAUAACAACCAGGUCAGUGAAAUGUUGCGCAGAGCUUCUAACCAAGUAUUCAAAGUAUGAAGCUUUAAAGUUGUUGGAAAAUAAACUGAUCAUCUCUUUUUCCAACAUAGAAGGGUUAACCUGUGCAGCUACCUCCCUCCAUCUUCGAGCGUAUUUCCUUAUGGACUCCUUAUUGUCCUUCUCCAUAGCUUGCAAGUUUAAACGAUCAGAGUCCACGUCUAUAUUGAACUUAUAUUGUCUCAUGAAGGCAUCAACUAAAUCCUUCCAUUUUUUAACCUUGGUAUUUUCCAACCGCAUAUACCAAGUGAGGGCAACGUCACUCAAAUUGUCUUGAAAGAAGUGAAUUAACAGUUUCUCGUCAUAGACUACCUCAACCAUUUUGUUGCAGUAUGUCUUGAGAUGAGUUACAGGGCAUUGAGUUCCUGUAUAUUUGAUGAAUUCUGGCACUCUAAACUUCUUAGGAAUGACUACGUUAGGUACCAAACACAUCUCAACAGCUUUUAUAUGGUCAUGUAGGCUAGUUCCCUCGAAUGCCCUCAGUCUUUGUUCCAAGGCAGCCCUUUUAUCCAGGCCAUCUUCUUUUACCACCUUGUUCUUUUGAGAUUCCUUUAUUGUAAGGUCAAUGGUAGAUGACAUUCCUAUGGGAUAUGCUGGUUGAGCAAAUUGGGAAUACAUAGACUGUUGAGACACCUCAUUUGCCCCCAGAUUCUGUGGAUUUACGAGCAUAGGUUCAGGCUGAGCUGUAGAUUUUGCUUCUUCAUGUUUAGAUCUCAAGGCUUGUUCGAGUAAGCUAGUAAGCCUGGCAACUUUCCAUCUCUUUUCGGUGUGGGGCUUCCAACUGGGCUCUUUCUUGUAAAAAAUUCCACACAAGGCUGUGAUUAAGAGAUUAACAAGAUGAUAGAUAUUUUUUUAGUAAAAUGAAUUCCAAUUCAAAAUAGCAAAAUAAGGUUUGUUGAGGCUUUUCUAGUAUAUAAAAAAAUCAAAUUAUACAAGAUUUAUUAUUAAUCUUCGAUAUUUAUUAUUGAUCAUCAAUAAUCAAUAUUAAAUGAUGACUUAUUUUCUAGUAUAAACUAUGUUUGAAAUAAAAUUGAUAAAACACAUUAUAUAUAAUUAAUGAUGGGAUCGUAUAUAAAAAUAAUUAAAUUGAGAUUUUUCAAUUACCUUUAAAUAUAUCAUAGUUUUAAUCGGUGGUGGACGAUAUAACAUAUGUAAAUUAUAAAACAAGCAUUUAUUUUUCUGAUAUAUACAUAAUAAUAACAAAUUAAAUGAUAGUAACAAGAAAAUAGCAAUUAGUUUGAAUAAAUGGUACCAGUUCCUAUCAUUAUAUAUUUAGGAAAAGGUUCAAAGAAUAGAAUAAAGUCAAAUAUAUAUUUUUAAUAAAAAAGAAAAAAAAACACAGAAAGAAAUAAAAAUAUGUUUGUAAUAAAUAUAAAAGAUGGAUAAAAAUAUUAGAGAAUAAGAAAGAGAUAUAGAAUCUCUUUGUGAAAUUUCUAAAAACUUAAUUACAAUUAUAUUAUAAUUUCUUCCCUAAAAUUAUUCAAAAUAUAGUAUUAGAAUUAUAUAAUGCUAGGUUUUAAUAGUUAAUUAAAGAAUCUUUCCUGAAUCAAAUAAUAAAAAUAUUGUAUAACGAUCUUUUGGAUGAAUUGUUAAUGUAGCUCUUUGACUGUUUGGGGUCCUGACAUAGCUGAUUUUAUUUGAAUAUAUUAUUUGAUAUCUCAUUGCUGCAUUGACUGGAAAUUUCAGUAUUCCAUAUCCUAUAUAUUUAACUCGUUAUAUUUAGUAGCUAACUCUGCAGCUAACUUCUCUGUCCCAUUGCAGCAAUUUCAUAGCUAACUCUUUGUUAUAUUUAACUUACUCUUCUUUGCUUCUUUGCUUCUUGCUCAUAACGAUAACUUGAAAGCCUUACGUUCAGAUAGAUAAUCAUUGACCAGUUCAUUGACCAGUUCUUUGUUAAUUUAGAAAUGCUGAAACAAAAACGCAAGCAAUCCAAAGAUGAAGACAACGAUUCAUCCUCGCGAAAGAGAAGAAAAGCUGACCUCAGUAAGCCUGUCAGUUUUGUCUCCACAGGUAAGGCAUAUGCGUGAGUCUAUACAUGUAGGAACUGCUGAUUCGAUUUGAAUAUGUUAUUUGAUUAGUCUGAUCAUAGGAUAGGUUGAGUCUACUACUAUUUCUGCCUUGCUUUGACUCGAAAUUCCUGGUGUUUUCACCUGCAAAUGAAUAGAAAUCACAUCCUUUCUCUUUCUCCUAUACAAAGAAUACAGUUAACCUCAUUUCAAUAUCAUAGAUUUGGAAUUUCAUAGCUAACUCUUUGUUAUAUUGCUCCAUUGGUAAUUGAUUGUGCCUUAAUUUCUGCAGCUACCAUGACAGAGCCAGGGUCUUCUCGAUCUAGUCCAGAAGGGGCCUAUGAUGUCUUCUUGAGUUUUAGAGGAGAAGACACUCGCAAGACAUUUACAGAUCAUCUAUAUGCUGCCUUAGAUCAAGCAGGAAUCCGCGCUUUUCGAGAUGAUGAUGAACUUCCGAGAGGAGAAGAAAUCUCCGAUCAUCUCCUCAGGGCAAUUCAAGAAUCAAAGAUAUCCAUAGUUGUCUUCUCAAAAGGAUAUGCUUCUUCUAGAUGGUGUCUCAAUGAACUUGUAGAGAUUCUUGAGUGCAAAAAGAGGAAAACCGGUCAGAUUGUUCUUCCUAUAUUCUAUGACAUUGAUCCUUCAGAUGUGAGAAAACAGAACGGCAGUUUUGCAGAAGCAUUUGUUAAACAUGAAGAGCGUUUUGAAGAGAAGUUGGUGAAGGAGUGGAGAAAAGCUCUUGAGGAGGCUGGAAAUCUAUCUGGAUGGAAUCUCAAUGAUAUGGCAAAUGGGUAUGCCUUUUUUCCAAAUUUAUGGAGUCAAUAUACUUUAUAUUUUUCAAUGUGAAACAAUAAAAUACUUAAUUGACUGGCUAUCAAUGACUGGCUUUUGUCUAUGAGCAGGCAUGAAGCAAAAUUUAUCAAAGAGAUUAUCAAGGAUGUGUUGAAUAAAUUAGAUCCCAAGUACUUAGAUGUUCCUGAGCUCCUAGUAGGUAUGGAUCGGCUUUCUCGCAAUAUUUUUGACUUUCUAAGUACUGCAACACAUGAUGUACGCAUUGUGGGCAUACAUGGGAUGCCAGGAAUAGGAAAGACAACUAUAGCAAAAGUUGUAUUUAAUCAACUCCGCUAUAGAUUCGAGGGAAGCUGCUUUUUUUCGAAUAUCAAUGAAACAUCAAAACAAUUCAAUGGUCUGGCUCUUUUACAAGAGCAACUUCUUCAUGAUAUUUUAAAACAAGAUGUUGCUAACAUCAAUUGUGUCGAUAGAGGAAAGGUUCUGAUCAAAGAACGACUUCGUCGCAAAAGAGUUCUUGUUGUUGCUGAUGAUGUGACUCGUCAGGACCAGCUAAAUGCUUUGAUGGGAGAGCGAGGUUGGUUUGGUCCCGGAAGUAGAGUAAUUAUUACAACAAGAGAUUCAAGUUUUCUACAUAAAGCGGAUCAAACAUAUCAAAUCGAAGAAUUGAAACCAGAUGAGUCCUUUCAACUUUUCAGCUGGCAUGCCUUGCGGGACACCAAGCCAGCAGAAGAUUAUAUUGAGCUUUCGAAGGAUGUAGUUGAUUACUGUGGAGGAAUUCCUUUGGCUCUUGAGGUUAUGGGUGCUUGUCUGUCCGGGAAAAACAGAGAUGGUUGGAAAUCUGUAAUUGACAAAUUGAGAAGAAUUCCAAACCGCGAUAUCCAAGGAAAGCUUAGAAUAAGUUUUGACGCACUGGACGGUGAAGAACUACAAAAUGCAUUCCUUGACAUCGCUUGCUUCUUUAUUGAUAGAAAGAAAGAGUACGUCGCAAAAGUGCUAGGAGCCCGUUGCGGUUACAAUCCAGAAGUUGAUUUGCAAACUCUCCAUGAGAGGUCUCUGAUUAAAGUAUUGGGAGAGACGGUAACCAUGCAUGAUCUAUUACGAGACAUGGGAAGGGAGGUCGUUCGUGAAAAGUCUCCAAAACAACCUGGAGAGAGGACCAGAAUUUGGAAUCAAGAGGAUGCAUGGAAUGUACUUGAGCAGCAGAAGGUAAGAGCUCAAUGCAUACAUGAAAGCAUAGUCAUGCGUAUUUUCUAGUCAAACUUAUUACAAGUAAUUGUAUGAAAGUUGUAUUGAUUUAUUUUUUAGGGUACGGAUGUCGUAGAGGGUCUUGCACUGGAUGUCAGAGCAUCAGAAGCUAAAUCACUUAGCGCAGGAUCAUUUGCAGAAAUGAAAUGCUUAAAUUUACUCCAAAUCAAUGGAGUUCAUCUCACCGGAUCCUUCAAACUGCUUUCUAAAGAGUUGAUGUGGAUUUGUUGGCUUCAAUGUCCUUUGAAAUAUUUUCCAUCUGAUUUUACCUUGGAUAAUUUAGCUGUUCUUGAUAUGCAGUACAGUAACCUCAAAGAACUAUGGAAGGGAAAAAAGGUGAGAAACAUGCUGCAAUCCCCAAAAUUUCUCUAUUAUGUAAUUUAUAUUUACAUGUUACAACUUCUUAAGAUUAAUUUUCAUUAUUUUGCGCUCUAUUAUACAGAUUCUCAACAGGCUAAAAAUCCUUAAUCUCAGUCAUUCUCAGCACCUUAUUAAAACACCAAACUUACACAGUUCAAGUCUAGAGAAAUUAAUUCUGAAAGGUUGCUCGAGUUUAGUUGAGGUGCAUCAAUCAAUUGAAAAUUUGACGAGCCUUGUUUUCUUGAAUCUCAAGGGAUGUUGGAGGCUGAAGAAUCUCCCUGAAAGAAUUGGCAAUGUAAAGUCUCUUAAAACUCUGAAUAUUUCUGGGUGUUCACAACUUGAGAAAUUGCCAGAACGCAUGGGUGAUAUGGAAUCCUUAACUAAGCUGCUAGCUGAUGGGAUUGAAAAUGAGCAAUUUCUCUCUUCAAUUGGACAAUUAAAGCAUUGCAGAAGGUUAUCAUUGCAUGGAGACAGUUCGACGCCACCAAGUUCUUCUUUGAUUUCAACAGGUGUUUUGAAUUGGAAACGUUGGCUGCCAGCAUCUUUCAUUGAAUGGAUAUCAGUGAAACAUCUUGAGCUUUCUAAUAGUGGUUUGUCUGAUCGCGCAACUAACUGUGUUGAUUUCAGUGGUUUGUCUGCUCUAGAAAAAUUGGAUCUAACAGGAAACAAAUUCUCUAGGCUGCCUUCUGGGAUCGGCUUCCUUCCCAAGCUAACGUAUUUGUCUGUUGAGGGAUGCAAAUAUCUUGUAUCAAUCCCAGAUCUUCCCUCAAGUUUAGGGCAUUUGUUUGCAUGUGAUUGCAAAUCAUUGAAAAGAGUAAGAAUACCAAGCGAGCCAAAAAAAGGACUAUUUAUAAAGCUAGAUGACAGUCAUUCGUUAGAAGAGUUUCAGGGCAUUGAAGAUCUAAGUAAUUGUUUCUGGUAUAUUCGUGUUGAUGACCGCAGUCAUUCACCAAGUAAAUUACUAAAGAGCGUUGUUGAGGUACUAUUUCUUUCCGUCUCUCUUUCGCACAAAAAGAAACACACACAAUUGGCACAUACAUUGAUUAAUGUCUAAAAUCUCAGCAUUCCUUGAAAUCAAUAUGUAUAUAGGCAAUAAUUAUUAUUAUUAUUAUUAUAUUUUAAAAAACAAAUAUCAUGUUUUAUAAUAUUUUUUAUUUUUCUUAUUUAAUCUAAAAAAUUAAAUAUUAUCUUUAAUAAUAUUUUUUAUUAAAUAUUUAAAGUCUGAUUGGUUUUAUUUUUUAUUUCUUGAUUUUAUGAUAAUAUAUUUAUACAGUUAAUGUGCAACGGUCGUCACGGGUAUUUUAUUCGCCACACUCCUAGUGAGAUGCCAAACUGGAUGAGCUACAGGGGAGAAGGAUGCUCAUUGUCAUUCCAUAUACCUCCAGUCUUUCAAGGCUUAGUUGUUUGGUUUGAUAAGGAUGAUCAUUAUUACUUCCACACUGACAUUAUUAUUAUUAUAAGAAAUAAAAGCAACGGUAUUCAAUUGUUUGAAGAAGAACGAACAGUACCAGAAAAUGAAAACAAUACCUCCAAAUUAGUAGAACGAACAGUAUCAGAACGAACAGUACCUCCAAAUUAGUAGGGUACAUCUCUUUUUGCCGAGUUGAUAUGAAUUCGUUAGCUUGAUGAAAACAACCGAAAGUUCUGAAAGCAUCCUUAAUUAGUAUAAUUAGUAAAGUCUUGUUAGUUUUGGCUAUAAGUUUUUGUUAUGUAUUAUUGCAUGGUUUUUAUUAUUUGUUGGCCCUUGUUUUUUUUAUAUACAACUUUUAUUUUUAUUGUCGGUUUGUCAUUAGCUUUAUGGCACUAACACUUAUUAAUAAUAAAUCUUGGACUAUUAUUAAAUAAAGGAAAAAUAAAAACAUUGUUAAAAUACCAAACUUGCAUAUUUCAAACUUAGAGAAAGCCGAUGAUAAUAAUCCAAUUUAGAAAAUAAUUAAUUUGUCCUUGUAGUAUUAGAAAAUAGUAUUUAAUCCUUAUGUUUUCAUAUUCAUCUAUGAUUUAAUCUCUUACAUCCAUUUCAUUUUCUUAUUAUUUUAAUCCAAAAAAAACUAAAAAUCACAUAUCAUGAAUACCAAUUAGAACGGAAGUGAAGACCAAUUAGAAGACUAUAAUCCAUAAUUCUCUCUGCUUCUAAGAAUUCACAGUCCCUAUAAAUUUGACUGAGAAAGAAAGAACUGAAGACAAACACAUGUUAACCUCUCAAGAUUAGUGCCUCACAAAAGAACAAGAUAAAGGAAACACCGCAAUUUUUCAUGAUAAAAUCCAAAGGAUUGGUACUUUGGUGUUUGUGGCGCUGGUAUAUGAAAGAACAGAGAUCAAGAGAUGAAAUCCCUCUAUACCGCUGUUAUUCCUUUCAAGGUGCGUAUCAGGUGUUUGAAAAACUUCCUCAACUUAAAGUAGAAAGGUCUUGUUUACAACGUUUUUUAGUCCUUUUCAAGUCUUCCAAUGUGUUGCAUUUACUGAAUAUGAUAGUGGGAA
rnacentral:lncRNA from 1 species